rnacentral:lncRNA from 1 species
UUUGGACAUUGAUGGACCUUCAACUUCUCCAAACGAGGGAAUAAGAAAUAAUCACACCAUCCGAAACUAAAACAGACAAUACUUGAUAAUUGUUGUAGCGACAACUCCUUUAGAUUAGGAAGCACUAUCUCCUUCUCAACGUUGAUAGGUGAAGCUUGAUCAUCCUGCCCAGGAGACUCUGGAAUUAUUUCCCUUUUACCAUCCUCUUCUCUGAUUAUAUGCUUCAAUUGACCGCAUUUACUUAUGGAAAGCCUUUCUAGCUUUGGCAGACUUUGUGUGAGGGACGGUGUGAAGAUAAAUGGCAGUUUGUCGAGAGAAUCCAAACUCAGAAUAUUAAGACUUUGGAGGCUGACAUGUCCGGUGGGCCCCUUCCAUAUGCAUUUGACCUCAGGUAACCUUCGCAGCUCUAACUUUGUUAAAGAUGACAGCAGCUCCUUCUCCUCACUGCUUCCUUCAUCAGCCUCACCUAAUUCAAAUACCUCUUCCAAUGAUUUGCAGCCGCCAACAAUCACCUCCUUUAGAUUGUUCAAAGCUCGCAGCAAUUUUGCUGGAAACGGAGCGCGAACAUCCCCACAAUCGUCCACUUGUACAAUUUCUAAUCUUUGUACGGAGCCGUUUUGCUGCACAUGGCCGGCCAUCUUAUCAGAGAACAAUAUUAUAUUUUUUCACUCUCAUAAAAACAAUUUAUAUGAUGUAUAAAUAGGAGAAAAAAGAAGAAAAAACAGGAUUACAUACUUUUUAGAGGUUACAUAUUAUUGUUUCAGUUUUUUUCUUAAUUAGAGAUAAGUUAAAUAAUAAUUAGAUUUUUUGCGAAAAAAGGUUACUACAACUCCUAAUAAUUAGUUUCAUGUAAAAAAUAAAAAUAAAAAUAGUAACUAAUAUUUUUACUUUAGUUAAAAAGUUAAUAAAUUUUUAAAGAUAUUUUAACUGAAUUAAAUAUUUGAACACAAAAUAAGCUAAUAAUAAUUAGUUUCAUGAGGCAGUUAAAUCUAACAGAUAAUAUGUUCUUUCAUAUGAUUAAUUUUUAAUAACGCAGACAACAAUGAGGCAGUUAAGUUCUUAUAUUUAUAUAUGUUUAGAUAAAAAUAAAAAUGAGCAUUUAUCAAUUACUUUACUUUUAGAAAUUGGGAGGAAGAGAGAAUAAAUUAUCGCAAUUGACAAUUUAAAUUAAGUGGAGAAAUAUAAAUUACGUACUUGUAGCUGUGCCAACCAAUUACCCACUCCUUCGUGGCCUCCAAUGGUUAAGUCUUGCAAAGGCAAUUGAGCAUCAAAAUUCCUUGGACCUAAAAAGCUGUAAUUUGAUCUGAGCCGAAGAGACACUUGUCUUAGGUGAGGGAACUUGAUGAUGCCAUCUCUGUUACGAGACAAAGAGACUGGGAAGACAUAUUCCAGUUUACCACAGUGAGAUAUGAAGAGAGUUUUUAAUAGUGGGAAGCAAGGAGACUCUGGAAUUAUUUCCCUUUCACCAUCCUCUUCUCUGAUAAUAUGCUUCAAUUUACCGCAUUCAUUUAUGUAAAGCCUUUCUAGCUUUGGCAGACUUCGAGCGAGGGACGGUGUGAAGAUAAAUGUCAGUUUGUUAAGAUUCCAAACAAGUAGACGAGCAAGAUUUUGGAGGCUGACAUGUCCGGUGGGCCCCUUCCAUAUGCAUUUGAGCUCAGGUAACAUUUCCAGCUGUAACUCUGUUAAAGAUGACAGCAGCUCCUUCUCCUCAGUGCUUCCUUCAUCAGCCUCACCCAAUUCAAAUACCUCUUCCAAUGAUUUGCAGUUGUAAAUGUCCACCUCCUUUAGAUUUUUUAAACCUUGCCGCAAUUUUGCUGGAAACAGAGUGAAAACAUCCCCACAACUGCUCACUUGUACAGAUUCUAAUUUAUGUAAAAACAAUUGCUCAAAUGUCUUCGCAUUUAAGGAUGUACCAACCAAAUUUAAUCUUGUCGAGGUUGGGUAUCCAUAAUUGGGCAGAAUCCGAUUCCCAAAUAUUAUAUGAUAUUUGCGCAAACUAACUGGAAAAACAAAAUCUCUGGGAAUGCAUUCAACCUUCGGUAUCCACAAUGAUAAUACGGCUAACUGAGACAACGAAUUUAGUUCUGUUAGGCUUGCAUUCAUUCCUCCUGUGCUGUCACAUCCACCAACAACAUCCCAUCCCUGAAAGCUUUCAUCCCCGAUCAACAGCUCUUCUAACUUCUUCAACCUUCCAAUCAAAUUCACAGGGAUCCUUCUUAGCAUUUCACAACCUGUCACAUCCAACAACCUUAACUCCUUGAGCUCUCCUAUUUCAUCAGGUAAUUCUUCAAUGGAUAAGCACCACGUAAGAACAAGAAUCUUAAGUCUCUGCAGCUUUCUCAACCAAAUGAGGUCCUUGCAUCCACACCUGAUCAACACCAACGAUUGAAGUUUCGUUGAGAGUUCAAGUGAUUGCAAUGACAAACACCCUCCCUUCAGAGACAAAACUUCAAUUUCUUUCAUCCCUUCGAAAAACUUCUCUGGAACAUUCAUACCAUCAUCCAGUUCUAAUAAUAGAACUUUGAGCUGUGGGCAUACCAAUCCUUCAGGAAGUUUUGCUAGUUUAUUGCCCAUUAACGAAAUUGUUGUACAACCUUCAAAGCUUUUAUUGCUCAUUGGCCACUCCUUCAACCCAAUGCCAACCUUUACCAUGAAUCCAUAUUCUUCUGAUGAUGCUAUCUGAAUAGCAACAUCACGAACCAAGUCAUGCAUUCUCACAUGUUCUUCAGUUUCAGUGCCCAGCAACAAACAACAAGCUUUGAGGUAUUCGAUUGCCACAUGAACUUGUUCCCUUGCAUCUUCAAUGGGCUCCCCAUCUUGAUGUAGCCCAUAGCCAACUGCAUAUCUCGUCAAGUCCUCGAUUGGAAUGUUGUAAUCUUCUGGAAAUAAACAGCAUAGCAAGAAACAUAACUUGGUUUCCUUGGACUUCAAAUAAUCGUAGCUCAACUUAAGACAUGCAUAUGCAUUUUUUUCUUCAAUUUGUUCCAUGUCCACAAAUUGAGAGUUUUUGAGCUGUUUAGACACUCUUUUCCACUGGUUUUCAGAUUUAUCUCUUAGAGCCCUUCCCAAUGUCACAAGUGCUAUAGGCAAGCCUUUGCAUUCUCUCGCAACCUUCCUUGCCACUGUGUUCAAGGUAGAGUCCCCAUCACGUAAACCUGCAUUGAUUCUGAAUAAAGCCAAUGCUUCAUCUUCAGAUAAGACUCCUAAAAACACUUUUUGCUGGCACUCCAUAGUAGAACAAAUGUGUUCAAGACGUGUUGUUAGAAGAAUUUUACAACCCCUGUGAUCAUCACCAAAUGGGAUCCCUAUCUCUUUCAAGUCAAUAUGUUUCCAAACAUCAUCCAGGAUUAUAAGCAUCUUCUUUCCCUGCAGUCUCUGCCAUAAUUCACUUGCUCUACCUUCUUUACCCGUUUUUUCAAAUUUCAGAUGUAAACUAUCUGCCAUUCGAUCCUGGAUGCCUAUGACAUUUGGAUUCUGGGACACCGUAGCCAUAAAAACUUCAGGAAAAAGCUGCGACUCUUUGGCUCUCCUGCCUACUUCUUUCACCAGGGUGGUUUUACCCACCCCUCCCAUGCCGUACAGUCCGAUCAUAUUGACGUUGUCAUCUUUGAGAGCUUUCAUAAUCUGUUCCAAAGCUUCUUUUGAAGCUUCUGAGGGCGUGAAAUCCUUUGAUGGAAGAAAUUCUAUGGGCUGAGGAGGAGCUUUGUCGGCCACUUUUGUAAACUUUGUUUCUAAAAGUUUUCUGAAAGUCUCCGACUUCUUGGCCAGUGCCUUGCUUAACUUGAAUUGUCGCAUGCAGUUUGGACACCAAGUGAAGCAUUUGCCAUUUUUUCCUAUUUCAUUUUCCAAGGGCUUCGCACCUUCAAUUUCGUUGUUUGCAUCUUCCAGCCACUUUUUGACAUCUUUGUAAAUUUCUUCAGCAUUCCUUUCAGCAGCUUUGACAUCAUCUUGCAGACGUUCUUUUGCCGAAUCCAGGUUCUCCUUUCGUUCAUUGAAUUCUUCAACAAAAUGGUUGAAACAGAACAUGUAACGGAACUGCCUUCCUACUGGUUCCACCAACAUGUAACGGAACUGCCUUCCUACUGGUUCCACCAUGAGUUCUGCUAUCUUAGAUAGAAUGGCACUUUCGAGAGCCAUUUUCCACAGGUCUGAAAAUCUAAGAAAUAAGGAUACAGAACGUGAGAGUGAGUCACUUCAAGUAAAACAGGCGCAGAGAGAGUGGGAAUAGGAAUCCAUUACCUUAAUUUGGGAAAAUAUGUGCGCAAAAGCACUGGUACUGAUAGCUCAAUGAAAUAGCGGAAGGAAGAAAAGGAGAAGGCCUUUAGCUCUGUAUGGAAUCCAGCUUCAAAAGCAACAAGGCAAGGUAUAAGUUUAACAAUAAAAUAGUUUACAUGGAUUCUAACUGACUCUUGUGAGUUAAAGCAGUAGUUCCCAUUAAAAAUGCAUUUUGAUGACAUAAUUAAGAUCAUAUAGAGACAGUGACAAACAAAUAAAAAAAUAAUAAUGUGUAAAAGUACUCACCUAGCAAAUAUAAUUGACCUAAGCUCACUUAGACGUCUCCAUGGAUGAUACCAGCUCGCUUCCAACAACAAAUAUAAUUGACCUAAGCUGUGAUAGGUCAAAUUUUUUUUAGUUUUUUUUUUAAAAAAAAAAAACAGAUCAACAAGAGAAAAGACUUACAAAGAAGUAGAAUUACUGAAAGAAACUCAUCAAAGAAUCAAACUCAAGCAAUUAAAAAUAAUUGUCUACGAUGACCAUCUCUGUAUUACACAUUCAGGUAAUAUGAUUGACCUAUAACAAUAUUAAAAAAAAAAUAAAGCUAAAAGAAUUACGUUUUUGAUAGCAUCCAGAGUGCGGUUACUUUUUUAAUCCCUCUUUUGUGGUUUUAUUUUAUUUCAGUCCUUCAAGUCUUUUUCUUUUGCUAUUUCAUCGAGUUUCUUUCUCUUGAGUUGUUGUGCUUGCCCUCGAAUAUGCAUUAUGCUAGGAAUUACAAUUACAUUACAUAAAAAAUUAUAAUUACAUAUUACAAUUACAAAUUUUAAAAAAUAAUUAUGAGAAAGGACCAAUGUUACAAUGUGAACAAAUGAAAGGAGAAUUUUAAAUUUUCUUGUGACAUGGUGACCAGGUAAUUCAAGGAACCAAUAGAUUAUCGCCACAUGUUCAACCAUAUCUCCACAUGUUCAACCUUAUAUUGUAUUGUGACAUGGAGAUAAAGGUCAUCUAAAAAGCUAAUAGAUGGUCGCCCCGUGUUCAACUUUAUCUACCCAUUAGGAAAGGAUAGAAAGUGGGAGAGAGAAAGGUUAAAAAGGCUUAAAAAAGAAAAAGGAAAAGGAGAGACAGAAAUAAAAGAAAGGCUGAGAAAAAGGAAAGGACGUGGAAAUAGAAGGAGAGAUUGAGGGAGGCAGAAAUGGAAAGGGACAUAGAAAGAUCGGAGGAGAGUAAGAAAAAAAUAUGAAUAUGUGAUGUCCUAUUUCUGAUAAAAAUACUCUGUUUUUUUUUAUUUAAAUGGGAUUUUUUUAUCUUUUAUUUGGAAUUUCUUUGGACACUUAAAUAAUAUAAUAACAAAAAAAAAUUAAAAUAUUGAUGAAAUUAAAACCAAUAGUAUUUUUUUCUAUAUUUUAAGUUUUAGUUUUUAAUAGCCUCGUUUGAUUUUUAUUUUUAUUUUCAUGCUCUUAUAAAUAAUGCAGGAAAUGAGGACCUGAAAUCACAACAGCGAAUAAAAAGAGAAAUAACGUGUUUGUUAUUAAGUAUUAAAAAAAAAUAUUUUAUUUUAUUUUUAUUUUAAAUUAAUUUUUAAAAAACUAGCUUGAAAAUUAGUACGAAAAAUAGUGAUAAUAGAGUAGAUGUCCAAAUCAAAACAUAUAAAUAGAGUAUUUUAUAAAUAUUUUGGAUAAAAAAUAGGUUAAAAACAAGUUUUUAAAUAAAAAAUCAAGCUUUAUUAUUUUAUAUAAUUCAAAUAAAAUCAAUAUAUUUAGUUGUUCAAAAUUAUAACUCAAGUUCUGUCAUGUCUUUUUAGAAGGAAAAAAAAAAACGCUUGUAACAUAGUGCAGUGCAAACAGAAGAGACAUCUGGUUUUUAUUGAGAAAAAGAAAGGAAAAAAAAUAUAUAUAUAUAUAUACUCUCUCUUCCAAUUUCCUCUCCCAGCUGAAUUUUGGCGACCGCUCACACAACGAUAGCCUACACAACCACCAGCCAUGCCACCUUUCAAGACCCCAUCUCUCAAUCUCAAAACCAGAAACAACCCUUUCUCCAUUUAACCGAACCUCAUAACUCCGAGAAAGUGAAGGACUAAACCAUAGUGGCAAAAAUCUAAAUUAUCUCUGUUACUUUUCCUCAAUUUUCUAGACAAGCACAAGGAGCUAAACUUAUUCCCGACCAAAACGUCAAGAAUUUCAGUAGAACAAAAGAAGAGAUUAUUACUUGACCAAAAAUAACUAGUUAGCACCCAAAGAAACCGAGUGAAUGAGAGAAAAAGACUAAUAGCUAGAAAACAAUCAACAGAUCCAAGAAUUUUCUGUAUGGUUUCCAAGAAAAUGAAACGAAAUGAGCAGCACAACCCUCUUUCUCCUCCAAGAAAAGAAAGAAAAAGAAAGGAAAGAAACAAAGAAAGUCAAACUUGGCUCCUCUUUUAGUGUUAAAAAAAAAAACAAAGAAGUUCGAGGAAGUGGGCAGCCUUUUUUCUGAUGUUCAUGUGGUGUUCUGCUGUUCACGCAGACUAAGAACUCCUACCAUCGUAAAAUCAUAUAAUUAAAACACAACAAUAAAAAAGUAAAAAGCAGCUAAUUAUGUGCGAAAAUCAGAGAAAUAAGGAUACAGAACGUGAGAGUGAGUCAUUGCAAGUAAAAGAGGCGCAGAGAGAAUGGGAAUAGGAAUUUCAUUACCUUAAAUUGAGAAAAUAUGUGCGAAAAGCACUGGUACUGAUUGCUCAAUGAAAUGGAGAAGGCCUUUAGCUCUGUAUGGAAUCCAGCUUCAAAAGCAACAACGCAAGGUAUAAGAAUUUUGAUGACAUACUUAAGAUACUAUGCGUAGUAAUAUAGAGACAGUGACAAAGAAAUAAAGAAAAAUAAUGUGUAAAAGAACUCACCUAGCAAAGAAAGAAACGAAUGAAAGGUUCAGGAUAAUCACUUAGACGCCUCCAUGGAUGAUACCAGCUCGCUUCCAACAACAAAUAUAAUUAACCUAAGCUAUGAUCGGUCAAUGUUUUUUUUAGUUUUCUUCUUUUAAAAAAAAAAAAAGAUCAUCAAGGGAAAAGACUUGCAAAGAAGUAGAAUUAAUGGAACGAACACAACAAAGGAUCAAACUCAAGCAAUUAAAAGUAAUUGUCUGUGUCACACACUCAAGUGAGGAGAGAAAAGAAGGAGAAAGAAAGGAAAGGGACAAGGAAGGCAGAAAGUAAGGUCACGUAGGGCCAGUCUUGUAGAAAGUUUGAAAAGUAGCAUGAAAGAAGAGGAUAAUAGUGUAGUUGUCAGAAUCAAAACACGUAUAAACAGAGGACAAAAACAGGAAGGGAGGCUGUUUGUUUUUUUAACUGUGUCUGAGUGCUUUUUAUAAUUAUAUUUAAUUUAAAAAAUAUUAAAUUAAUAUAUUUUUUAAUAUUUCUUGUUAUAUAUAUAUAUAUAUAUAUUUAAUAUUUAAUAAAUUUUUAAAUAAAAAAUAUUUUUAAAAGUAUGUGUCACAAUACAAAAUUAUAGUAUAAAUUAAAAGAAAAAGGAGUUUUAUGCUCAUUACUAUUUACUGGACUUGUAGAUAUUAAUAAUAAAGUUUUUGAAAGUUUUCGAUCUAGUAUUUGAACUUAUUUUUUUUUGCAUAAUUGAAUUUUUUUAAGCUUAAUUGCAUAUUUGUUUUUUAAGGAAAUAGGUUGAAUUGAGAAACAGACAAACUCGGCAAAAAUAUGUGGUUAAAAUCAAUCCAUUUUUUUUAAAAAAAACUACUUGGUUGUUAAGGAAAGAUUGGUAGUGUGAACAAAUCACCAAAGUCAGCAGCAAGGAAGUUCUAGGAAGUGGGCAGCCUUUCUUCUACUGUUCAUGUGGUGUUCUGCUGUUCAUUGGACAGUGCAAUUAACGUGAACAGUGCAAAAAAAGCGAGGAAUUCUUGCUUUGCAAAUACUGCAUUUCCAACGCAGAAAAAAGAUGGGACCCAGUGAACAGUAUACCACAUUUUUAUUUAACCAAGCGGCCCAAACGGGCUCUAAGAACUCCUACCAUUGUAAAAUCAUAUAUUUAAAAUACAAUAAUAAAAAUGUAAUACGCAGCUAAUUAAUGUAUUAAGCAGCUAAUUAAUGUUGUUGUUCUUUCUUCUUGUUUUGCUAUUUUGAUUUUAUUGCAUGUUUCAAAAAAAGUAUGAUUGUGAAAGCUAGCCAAACCAUUAGAUCAAAGUAAUCUAAGAUGGUUUUUGAGAGUGUAGUUGUCGUUAUUUUUCACUCGGAAAUACAUCAAAAUAAUAUAUUUUUUAUUUUUUAAAAAUUAUUUUUGAUAUUAGCGUAUCAAAAUUAUUUGAAAACACCAAAGAAAUAUUAGUUUGAAGUAAAAAAAAAUAAAAAAAAUUUCAAAAGUGCUUUUGAAACGUAAAAACAAACAGAGUCUAGUGUAGUUGCGUCCAACGUUGUCCCGAGGUACUUUUUAUAAUCUAAAUUUUUUAAUAUAUUUUUUUAUUUAAUUAUGCAAUAUAUUCAUAGAAAACACUCAAAAUAAAAUUAUUGACAAAAAAAUAUAUAUUUCUUAAAAAUAUUUUUUUAUUGAAAACAUAAUUUUUUAAUUCAUGCAUUUUUUUAUUUAAAAAAAAUGUAUUUUUUAUGAGUAACAUUAUUUUGCUCAAAUGUCCCUAAUACAUAAUUAUUUAUAAAGUAAUGAAAAUAUCAUAAUAAAAAUUCCUAAUCUUCUUGAAAACAAUUAAAUAAUUGAACAAUUACUUAAAUAUUUUUUUAAUAAAUUGAUUGAAAGAAAUUUUUUAUUAAAAAUAAAGAAUAAAGAAUAACAUGAUAUCUAAGAUAAAGGUCAUACAAGCCUUCAAAGAUAAUAUAUGUAUGUGUAUAAUACAAAUUAAUAAAUUAUAAGUAGCAAUAUUUAAUGCAAGUUUAAGAAUAAGAGUUUGCUUUGUGUUUUGUUGUGAGAUUAACCAUAUCAAAUUAUAUAUUUAAUAAUAAAUAAUUGUGUUGUGUUAUGAGUAAAAUCAAUAAAUUAUUUGGUGUUAUGCUGUCUUGUUGUUUGAAUUAAAAUUAUUAUUAAGAAUAUAAAUUAAAUUAAAUUAAAUAUUGAAAAAACUAAAUGAAUUGCUUAAUAAAUAAAUAAAUAAAUUCUUUCUUUAGAAAGCAUGGAAAUGCCAUGACAUUGGCUUUUUAGAGAAUACUACGAUAUUAAUAGCCAAAAAAGUUAUCGAUAGCUGUGUAAAUCAUUGAAAUUGCCACAAAAGCAACCCAAAUUAUUUAUGAAUUGGAUUCGAUGGAAGGAAGAUGGGAAGGGGGAAAUUAAAGAGACAUGAAGAUCUGUGCAUGGCUACCUGUUUUGAGAAUUAUAGAUUUUUAUCCCUAACUCAAAACGGCACCAAUUAUAAGUUCAUUCAAAAAAAUCUGGAACACAAAAGAUGGAAAAAACUCGAAACAACUCGUCUAGAAUUUAGGCAAGAAGAAUGAGCCAAGAUUUUAAGUGAAAUGAAAUUUGUUUUACUUUGUUCUGUUUUUUAAAAUGAUAUAAGACAUACUACCUAUUUAAGGUGAAACAAAUGGAAUCGACAACCUUUAAAGAGAGUAGAGGCCACAUAUGUGUCACUCGUAUUCAAUAGCCUUUCUCCCAUACUGACAUGUGUUUUACACGCACCAACAUUUCUUUCUCUUUUAUUCUAUAAUAUUCAAUAUCGGUGAGUGAGGAUUUGGUAGUUGGCCUUAUUAGUAGUGUUGGUUGUUGACUUGUCAAACACGUUUUGGGCCCAUGCGUGGUCACCAAGAACAAAUUCGUGAGGGCGAUAAGGCCCAGAAAGAUAAUAUCUAGUAGGUUCAGUCAGGCUAUGACAUAUUCGAUAAUAACUCUUCAAUUAAGUCCUAAAUCUCAUUUUAUCUUUUCAAUUUAAUCCCUAAUUUGACACCAACUCUUCAAUUAGACCCCAAAGCUCAUCUCACAUGAGGAAAGCCCUCUUUUUUCAAUUUAGCCCCUUAUUAUCUUCAAUUUAAUAUCAAAUUUUAUUCGAUCCAGGCCCAAAAAAGGCUAAGCGAAGAUAGAAUAAAGGAAGGGAAAGAAGAUGAAUAAUUGCCCAACUGAGUUAACGUGUUCUGGUCUUUUCUCUAUGAUUCGGGUUGAACAUUUGACAUUUAUCCUUUUUUUCCUAUAGUCUUUUCUCCAUAUUCGUUGUGACGCCGCACACGUGCGACAACCAGUAAAUCUAUAGUUAAUUUCAUUUUUUGAUAAAAGAUAAUACCAUCGGUAUAGAAUGGUUACCAACUGUUAGUUUAAUAUGCCUUGUAGCCAAUCGGUUAGUUAUACAAGGUAUUAUUAUAUUCAUGUAAAUACAUAUUUAUUAUUAAUAAAGCCUUAAUUUAACUUUAAUAUUCAUAUAAUAUUAGAUUAAUGAAUCUAGAGUGUAGAUAAAGUUUAUGAGACAAAAAUGCUUUGCAAAGGAAAUUAUAAAGUUGUUAUAAUUAUGAGAUUUUUAAUGCGUCAAAAUAUUGUUAAUAAAAUGUUCUUGGUUGAUGCUCUCUUAAAUACUGGAUAUUUAUUAGAGCCAUAAAGACUGAUACAUAUUAUGUUUUUUCCUUUAUGAAAUGAAGCAACUGUUCUCAUAAGUUGAGCUAUAAGGGAUAUCUAAAACUAAUAUGUAUGUGCUUGUCAUAAGACAUGUGCACUGAAUUGACCCGCAUGAGAAUUCCAUAUGGAGAGAUUACCUAUGUCUAUGGAAAGACUCACGUGACGGUUGUAUAUGUAAUCCUCGGACUUGAGAUCACUAAGUUAUCUUAUAUAGAGAAUGUUAUGCUUUGAUCAUGUUACAUGUUAUCUUAAUUGAGGUAACAAAAUGAUAGACAUUGGGUAUAUCAUGAACUAUAUGAAGGUAUUUGAGUGAUUAAGAGAGGAUUUCAUCAUCCUGUGUGAAUUAGAAAAAAUGUUCAAUCUGUUCUCAAAUAGUAUUGACUGAGAAAUCCUUGACCAAUGUGGAAUGAUAUUUAAAAAGGGUUUGAAAUCUUAUUCAAAUGAUCAAUUAGUAUUAUUUAGAGAAUGAACAUAAUUUAACAUGACAAAUAUGCUUCAUGCUUUAAUGUUAAAUAAGAACAUUAGUGAUAAAAUGGUAUUAAUUACAAUGAGAAACCGGUAAUUUAAACCACUAAUAACUUUUCUAAUAUUUAGGGUAUCAUGACACGUUACUAGACAAUACACAUGAUCUUCAAAUCUUCAAUUGUAAUUUAUUUAAUUAUAAUUAUAAUUUAUAUUUGGGCCAAUAUAUUAAAUUGUGAUGAUUUAAUUAAGUAUAACUUGAUUAAAAUAUAUUUUAGAAAUUAAGGACUACAAUAUAAGUAAUACAAGGAUUAUAUUUCCAGAUCUAGAAAAAUCAGGUAAGGACUAGUGGUUCAUGUGGAUUACCGUUGAAGGACGAACAAUUGGACGACUUCUAGUUUGCAACAACUCAGUCUUUAAAAAAUUAUUCAAAACCGAAAAUGAUCAAAUUUUCAGGUAAUAAAUCCCUAAACAACUCUAGAUCUGUUUAACGAGAUUCUAGAAACUCCUGAAUAAUUUUAUUUUAUUACUUCAGCUGCAUAUUUGUUAUUCGACAAACCCAACACCAACUUCAUUGUUGGUUUAACAUUUCUUUUACAUGUUGGGAAUUUGGUACUAAUGGAUGUAUUUUCUUAAGUUGAAAUAAUGCCACACAAGAAAGGUUAAAAAGGCUCUUAAAAAGAAAAGAAAAGGAAAGACACGGUUGAGAUAAGAGGACAAAGGAAGAAAGUGAAUGGGACAACGGAAGAAAGUAAGGUAUUGUAGAGAAGAGGAGAUGAAAGUUAGUAUGAGAAAGAGGAUGAUAGAUAGAGUGGUUGUCCAAAUCAUAGUGGUUUUUAUAAUUAUAUUUAAUUUAUACAAAUAUUAAAUUAAUAUAUUCUUAGUAUUUUAUAUGAUUUAAUUUUUUUUUUGAUGAUUUAAAAAAUAUGUGUAUAAAAAAUUAUUUUAAUAUAUUUUAAAAUUAAAAGAAAAUGAGGUUUUAUGUUCAUUACCAUUUAAUUGUGGACAACAAUAGUGUAUUUUUUGAAAAUUUUCAAUUUUAUACUUAAAUUUUUUUUCAUAAUUGAUCCUUUUUAAUUAAAAUUAGAGUCGAAUUACAUAUUGUUUUAAGGAUGAGAGUUGAAUUAAAAGACAGGGGACUAAAGUUAAAAACUCAGCUAAAAUAGAUGGCAACUCUAUAAUUUGUUUGCAAAGUUCAUUUUAGUUCCCUGUUUUUUUAAGCUAUUAAAUAAUAAGUCCCUAUAAUUUUCCAGCAUUGCAUUUUGAAUUUUUUUUAUUAAUACUUUUUUAUAUAUAUUUUUGAAAAUAAUUUUAAAAAUGAUGUUUUUAUUAAUACCCUUUUUCUAUGAUUUUUUUUGGCCUUAUGUAGUCUUUCUUCAAUUAUUUUUAAUUUUGUUGCUUGUGUUUAAUUUUUUAAGAGGUUAGUAAUAUUUAUCUGUAAAUAUUUUUUAUAUAUUUCAGAUAGAUUAAGUAUCUAAUUUUUAUAAUAAUUUGAAUAUGUGUAGCCUUGCAUAGUUUUUUUUUUCCUUUUAUGAUAUUAAAAAAAAAUUAUGUGUGUGUUGAUUUCUAUUAUAGAUUGAUUUUAGUAAACAAAUUCAUUAAAUAUAACCAGAUAAAUGAUCCAUGUUGCAAUAUUAAAUAUUUUAUCUAUAUUUGUUUCUUAAUUUUUCCACUUGUAUUUUUAAUUAUCGGUAAUGACUUUAUUUUUUUCAUUUAUUUACAUAAUUGUUUGUGAUUUAUUUAAUUUGAUGCGUGUAUAAAUUUUUUGAUUUACAUUUAAAAAAAAUUUAAUAUAAAAAAACAUGUUGAGAAAUUCUUAUUCUUAUGAUUUUAGUUUGAUCCUUAUUCUUAUGAUUUCUUAUUUUCUUUCUAACCCUUUUAUAAAACAAAAAAUUGUUUGUAAUUUUAUCCUUCAUUUCAACAUAAUGAUGUAUUUUUUUCCUUAUAUAUAUUCUUGUUUGUUAUUAUUGCUUUUUUUCUUUAUAUAAUUCAUAUAAAACCAGCUUAUUUAAUCGGUCAAGACUAAAUAAAUAAAUAAAAAGAUAUACUCUGUCUUCCCAUUUCCUCUCCCUGGUGAAUUUUGGCGACCACCCACACAAUGAUAGCCUAAACAACCACCAGCCAUGCCACUUUUCAAGACCCCAUCUCUCAAUCUCAAAACCAGAAACAACCCUUUCUCAUAAUUCCGGGAAAGUGAAGAACUAAACCAUAGUGGCAAAAAUCUUAAAGGGUCUAAAUUAUCUCUGUUACUUUCCCUCAAUUUUCUAGACAAGCAAAAGGAGCUAAACUUAUUCCCGACCAAAACGCCAAGAAUUUCAGUAGAACAAAAGAAGAGAUUGUUACUUGACCAUAAACAAUUAGUCCGCACCCAAACAAACUGAGUGAAUGAGAGAAAAAGACUAAUAGCUAGAAAACAAUCAACAGAUCCAAGAAUUUUCUGUAUGGUUUCCAAGAAAAUGAAACGAAACGAGCAGCACAACCCUCUUUCUCCUCCAAGAAAAGAAAGAAGAAGAAAAAGAAAAAGAAAAAGAAAGGAAAGAAACAAAGAAGUUCGAGGAAAGAAAAAGUAAGGAAGAUGAAACCAUAAACCUGCAAGUCCUACAAAUCAUAAACAUUGACUUUGAUUUUUCCUUUAUAAAACCAUAAACCUGCAAGUCCUACAAAUCAACAUGAAGACUUAUCAGAUCCUAAUGAAAAGCUGUCAAAAUCCUAUCAGAAAUUAAGGAAGAUGACGUUACGUUAACUUCAAAUCUGAGGAUUAAUUGUAGCAGAUCUUAUAGGGUUCAGCUGAUUGCUUUACUUGUUUAAAUAAUUCUCUUGUAAGCCUAAUGGUUCACGUCUUCCAUCAUUGCAACCUUUUUUUCUGUGAUUGAAAAAUCUAUAAUAGGAACCUGCACUGCAUCCCUUCUAUGCUGUUGUUCUUUCUUCUUGUUUUGCUAUUUUGAUUUUAUCAUAUUUUCUAUGAUGAAAGUUGAAGAAAUUCUACUUCGAAACUCAAGACAAAGUCUCUCGGACUGCAUAUUAGUGGGUUGCUCAUUGGGAUUUCUAUAAACAACUGAUUCUAUUGCAAAGCAACAUUACGAAAAACUGAAUAUUUCACACAUUGUCAAUUCCUUAACAUUUUCCAAACAAAUCCAUGCUCCUCAUUUUAUACUGUCUUGAGGGUUUCUAUUCUCUUAUUACCAAUUUCAGUAAGUUUCAUAAUAAGCUGCUUAGAAAGAAGCUAUCUAACAGGAGGGUGGGGCUACUCUUAGCCAAUGAAAACAGCUUCACAUGCUAUACAGCAACGUGAAAAAAAGAUUCUCAGCCUGUUCUCUCUUUAAUUGAACCAGUUAUUUUUCUCAAAAAUAAAAAAAGUAAACCGUUUUCUAAAAAUCUAAUUUAUAAUAAAACAAAUAAUAAGACUUGAUAAUAAUUCACUAAAUAACCAUUAAUUAUUCAUCAAACCAAUAUGAAAAAUCUAAUAUUAAAGCUAGGGACCAAUCUGGAAUUUUAUUAUAUUUUUAGGGGUCAAAUUAUAAUUUUAUUAAAUUGGAGGACCAAACUAAAAAUAUCAUAAAUUCAUGACUAUACUGGAAUUCUGCUCAUAAUUCACCCUCAAUUCUGCUCAGAAUCUCAAAUUAUGCUCCAAGGAUCACUCUAGAAUUUUAUCAAAUUUCUAGGGUCAAAUUGUAAUUUCAUCAAAUUGGAGGACCAAAGUGAAAAUAUCAUAAAUUCAUAACUAUACUGGAAUUCUGCCCAUAAUUUAACUUUAAUUCUGUCCAGAAUCUCGGAUUAUGCUCCAGGGACCAAUCUCUAAUUUUUCCAAAGUUCAGGGACUAAACUGUAAUUUUCAUAAAUUGAGAGACCAAGCUGAAAUUUUAUAAUCUUCAACCUCAAACCCAGAAUUUACACAGAUAACCUACUGAUAUAUCAAGAUUUCUAACUUAAAUUCACCAUAACUUAAAAUAAUUAUUUUUACCUAAAAUCUUUCAAAAUCAACUAAAUAACUCAUUACCCAUAACAAUCUACUCAUAAUUUUUCUGUAAUGUAAUUGUAAUUCCUAGCAUAAUGCAUAUUCAAGGGCAAGCACAAAAACUCAAGAGCAAAGAAACUCGAUGAAAUAGUAAAAGAAAAAGACUUGAAGGAUUGAAAUAAAAUAAAACCAAAAAAGAGGGAUGAAAAAAGUAACCGCACUCUGGUUGCCAUAAAAAACAUAGUUCUUUUAGUAUUUUUUUUUUAAUAUUGUAAUAGGUCAAUCAUAUUACCCGAGUGUGUGAUACAGAGAUGAUCAUCAUAGAAAAUUACUUUUAAUUGCUUGAGUUUUAUCCUUAGAUGACAAACUUACCUCGUCCUCCUAAUGCUUUUGCUUUUGCUUUCAUUGUUUCGAAAGUAAAAGAGACAUAAACAUAAUCAUUUCCUUCCUUUUACUUUCCACUUCUUUGUAAUGGAUUGCGAACGGGAUGGUGCUUAGUGAGGCCAGUUUUUCUUUUCCUUUCUUUUUAAAAUCUUAUGCCUUGGGUGAGGAAAUUAGUGGGGCAUUAGACUUUUUAAAAGACAACAAAAAGAAGCAAUGUCUGAUCAUCUUUUGAUAUGGUGGUCUUCCAUGAUCAGUUUUCGAAAGAUUCGAGUCUCCGUUCUAGCUCAGGUUGGGAGCUAGGCCGAAAGCUAAGCUUCUUUUAAUUAUGAAUUGUUUAUGCAAAGGAAACCCAGAAGCUUGAACAAACAGAAAUGCCUUGUUGAUUUCUCUGCUACUACUCAUUAUUUCCAAUAUUAUUCCAUUAUCUUACCCGAAAGCAAUUAUACAAGAAAUUUCAUUAUCCUGCCCCAGAAGGCAAUUUAUUACAAGGACUUCCUUUAACCUCCUUGAAGGCAAUUUAUUUGAUGAAAAUUCCUUUAAUCCACCUCAAAGACAAUUUAUCUUAGGGAAUUCCAACGACCCAGGAAAUUUAUUUCCUGGAAAUUCCUUUAACCCGCCCUAAUUAAGUCAUUUUAUCCAAGGGAAUUCCAAAAUCAAUUUAUUUCUUGGACUCAGUAUUCUUUGAUACUAGUUAUUUAUAUAUAAUUUAACAUCACUUAAUCAUCUUGCAUUUAAGAAGAAAUUCAAAAGUAAGGAUAUAACCCUUACCUAGAGCUCCUGUGGUUCUUGUUCCCGAGAGAAUUGGCUCCAUUCCUGACAAAUCUAUUACCAAAAACCCAAGUUUCAACCAAUCAAUAACAUCAACACCCAUUUUAAUUCAAUGCAAUAAGUUUUUCUUAACCAAUUUACUUGAUGCAAGUUCUUAUAAUCAAAGUGACAGUACUAUUCAGGAUGAAGACAAGCAGAAGGGCGUGUAUUAAUUUUAUUUUUUAAUGUUCAGCUUUUUUUAUUGAAUUUUAUUUGUCAAUAUUGAAUUAAUUAUAAAUUAAUUUUUAUAUUUUUUUUUAUCAUAUAUAAAAAAACAAAGUAAUCUCAUCUUUUGAUACGGUGGUCCAAGAUGCACCAUGACAUGGUUGUACGUAGUUUUUUUUUGCCUGUUUCUUUUAAAAAUGUUAUGUCAUUUAAUUUAUAAUUAUAAAUUAAUUUUUUUUAUUGGUCAUUUUAAUUUUUUUUACUUUUUUUAUAUAUAAUUUUUUAAUUUUAUAUUUUAAUGUUGAGUUUUUUUAUUAAAUUUUAUUUGGCUAUAAACCAGAACUUUUUAUUUUUUAUUUUUUGGACAAGUAGAGAGAAAUUAAAUAAACAAAGUAGUCUCAUCUUUUGAUAUAGUUGUAGUUUUUUAUUAUUUGAUUUUUGCCUUUUUCUUUUAAAAAUGUUAUCUCCUUGGUAAGGAAUCCUUGGUUCCCAACGGCAACUGUAGCAACGUAAAAACAAAUCUCUAAACUCCACCGAAAGUAGUAGAGCAUUAGUUUUUUAAAUUGACAAAACGGGGACAAAGUGGGAGCGAAGAAAAAGACAAUAGUGCAUGUUUAAAACAUGCGAUACACCGUAUAUAUGACAAUAAUAAAACCACCGUUUAAAACAACUCUGAAAACAAAUUUUUUUUUAUAAUUCAUAAUUUAUUAAACAUGCGAUAAAAUAAGUCAUAGUGCAUGUUUUCAUUUGGCAUUUAAUUCCAUGAACAUGAUUUUUUUAGAUUAAUAUGAAUAUCCGGAUUAGCUUGUGUACCUCAACUAAUCCCAUGAAUCCUAAAAUUAACGAUAAUAUAAGUAUCUAGUGGCCCUGAAGUUUGUGAAAUUUGAACUUAUAAUUUUUAGAGAGCAAAUUCAGGAUCUGAUCAAUUGAGCUACUUUCCUCAUAUUUUCAUUAAAUCUUACUUUUCGAUCAAAUUAAUGUGACCAUAAUAUACUUGUAAUCAGACCAUUAAUUGACUGUUCUUGACUAGCUAUUGUUUCUCAUUGGCAAGAGUCAUUGCCAAUUAUCAUAACAUGUUAGUGAUCUAUUACAACUAGUUCUAGCAUCUACAGAGUUCUUAUUUAACCAUUAAAUCAAUUUAUAAAACAUUAUUGACUAGCUAUCUAACACUAACAACUAAUCACUGAUAAUAUUUAUGCAAAACUUGUAGCUUCAUACAAAUCACAGUUGCUCCUCGUUUGAUACUUUCUUGAAGGUUUCUUUUCUCUUAUUACCAAUUUCUGUGAGUUUGUGAUUUUUUAUCUGUACCGUAUCAUCCGAACAAUUACUAGAACCACACAACUAAUAUGUAAAUUCACAAAUUCCCUACAGUUCAUAUUGCCAACAAACUCCUCUUGCCAUUCCCUAAUUGCAUUGAGCCAACUAAUCUGGAUGAAAGAAAGGACUUCGACCUUGCUAAUCUGGAUGAAAGAAAGAAAGGAACCUUAAAGCAGACCCAACUUUGUAGCUCAUUACCAGUUACGUAAAAGUUAUCAAUAGCUGUGUGAAUCAUUGAAACUGCCACAAAAGCAACCCAAAUUAGUUAUGAAUUGGAUUCGAUAAAGGAAAGAGGGGAAGGGGGAAAAGACAGAUGAAGAUCUGCGCAGGGUUACCUGUUUUGAGAAUUAUGGAUUUUUAUCCCUGUCUAACGUGACAAAACCUUCUCUUAGACUUAGACCUGUUUCAUUGGUCCAUAAAUGCAUUUGCUAGACUAUCAACAUAAUUUAUCUUGGGCAAAUCUUCAUCUAGUUAUGGUAGACUCACACCUGACUGCUUAUAAUCACUAAUUAUUAUAGAAUUGACUACAUCAAAAUUGGUCGGUUUUUUUGUUUUCAAAGAGAUUUAAACUUGAUGCAGACGAAAGCUAUAAACACAAUAAUUAAAGAACACCAAAAAAUAUAUGAGCAAAAGAGACUGUAGAUGUGAACCCUCAAAUUCCCAAGUUUAUUUUCUCUAAAAUAAUAAUAAUAAAAUUUUUCUUCUCAGGAGGUUUACAAAGCCUUAAAUAUGUUAGGAACCUUACCUCAACUAGGAAACAAAAACAGAAACCAAAAUUACAAAGGAAAGAAAUAUAAAAUCCAAAACAAGCAAGAAAUGAAAAAAUAACAAGGAAAAUCACAAAACUGUCAAAACUAGAGGCCUAAACAAGAUUUUUUAUAUUUAAAGAUUCGAUGGUUCACGUGAAAAUUUGAGCAUGAUCAAAUAAUCAAAUAAAAAAUUAUAACUUUUUGAGUUUUUAUUCUGGUCUGACGCGACCAAACUUCUUCUUGAUCCUAAACUUGUUUUAUUGGUCCAUAAAUACAUCUCCAUGACCUCUUUUUUUUUGUUUCACUAUAGAUGAAGUUUGACCAUCAUCAUAUAUGGUUUGACUUAGCCGUAUCGGUUUUCAAUUAGAUCAACUUCAUAUAUUAUGGGUUUACAUUUACUAUUUUUUAAAAAAAUGCUCACAAGUCCAUUUUUCACACCUCAAACUCGUAACUGCAGCGAUUCGUAGGCAACGAAACUAGUUAGAGACUAGAGAGUAAACAUGCUACUAAAGUUUGCAGGUGAGGGUUUAGAUUAGAUUAUUUGUUGUCUUGUUUCAAAUAUUAUAUCAGUCUCAACUCAUUAAAUAAACAAGUGGUGCAUUGAUCCUUGGACUCAAAUCAUAUAUACACGGUGAGCUCAUUUGUGUUUUUAUUUUUUGUCCCUCCCUGUACUUGUAGCAGAAGAGAAGCUGCUCUCAUCUUUGAAGGAAUGCAAACAAUUGUUAAUAUGAAACAUAUUAUGUACAAAUUAUAAUAUUUGUAAGAAGCCGUUUUGCUGCCCACCGGCGGCCAUCUGAUCAGAGAACAAUAUUAUAUUUUUUAAACCCUUCACUCUCAUAAAAACAAUUUAUAUGAUUUUAAAUAGGAAAACAUAGAAAAAAAUAUGAUUAAAUAUUUUUAGAGAUUACAUAUUAUUGUUUUAGUUUUUUUUCUUGAUUAGAGAUAGGUUGAAUAAAAGUAGUAAUAAUUUAUUUUUGUGAAAAAGGGUUACUACAACUCCUGAUAAUUAGUUUCAUGUAAAAAAUAAAAAUAAAAAUAGUAACUAAAAUUUAUUUUAGUUAUGUUAAUAAAAUUUUAAUUAUAUUUUAAUUGAAUUAAGUAUUUCAACACAAAAUUUUUGUUCUUAUACAGUUAUAUAUUAAUUCUAACAAAAAAUAUGGUUUCUAUGUUUAAAUUUUGGUAUUAAUAACGCAUAUAACAAUGAGGCAGUUAAGUUUCUUCGACAAAAUAAAAUCAUUUAAAAAAUAAAAAUAAGCUAGUAUGUUUGUUACAUAACUAAAAAAAAAUCGAUUUUUUUUUAAAUUAAUUUUUUUAAAAUCAUUUUAGUAGACUGAUAUUAAAAAUAAAUUUUAAAAAAUAAAAAAUAUAUUAUUUUGAUAUAUUUUAAAAAAAACAUUAUGAAAAGAAAUUGUUAAUAUUUGUUAAAACAUUAUUGUUAAUAUUUCUGGUCGUUUACUAAAUAUAUAAUGACAUGUGAUUGGAAUAACGUAUGUGAACUUGUACAAAACUUAAUAAAUGAGAAAACUAAGGUAGCCGGUCACGUGGGCUUAAUGGACCUCAAUACAAGUUUUUGAUAUUUACUUUCACGUGUGUUUUAUGAGAAAACUAAGGUAGCCGGUUUCUGAUAAUAUGAGCUGAAUCAAUCAAGCUUAAGAAGCCAAUUUGUAUCCCAUUGCCAAUGAAACAGUUGGAAUUAAUUACUUCCCACCAAUCUAAAACAUAUUCGCAGCACCAACCUUGAAAUCAUGUAACAGCUAACCAACCUUGCCUGAUGCAAACAUGAAGAACAAAGACAAUCCAUGAUUUAAUUCAACCAUUAAAAUUUGAAGGUAAAGGAGAGGAUAAAUAAUCUUCAGCUAUAUCACCUGGUUUGGGCAAGAAAGAAUUAUUAGACUACCAAUCAUCAUCAUUCUUCCCACCCGUUAUCUCGGGUCCACUCUCUAUUAAUGCUUGAAUCUUCAGCUACUUCAGAUACCUGUAAACCAAUUCAAGCAUGGCAUGCUCAUUUUAACUUGUAAAUCUUAUUAUUGAGCCAAACAAGAAACAAACACACUAAAAGAGAGGCAAGAAAUCAAGUCAAAUCAGCAGCACCUCUGAUUGAGCACUCAUUGAACCAUCUGGUGCAGUAGCAAAUUUUGUGGUCAGCUUUGAACAUUGAUGGACCUUCAACUUCUCCAAACGAGGGAAUAAGAAAUAAUCACACCAUCCGAAACUAAAACAGACAAUACUUGAUAAUUGUUCUAGUGACAACUCCUUCAGAUUAGGAAGCACUAUCUCCUUCUCAACGUUGAUAGCUUGAUCAUCCUGCCCUGGAGACUCUGGAAUUAUUUUCCUUUCACCAUCCUCUUCUCUGAUAAUAUGCUUCAACUCACCACAAUUACUUAUCUCAAGUCUUUCUAGCUUUAGCAGACUUUGAGCGAGUGACUGAGUAAAGAUAAAUGUCAGUUUGUCGAGAGAAUUCAAAUACAGACGAGCAAGACUUUGGAAGCUGACAUUCCUGGUGGGCCCCUUCCAUAUAUAUUUGAGCUCAGGUAACCUUCUUAGAUGUAACUCUGUUAUAGAUGACAGCAGCUCCUUCUCCUCACUGCUUCCUUCAUCAGGCAGCUCACUCAAUCCAAAUACCUCUUCCAAUGAAUUGGAGCCGCAAAUUUCCACCCUCCUUAGAUUUUUCAGAGCUCGCAGCAAUUUUGCUGGAAACAGAGCGCGGACAUCCCCACAAUCGUACACUAGUACAGAUUCUAAUCUUUGUAAGAAGCCGUUUUGCUGCCCAAGGACGGCCAUCUUAUCAGAGAACAAUAUUAUAUUUUUUCACUCAUAAAAACAAUUUAUAUGAUGUAUAAAUAGGAUAAAAAAAAAUAGAAAAAACAGGAUUAAAUACUUCUUAGAGAUUACAUAUUACUGUUUCAGUAUUUUUUUUCUUAAUUAGAGAUAAGUUGAAUAACAAUUAGAUUUUUGCGAAAAAAGGUUAAUACAACUCCUAAUAAUUAGUUUCAUGUAAAAAAUAAAAAUAAAAAUAGUAACUAAUAUUUUUAUUUUAGUUAUAAAGUUAAUAAAUUUUUAAAGAUAUUUUAAUUGAAUUUAAUAUUUGAACACAAAAUAAGCUAAUAUGAUUUCUAUGAUUAAUUGUUGGUAUUAAGUUUCUUAUAUUUAAUACAACUCAAUAUAAGAUGGAGGUUUAUCUUCCUUUUCAAAUACUUCCAUUAAUUGGGGGAAGAGCCUCAAUUUCACUCAAACUUGGAAAGCAUAAAGAUUGAAAAAUCUAGGUAGGAUUUCAUUACAGUAAUUAAUUGUUCCAGUGACAGCUACCACAGAUUAGGAAGCCCAUCUCCUUCUCAACGUUGAUAGGUGAGGAAUGAUCAUCCUGCACAAAUACUCCAAAUAAUUGAGAAGCUUCACUUACUUUUAGUAUUUGGAGCUUUGGGAGACCUGAAGUCAUGGCUACUGGGAAGAGACUCUUCAACUUGUUGCAUUUUCUGACAUCAAUUUCACACAAAUUGGGAAAGCAUAAAGAUCGGAGAUGAUCUCCUAACAAUAUAUGGUCGUUUUCAUCAUCAUCCUUAAUUAGCAAUGAUUUGCUCUGAUUCCUCACAGAACAAUAUCCGUAGAAUUUUCAGUUGAACUAGACUGACAAUCAUGCUGCAUGUGAAUACAUGUGUCAAUCUCUUACACUUGACCACAUCCAAAGUAGUCAAUUUGCUCAGCACGAGACCCUUCCAUAUACACCUCAUGUCAAGCAGGGAUUCCAAGCAUAAUGUUUCCAAAUUUGUCAACCCUUGCAUCAAAAGAAAACAAGGAUACCAAUUUGUUGGAUAUAAUUCCUACGAAAUUUUGUGCACGGUGGAACUAUAUAAUUUUGGUAAAUAGAUGGAUGAAUUGUCCCCAAUACUUCAGCCAAAAACUUAUCAACAAAAGAAUAUAAGUAAACAUGGCAAUAGGGCUUCGGAAUAUGAAAUCAGAAGUUGUAGGACUGAAAGAGACAACUCAAUAUUAACAGAUGGAGGUUUAUCUUCCUCUUCAAAUACCUCUUAAGCCCUGCAUCAAGAGACAGGGAAAGAUACAGUUAGCCAACUCCUUUUUAAAUUUAGUGGAUGGCUAAUGGAUUUAUCUCCACUUAUCAAUUACUUUUGUUUUAGAAAUCUAGAGGAAGGAAUCACAGUGUAUUGAAGUUGACAAUUUAAAUUAAAAAGGAAAAAAUUAUUGGAGAAAUAUAAAGGAUGUACUUGUAGCUGUGCAGACAAAUUACCCAAUUCUUCGUGGCCAGAGAUGCAUAGAUUUUGCAAAGAAGGUAAUUGGGCAGCAAAAUUCUUCGAACCAAAAAAGCUGUAAUUUGAUCUGGAAAAAAGAUACAAUUUUCUUAGUCGAGGGAACUUGAUGAUGCCAUCUCUGGUGAGUGCAUCUCCUUCUCCAAUGUAAAAUAUUUGCUUUAAAUUGUCAGCAAAAUCAAUCUCCAUCUCUUCCAGGUUCAGAAGGCUUGGAGAAACAGAGACAGGGAAGACAUAUUCCAGUUUACCACACCGUUCUAUGAAGAUAAAUUUUAAUUCUGGGAAGCCCGGAGACUCUGGAAUUAUCUCCCUAUGUAGACACAAUUUUAUACACCUGAAAUUAAACAACUACAAGUGUAUAAAUAUAUAAUUUUAUUAAAUAUAUGAUCAGAUAUAAUUUUUAUCUAAUAUAUUUUUUCAAAAGAAUAUGAAAAUUCUUUGAUUCUUCUUUUGGAUUUGAUAUAUGAUGACUUGAUUUAUUUGAGAAAUCAAACCAAGAUUUGUGCUUUGCAAGAACACGAAUUUAGGCGUAUAUUGCAAAGCGAGAUAUGAUAAUUUGAUGCUUUGAAGAGUACCUUUAAAUCGUCUUCAAAGUAUUGUUGAAGAACUCAAAUAGGCAUUUAGACUUGAUUCAAUAUAGCUUUGUUCUUUGUAAACUUCAAGCGUAGAUGAAGGAGGCUUGAGAACUUUUGAGAAGGCUUCCUUACUUGAAGAGAGAGAGAGAGAGAGAGAGAGAGAGAGAUUCUUUGCUUGAACAGUUUGUCUUGAAAGAAAUUUGUAUUUCCCAGAAUCCUCCCCUUCUCUAGGUUGAGACCCUCUAUUUAUAGAGAUCUGUAAAGGUUCUCAGGUCCUUUUCCAAUGCCUUAUGAUAUAAUUUUAUUAGUUGAUAUUUAUUGGUGUGAUCUUGCAUUUAUGACAAGAUAUCUUGAAUAUCUUAUCUCAAGUGUCAACCUUUUAUUGGCCAAGAAAUAUAUGAAGACUCAUUUAUUUUUCAUGUUAUAUAUUUCAAUUUUAUUUAUUCUUUCUUUUAAAAUAAAAUAACACGUGGUGAAAUUUGAUUGGUAAAAAAUUUGUGUUUCUACAUAUGUCCUCUCGAGAAAAGUUCACUUACUUUCGAAAUAAGUGGGCAUGUCUCGAAAAAUAUGGUCGAGAGGGUUUUAUAUUUUUGACUAAAAUUUGAUUUGAUCAUAUUAGAUUUUCAUAAUAAAUAGAUAAAUUUGAUUGUGAAAUAAAAUAUGAUAGUCAAAAUUAAAAAUUUAUGGACCAAUCUUGAUUGAAAUUUAUCAAAUCAAAUGAUAGAAUAUCUAAAUUCAAUAUCUCAUUUGAAACAGUUGCAUAUUUAAGGAUCAAACAAAAUUUAUCUUUAUACCUGAAUAGCAACCAACACUUUGACCGGCUUGCAGGAUUUUUUUUUCAUCGGAAGUGGUCACUGUAACAUCUUGUUUUGAAGAUCUCAUUGUUCUGAAUCCAACGACGAAAUUCGUUCGUGAUUCCAGCUAGUGGUUAAUGAGCUAUAAAAUAUUAAAGAUUUUGAUUAAUUUUCUCUUCCUUCUCUUGAUAUGCGUGCGCACUCAUAUUGGUUGAUGAAUUAUUUUCUUCCUUCCCGUUCAAAUGUUCUUUCCUUUAACAGUACAGGAAAUUUGUGUUUCCUUUUCUUUUGGCUUUACCAUGUGCAUCCUUUGUUUCCUGAAUGAAUUGUCCAACGUGAAUGAAUUAUUAAAAGAGCAAAAGAAUUCCAGUACUGGUAGCCGACUUCGCUUAAUUGAACUAGGAAAACUUUCUUCAACUAGGAAAAGUUCGCUGGCUUUUGAUUAUGUUAAUUAAGCAAGAGUCCUCUCAUCAGAGUAAGCGGCUAUAAAAACCAUACUUGUCCCUUCUAUUUUUUUUACAGACAGUUCGGCUUCCAAUAAAGCCAGGCAAUCAAUCUUAGGAGGCGUUCGUCAUUCUCUUCUUCUUUAGCACCAGCAGGUUGCUACUUCUCAAAGGAAUCAGCUAUUUUAUUUCUAUCAAUAAGUUGCGGUCGUUCUGUGUUGUUUUAAUAAUCCUGGUUCCUUCAACACAGCCUCCACCAGCAGUCCAGGUAUGCAUGUCUCCAUUUAUUUUUUUGUUUUAUUACAACUGCAAUUUUUUAAAACGAGAAGGAAGGUGCCCACCCUAUUCUUGCUGCUAUCUCUAUAUAUCUCUGAUUAUGCGUGUGGCUGUUCACUGCUAGGUGGUAUCGAACCUCCCAAAGCUCAUUGAAGGUCUGAAGUGAUUGGCCAAGUCUACUCCCAUGGUGGACUGUUCCAUCAAGGGAUCUUCUUUAUUGGAAACCAAACCAUCACUGCAGCUAUUUCAAUGUCCUUUUCAUCACCAACCAAGUCUUUAUCAAUGUCAAUAGCAUCUGAAUUAUGACCAUCAAUGUCGACUGGAGCAAAGCUGUGACCCUUAAUUCCAAUUGCAUCAGAUCCAUUGCCAUCAAACUUCUCCUUGGUCCCAUCCGACACAAACCUCCAAGGAUCAAACGAUGCUAAUAAUCUUUUUUUUUAUUUGUGUCUUUGCAGAUUUUGCUUCAGCAAGACCUGCUCCCUGAUGAUCAUCGUAAUAUUUUGUAUGGGCUCACUUUCAUCUUCUCAUUGAAUUACCACGGAGUUGUUGUAACAGUAGCAGCAGAGUCAACAAAUCCUUCAGCUUUACAUCUUUCACAGUCUUAGGGGUAGGUAAUUUUUGAAUGACUUCAACCUUUGACUUAUCUACCUCUAUCCCUUUUGAAGAGACAAUGUGACCUAAGACAAUGCCAUGUGUCACCAUAAAAUGACACUUCUCCCAAUUGAGUACAAGAUUGUUCUCUUCACACCUUUCAAGAACUUUUUCUAAAUGCAUUAGACACAACUCAUAAGAAUCCCCAUAAACUGAAAAAUCAUCCAUGAAAACUUCCAAAAAAUUUUCCACCAUGUCACUAAAGAUACUCAUCAUACACCUUUGAAAAGUGGUUGGUGCAUUACACAAGCCAAAAGGCAUUCUUCUAUAAGCAUAGGUACCAAAAGGACAAGUGAAAGUGGUUUUUUCUUGGUCUUCUAAAGAAACCUCAAUUUGGUUGUAACCUGAGUAUCCAUCAAGAAAACAAUAGAAAGCUCUUCCGGCUACUCUUUCAAGCACUUGGUCUAAAAAUGGAAGCGGAAAAUGGUCCUUCCUAGUUACCAUGUUCAACUUACGAUAAUCAAUGCACAUACGCCAUCCAGUUUGGAUUCUAGUUGGUACUAGCUCAUUAUUUACAUUUUUCACUACCGUGACUCCAGAUUUUUUUGGGACAACUUGGGUUGGACUAACCCAUUUUGAGUUUGCAAUGGGGUAAAUGAUACCCGCAUCAAGUAGCUUAAGCACUUCACAUCUUACUACUUCCUUCAUGUUUGGGUUCAAUCGUCUUUGCAUUUGCCUCACAGUUUUAGCCUCUUCUUCAAGAUAGAUUCUAUGUGUACAUGAAAGAGGGCUAAUUCCUUUCAAGUCAGUAAUAGUCCACCCAAUUGCUUUUUUGUGUUUUCUCACCACUCUCAAAAGUUCUUGUUCCUGCUCUAUGCUAAGUUUUGAUGAAAUCACAAUAGGAUAUGAUUCAUCUUCCCCUAGAAAUGCAUACUUAAGAUCACUCGGUAAAGGCUUCCUUUCUGGUUUAUAAGGUUGGACAAGAGAUGCCUCAGCUUUUACUUGGGGUGAAAUCAAAGGCUCAAACGAUGGGGUCCAUUGACUUAUUGACAUAAUAGGCAUUGGAUCUAAAUAAGUCUCGAGUUCUCUUACUUCCUCAUCAACACAUUCCAAAGAACAAAAUCUUUCAUCAUGAAUUAAAGUUCUCUCCAAUGGAUCCUUGAUCCACUCUCUCUCAAAGUGUUCUUGACAAACUGUUUGGAUCAAAUCUACCUCUCUAAUGUCCUCAUGUUCACCAAUUUGUUUAGAGACAUUGAAUAUGUUAAUCUCCACAGUCAUGUUCCCAAAAGACAAUUUCAUCACGCCAUUCCUACAGUUGAUUAAAGCAUUGGAUGUAGCUAGGAAAGGUCUACCUAAGAUGACUGGGAUGGGAGCAUUAGAACCUUGAAUAGGUGCGGUGUCUAGCACUACAAAAUCAACAGGAAAGUAGAAUUUAUCUACUUGGACCAACACAUCCUCAACAAUACCCCUGAGAAUCUUGAUUGACCUAUCAGCUAAUUGAAGGGUGAUUCGAGUAGGCUUGAUUUCUCCUAAACCUAACUGUUCGUAAACAGUGUAGGGUAUCAAAUUCACACUUUCUCCUAAAUCCAACAAAGCUUGGUCUAUCCUAUGACUUCCAAUAAUGCAUGAAACGGUAGGACAACCAGGAUCUUUGUAUUUGGGAGGGGUCUUAAACUGGAUGAUGGCACUAGCAUGUUCAGUUAGAAAGGCUCUUUCUUUCACAUUCAAUCUCCUUUUGACUGUGCAUAAGUCCUUGAGGAACUUUGCAUAAGAUGGGACUUGUUUAAUUGCAUCAAGGAGUGGAAUGUUGACUUUCACUUGUUUGAACAAUUCAUAGAUUUCCGAGUUCAUAAGAUCAUGUUUAGGUUUCCCUAACCUUUGUGGAAAUGGUGCUCUAGGAACAAAUUCUAAAUCACUCACUUUGACUCCAAUUUUUCUUGAAUCAUCUCCUUUCUCACUCAUCUCUUUCUCAUUUAUCUCACCUUCUUUGUCACUCAAGCUCUCAUUUGUCACUUGUGUUUUGAUUUCCUCUUCACUUUCCUUAGAUUUCUCCUCCACAAUACCUCUAGGAAUCUCAAAACCUAUAGCUUUGGCAACAAUCUUUCCACUUGUUCAUGGUUUGAAGGUUCACUAGAUGAGGAUUCACUCAUGUGUACCUGACCUCUAGGAUUUGGCAUUGGUUGAGCUGGAAUCUUUCCCUUCUCUUGAAUGCUUAGUGAUUGAGUCAACUUGGUUAGUUGACUUCGAAUGUCAUCUAAGGUCCUAUUGGUCUGGUCUUGAAAUUUGUAAGCUUGGUUGUUGAUUCCUCCUUGUGUUUGCAUGAAUUGUUGAAGAGUAUCCUUUAGGGAUCUCUUAUGAGGUGGUUGGUAUGUAUUAUGUGUGGGAGCAUGAAAUGGUUGGGGUGGAGGUUGAAAUGUUUGAGGUACUGAAGGCCCCUCAUUUCUCCAUCCAAAAUUUGGGUGGUUCCUCCAUCCAGGAUUGUAGGUCUCAGAGUAGGGAUUGCCUACUUGGUUUGAAAAUGGCUUUCUAACAUUACUUGAAUUAGAAGUUUGGCCAUAUAGCACUUCCUUGAAGGCUGGAAUGGUAGGACACUCAGUUGUCCUAUGCCCUUUGCUCUCACAAACAACACAACUUUCCUCUUGUUGUUCACUCAUGACAUGCACUUUUUUAAUCUCAAGAGACUCUACUUUCCUAGCCAAUGAGGCUAAUCUAGCAUUGAGGUCAUCAGUCUCUUUCAAUUGGAACUUCCCACUUGAAUGAGAAAUGGUGUUUCUAGACUCAACAUGAAGUGGGAGAGAAGUCUCUCAUUGCUUUGUGUUUUCAGCCAAUUGAUCAAAGAAAUCAAAGGCUUCACUUGGUUCUUUGUCAUAAAACUCACCAUUACACAUGGUUGACACUAGCUUUUUAAAAUCUGCGGUAAGAGAGUCAUAGAAGAAACUCACUAACCUCCACAUCUCAAAACCAUGGUGGGGGCAUGCAUUUAACAAGUCUUUGAACCUUUCCCAAGCUUGGUGAAAUGACUCAUUUGGACUACAAGAAAAAUUCAUCAUUUGACGUUGUAAGGCUGCCGUCCUAUGAGUGGGGAAGUAUGUUUUCAAAAAUUCAGCUUGCAUUUCUCUCCAUGUACCUAUAGACCUAGGACACAAGGAGUUUAGCCAAAGCUUGGCUUUAUCCUUUAGAGAGAAUGGGAACAAUUUAAGACGAAUAGUUUCCUCGGUGCAUGUUCUAUCAAUAAAAGUAUUACAUACCUCUUCAAAGUCCUUAAUGUGUAUGUAUGGAUUUUCAGAAUCCAUACCGUGAAAUGUGGGAAGAAGUUGAAUCAUGCCCGGUUUCAAAUUGAAAGCUUGUUGGUUAAGAGGUAAGAUAAUACACGAAGGUGUACUUUGUCUAGCCGGGUGAAGAUACUCUCUAAGAGUUCGAAAAUUAGGUUGAUCAUUGAAUUGUGGAGGUCCAUUACCUUGAACACUCCCUUCACCCUCUACAUCUUCAACAUUAGCCAUGAUAAAAUAAUAAUAAUAUAACAAUUAUAUGAAUACGAAAGGAAAGGAAAAACAAAGAAAAAGAAAAAGAAGAUUGCAAAUAAAAGUAAAUGAAAUGUAAAAGAUAAAGUAAUAGCUCAAAAAUAAAAAUACAACAAAUUAAGAAAUUCUCCAACUAAUAAGCAAUAUUAACAACAAUAAACAUUAAAAGAUAAUUAUAACAAGCAUGAAUAAAAAGGCGGUAAUACCGGCCAAGCACUUCAGACAAUAAAUAUAAGAAAAAUAACAACAAUAAACAUUAAAAGAUAAUUAUAACAAGCAUGAAUAAAAAGGCGGUAAUACCGGCCAAACACUUCAAACAAUAAAUAUAAGAAAAAUAAUCACAACAAAACAACAAAAUAAAAUAAAAUGAACAAGAGGCGGUAAUACCGGCCAAGCACUUCAGACAAUAAAUAUAAGAAAAAUAAUAACAGCAAAAUAAAAUAAAAUAAACAAGAGGCGGUAAAACCAGCCUUAUAAUAUAAACAAUAAAUAUUAGAAACUAAUUAAAAUAGACAAUACAAGAAAAAUGGUUGAACCAACCAAAAUCCAACAAUUAAUAGUCUAGUCCACAGUCCAAUAUCCAAAAAGUUGAGGUCAAUAUUUUUUUUUUAGGCGGUAAAACCAGCCAUUUGAUUUUUUAUUUUUAUGUAUUUUUUUUUGUUUUCCAAUAAUCAAAUAGAAAUUUGUUACCUUUGCUUGCUAGCUCCCCGGCAAUGGCGCCAAAAUUACUUGACCGCUUUUUAUGUUCGGCUUGUUUUAACUCGCAAGUGCACGAGUGUGCGAUGUAGCAAUUAACUCGGUAAGAUCGAGGUCAUAUCCACAGAGAGCUAGAUCUGGAAAUUAAGCUAGGUAACAAAAAAACUCAAGAGAAAUUAAAUUAACAAUAACUUGGUUGAAAAUGAUUGAUGGAUUUGUUUUCAAAGAUGAAAAGGUGUAAAUAGAUUUUAAAUGACAAGAAAAAGUAAGUCUUGGUCCAAAUCAAUUUUAAUGGUGAUGUAUUGGUGAUUCCUUCAACAUAUAUAAGAUAACUCAACCUAAUAUCAACAAUGGUGAUAUUAGAUCGGAAGAUAUUACAAUGAAGAUUAAAAAGAUGAAGAUUGAUUAUUGCUUAAGAAUGAACAAGUACUUUCAUAUUAAGUAAGACAUUGAAUCAAGCAAUCUCUAUACCAAAACUAAGGUUUGUCCAUAAAAAUUCAAGAUUAUAACAUUACCUAAAUGAUUUCUAAAAUUUCUUUGCAAUAAUAAACAUUCAUGAAGAAAAUGAAAAGAUAGACAUUAAGAUUCAUUCAUAUCUUAAAGAACUCACCUCAACCACCAUCAUCCUUGAUUUGGAUCCAAGAAGGAGAUUAGCCAACCAUGAUUAUAUGUAAUAACAUUUUAAUAAAUAUGAAAUAACUUAAAUCAAACUGAAAUAAUAAGUUUUACAAUCUAAAGAACCGAAAUCUAUAAAGAAGAACACAACACAAUUGCAGUAAAAAUUCGGACACAAAUCUGACUCUAACUUUGGACAGCAAUUCGACCCUCUUAGAAGCCUCCUUUGGAGAUGGCUAUUAGCAAUAUAUUUAUAGGCCAUUCGGUUAGCUUUCCAGAUCAUUAAAUAACAGCUCAUUUGGACAUCGGAGUCAAAAGUUAUGGGUAAAACACCGAAAGGUAUUCUGGAAAAUCAAAUCAGGCCAGCUUGGAGAACACUUUGGUGCACGUUUUUCUUCCUCCUUUGUGAGCUGUCUCUUUCUUCUUUUUUACCCAAAAUAAUGUGACAAUGUCCCCUCCAGCUUUCCAUCCAUGUGCUUGCCCUCUUGGAUCAAUGAAUUACCCAAAAUAAAUCAAAUGUUAUUUGUUGUGUGAACAUGUAAGAUCAUUGAUUGUGCUUGGGCUGAUUUGGGGCUGAUUUUGGGGCUGAAUUUAAGCAUCAAAUAAGGGUACAAAUGUACCUAUUAUUUGGGCUAAGAUUGACAUUGAAACCUUGAGUGUUUGAUGGUUGAAGUUUGCACACAACAUAAGGCAAGUUUGGGCUUGAAAUAGAUCAUAUGAUAUUCUUUUCUAGAAUUGGAAUAGAAUUGAUUUUUGGGGCAAAUUUGGAGCACUUAUUUGAACCAAGAUUUGCUUCAAUCUUCAACUAAAUUUCUCUUCAAUUCUUUGUUCCGAAUUCCGACGUUGAAUUUUCUGAAAUAAUUCAUUUAAGCUCCAAAAACCUAUCGAAACAUUAAAAGAAACUUCAUUACUAAAAAGCACAUCAAUUACUAUAAAAAACCCAAAUAAAAACAAUAAAUACAUAUGUAAAAUAAGAGACUUAAUGAUACUUUUGAUGCACAACCAGUGGACUUACUUAAAGGACAAAAUGUCAAACUGGAUCAAACCAUAGCCAACCAAGGUGCUCAGAUUAGAGACAUGCAGGGUAUUAUGGGCACCAUGGCACAACAACUAGAAUUGGCUUUGCAUAAGCUUUCUCCCCACACUGGCAGCCCAAGUCAAGGCAGAGACAAGCAAGUAUCAGGCAUGGAAGGUUAUGAGUCAAGGCAUAGGAGCUCGCAGGAGGAGAGAAUUCCUGCAUACAAAAUACAUAAACCAAAACAUUUCUUCCCAAUUUUCAAUGGUGAAGAUGUUCAUCGCUGGCUUUACAAAUGUGCUCAGUAUUUUGAGAUUGAAGAAAUUGCCAACACUGACAAGUUGAGAAUAGCAUCUUAUUAUCUUGAAGGUGUUGCAUUGUAUUGGCACCAGAACUUUUUAAGGAGUAUAGCCAACCAAGGAGUCACCUGGGAAGAGUAUGUGGAGGCUAUUGGCUGCAGAUUUGGAUGGCAACAAGAUCCCUUGGAGACACUAAUGGAGCUAAAACAACUAGGAAAUCUGGAAGAAUACAUCUAGGAUUUCGAUAUUUUGUGGAACAAGGCAGGAAUCAAUGAGAAGCAAGCACUGGUCAUUUUUCUUGGAGGUCUGGAGUUGGAGAUCAAAAACACGGUAAAAACGUUUGAACCCAAGACUCUUAAGCAUGCGUAUAAUUUAUCCAGGCUACAAGCUAACACAUUAUCCUACAAGAAACUGUCUCCUCUUCCUAAACAUUACACCCCACCUUUCAAUACCACACAGCCACAGAUCCAUCUUCCUACAAACACACAGAACCCCACGACCAUGCAAAAUACCAUAAAACCAAGUCCAGCUCCCUGGCACAAUAAUCCUUCAAAUACCAUUCACAGGAACAAUGUUAAACCAACCAAAUCUAUAAAGAACCAAGACUUUGAAGAGAGGAGGUUAAAGGGGUUAUGCUUCUGGUGUGAUGAUAAGUUCGUUCCUGGCCAUAGAUGCAGAAAUAAAAGGUUGUAUCCAUUAAGUGUUAUGGAGGAAGAAGAUGAAGUCAUUACAGAAGAAAAGCUGACAGACAAUGACGCCCUAACAUGGGAGCUUUCACCCCACAUAUCCUUGGAUGCAUUAGAAGGUACGGUGGGGCUCAACACGAUGAAGGUCUCUGGUAGAUUGGAUAGAACUACGGUUAGUAUUCUAAUUGACUUAGGAAGUACUCACAACUUCCUCAAUGCUGAAAUGGCUCUGAAACUCCAGCUCAAAUUAAUUGCCAUUAAACCAAUGAUGGUGCAAGCAGCUAAUGGUGACAAGAUGAUUUGUAAAUCCUUGUGCAAAAACUUGAAUUGGAAGAUGCAGGGAAUAAGCUUUGUGGCUGAUGUGUUCAUCAUAGACCUAAGUAAUUGUGAGAUGGUGUUAGGUAUCCAAUGGCUAUCCUUAUUGGGUGAUAUACUAUGCAACUACAAGCAUUUAUGGAUGUCCUUCGAUUGGCAAGGCAAAAGGGUGUUACUUAAAGGGGAAAACCCACCAAAGCUGCAAUAUAUAGAACUGGAGCAUCUAAAUUCAUUAGCAGGCAACCAUGACCAGCUAGAGGGGUAUCAUUUAUGUAACUUGCAAAUGGUAGAUGAGGUAGAGGCAGGAACUACUCCAGAGUCCACUACUAUCACUAUUCCUUCAACAGAUAAUCAAGACAUCCACCUGCAAAACCUGUUAGCAGCAUAUAUUGACUUGUUUCAGGAACCCACAGGCCUGCCUCCUCUUAGAUCCCACGAUCACAGGAUUCCUCUAAAGGAAGGAGGAGACUCAGUUAAUCUAAGACCUUACAGGUACUCUGGCCUUCAAAAAGAUACAUUGGAGGACAUGAUAAAAGAAAUGCCGAGGAUAAAAAUCAUAAGGACCAGCAACAGCCCGUUUGCCUCGCCAGUAAUCCUUGUUAAGAAAAAAGACUCCACAUGGCGUCUCUGUGUUGAUUACAGAGCCUUGAAUAAACUCACCAUCAAGGAUAAGUAUCUUAUUCCCAUGAUUGACGAACUUUUGAAAGAAUUAGUGGGAGCUUCUGUGUUUUCCAAUAUAGACUUGAGUUCAGGCUACCAUCAGAUCCGCAUGGCGAGAGGAGAAGAGUUCAAAACAGCUUUCAGAACUCACAGCGGCCACUACGAAUUCUUGGUAAUGCCAUUCGGCUUAACCAAUGCUCUGGCCACCUUCCAGAGUUUAAUGAAUGAGAUUUUCAGGGAGCAUCUGAGGAAAUUCAUUCUAGUAUUCUUUGACGACAUUCUCGUCUACAACCAUACACUCACAGAACAUUAUGAGCAUCUAGCUACGGUUCUCAACUUAUUAAGAGAACAUCAUCUGGUGGCUAAAGCCAGCAACUGCUUCUUCGGCAGGGACCAGGUGGAGUAUUUAGGACACAUCAUUUCUAAGCAAGGUGUGGCGACAGAUCCCUACAAAAUACAAGCCAUUCGGGAAUGGCCACUGCCUAUAGGAUUAAAACAACUAUGAGGGUUUUUGGGAUUGACUGGUUACUAUAGAAGAUUUGUAAGGGGUUAUGGCAGCAUUUGUAAACCACUCACUCAAUUACUCAAAAAAGAGGCCAAGGGAUGGAAUGAUGCGGCCACCACAACUUUCAAUCAGUUGAAAAUGAUUAUGACUAGUGCUCCAGUAUUAGCUCUGCCAGAUUUCAACAAAACAUUUAUCGUUGAGACAGAUGCAUCCAUGAUUGGUAUGGGAGCAGUCCUCAUGCAAGAGGGACACCCCAUUGCGUUCAUUAGCAAAUCAUUGGGUCCUAAACAACAGGUAAUGUCAGUAUACGAGAGGGAAAUGCUGGCUAUUCUCCAUGCAGUCACCAAAUGGAAGCAUUAUCUCUGGGGGCGCCAUUUUAUCAUCCGAACAGACCACAUAAGUCUGAAAUAUCUUCUACAGCAGAAGUUGACUACCCCUGCACAACAUUUCUGGUUGGUGAAAUUGCUGGGGUAUGACUACGAUAUAGAGUACAAACAAGGUCGCGAAAAUGUUCCCGCAGAUGCCCUUUCCAGAAUUCCAAACAAAGAGGUUUAUGCUCUAACCACUUCUACCAUCUCUACUGACCUCCUGGCAGAAAUCAAGAAUUCUUAUGAAGGUGAUGUUACAGUUCAAGGAAUUAUUAAACGGUUACAAGAGUCUACAAACACCCACCCACACUACACUUGGGUGAAUGAUCACCUUAACAGAAAAGGAAAGGUGGUGGUAGGGAAGAAUCUUGUACUACGGGACAAGCUCAUCUCCAUGUUUCAUAAUUCAGCUGUUGGAGGACACUCAGACAUGACAGUAACAACAAAAACCAUUGGGGGUUUAUUUUAUUGGAAGGGUCAGCAGAAACACAUCAGGCAAUUCGUUAGGGAAUGCAAUGUGUGCCAGAGGAAUAAACAUGAAAACACAGCCAGUCCUAGACUCCUUCAACCAUUACCCAUUCCUUCUGCUCCCUUCAUCGACAUCAACAUGGAUUUCAUGGAAGGACCGCCCAAAUAUGAAGGGAAGGAGGUGAUAUUGUUGGUGGUGGAUCGUUUCAGCAAAUACGCACAUUGCAUGGCCCUCAGUCAUCCUUACUCUGCCUCAGGGGUGGCCAAGACCUUUAUGCACAAUGUCUAUAAACUACAUGGGUUACCAGCCUCGAUAACAAGUGACAGAGAUCUGGUCUUUUUUAGCAGGUUUUGGAAAGAAUUAUUCACCAGUCAAGGGGUCAACCUCAACUAUUCCUCAGCUUACCACCCGCAAACAGACGACCAAACCGAAAUUGUUAACAAAUGCAUCGAACAGUACUUACGCUGCAUGAUUGGUGAUUGCCCGAACCAGUGGGUCAAAUGGCUACCUUUAGCUGAAUGGUGGUACAAUACUAACUACCACUCAGCCACCAAGAUGACACCUUACCAAGUUUUAUAUGGAGUUGCCCCACCCCUACACAUUCCCUAUUUUCCUAAAAAUUCAGCUGUGGAAUCAGUCGACGAGUACUUAUCAGCUAAAGAAGAAGUCAUCAAGAGGGUCAGGGAACAUCUCCAAGCAGCACAGAACAGGAUGACUAUAGUGGCUAACAGAAAAAGGAGUGAUCAUAGUUUUGAGAUCAAUGACUAUGUCUUCCUCAAACUCCAACCAUACAGGCAACAUUCAUUGGCACGCAGGUCCUCACAGAAGUUAGCUGCAAAAUAUUAUGGGCCUUAUCAGGUCUUGGCCAAGAUAGGGAAGGUGGCUUACAAGCUGGAAUUGCCAGCUUCAACACUUAUUCAUCCAGUGUUCCACGUUUCUCAGCUUAAAAAACAUAUUGGAAAUCACACCGCACAAGGCACUCCUCCGAUGAGACCAAAAACAACUACACUACAGCCUCGAACAGUGUUAGACCGACGAAUGGUUAAACGUCACCACCAAGCACACACUCAAGUAUUGAUACUCUGGGAAGGACUAGCUCCUACUGAGGCUACUUGGGAAGACAUGGAGGAAUUUAAGUUGCACUUUCCAUUAUUCAACCUUGAGGACAAGAUUGGUUUCAAGGGAAGGCAAUUGUUACCUGCAGAAGAAGAAAUGGAAUAAUAGGAACUAAUGCAGGCCACGCAUUCAAAAGUUAGUUAUAGAAUCCAUACGCACCGUUUCAUUUAAGUAACCAUACGCACCGUUUCAAUUCCAUAAAAUGUUGCAUGACAGUUAACACACAGCCUCCGUGCUGAAGGUUUUCGUAACCAAUUAGAAUUGCAAUAUUCUAUAUAAAGGCAUAUGCAUGAUAACAGAAGGGAACAAGAAUUAUAAUGAAAGAAUGAAUUCCUUAUUAUCAGGAAACGACUAUCAGGGUGUUGUUGGUGUGGUAUCAACGGCCUCUCAUAAAUCCUCCCCACUAAAGCCCCUACUACAGCAUUAACCAUCACUGGAGACCAUCCAAUUCGGGUCCAUCAUUUCUUCACUUGUAACAACUGGUAUCAGAGCUUGCAAUCCACGGACUACCACCAUGCCACCAAGCCCCACAGCAGCAAGCGAUCUCCUUCACUGCCAACCAGCCAGCUCGUCGAGACCCGACACUCUCUUUCAACCAGCCUCUAGCGGCAAAAAUAACACAGUAGCGCCGCACCCACAGACCAGCUGCCUCUUGGCCUUUCCACCAGCCACCUGAAACAGGUCCAACAGCGACGCCCCCUUCUCGGUUGUUCCUCCUCACCACCAGCCACCUAAAGUGGAGGAGAAGAAGAAGCCCUCCCAUCGGCAGAAGGAAAACCAACAGAGAGGGAGAAGGCGGAGGAACUGGAUAGAUCUAAAAAAAAAAAGGACUGCUUGUGCGUUUUCUUUUGUUGCAGGUCAUGGUGAAAGCCACCACGGGCAGGGAAGAGAAGAGAAGAGAGGAGGAAACCAUUUAAGAGCCCCCUGUUUGUUGGACUUUUGUGCGGUGGCGAGUGAACCCACGCGCCGCCAGUGGCGGGGCGCGUGGAGGAGACGCGCCGCCACUGUUCCACAAUCAUAGAAGAUGGCCAGAAUUCUCCAGCACUGUUCCCGAAGUUUUUUUUUUUUUGUAAUUUUCAAAUGUUGCUGUUAUAUUUAGAUUAAUGGUAUUUGAUUUAUUUUGAACUUUUGAUAUUUUGUAAUAUGUAAAAGUGAUGUGUGAGUUAAGCAUAGUAAAAAAGUGAUAUUAGUGUGUCUGUUUGUUUUUUUAUUUAUGUUAUUGAAUUAUAAAAUAAAAAAAAUUAAGUGUUUAAUUUGAAUAUGGUUAAAUAUCUUAAGGAUUAAUAAAAUCAUGAUAUAUUCUCCAUGAAAAUGUAAGAACAUGUUUCUAUAUAUAUUCUGGGAUUUAAUAACUAAUUUAUUAAAACUUUAGAAUUUGAUUAAUAUUUCAAAUUUUCAAAUCACAUUAAAUCAUGAAGCAGCUUACCUCAGGUAGGGUGCGCUAGGGAUGCUAAUACCUUCCCUAACCACAACCAGUCCCUUACUCUCGAAUCUCUGACAACGACCAGUAAAUCCGGGUUUUCUAGUAACCCAAUUAAAUACUAGGUGAUAACUCCCAAAGAACCAAUCAAGCAAGAAAAAUAAAAAAUCGCCGAAUCGCCACGCGGGGGACGUGCGACAAGAAUCUUGCUGCCCCAUUACCAUUUUUGCAAAAUCUUGUUCAUCUGAAGUUGUUUCUUGUCGCAAAACUGUCAUUUAUCUUCACACCGUCCCUCGCUCAAAGUCUACCACAACUAGAAACACUAGAGGUAAGUUGUUGCGAUGAAUUGAAGUAUAUUGUCAGAAAACAAGAUGAUGAAAGGGCAAUAAUUCCAGAGUUUCUAAGCUUCCAAAAAUUAAGAACUCUAUUUAUAUAUGACUCUGAUAAACUGGAAUAUGUCUUCCCUGGCUCUCUGUCUCCAAGUCUUGUGAACCUGAAACAGAUGACAAUUAGAUACUGUGGUAAAUUUGAAUAUGUCUUCCCUGUCUCUGUGGCUCCAAGUCUUCUGAACCUGGAAUAAAUGACUAUAUUUGCUGACAAUUUAAAGCAAAUAUUUUAUAGCGGGGAAGAAGAUGCACCACCCAGAGAUGACAUCGUCAAGUUGCCUCGACUAAGAGAAAUGGAUCUUUCAUCUAAAUCAAAUUACAGCUUUUUUGGUCCAAAGAAUCUUGCUGCCUAAUUACCUUUUCUGCAAAAUCUAAGCAUCCAUGGCCACGAAGAAUUGGGUAAUUUGUUUGCACGGCUUCAAGUACGUCCUUUAUAUUUCUCCGCUAAUUAUUUUCCUUUUUAAGUUAAAUUCUAAACUUCAUUUAAUAUAAAUAAAGUGUUGAUUUAGUCUUGUAGUCAUUAUCUCAAAGCUUUUCUUAGUUUAUUAUAAAUUAUCACAUGGAUAAAUUACAAUUAAUGUAUGCGAGACAAUAACAAAUAACACAAGAAUUAGUAGAAACACACUCACCUUAUAGUAGAGACAAGAGAAUGAUUAUGAAUGGAAGGUUCAUGCACGAUCACUUGGUCGACACACACACACUUGAUAACACCUUUGAUCUAUCGAUCGAUUCCGACCACAAAUAUAAUUUAUCUAAGGAGUUAUGUAUGUGAUGUUACUUUAGUUAUGGUCUCUCAAGGGGAAAUUAACGAAAAGAAUUGAAAAGGAGAAAAUAAUUAGUUGAAUGAAGGAAGCUCUCUGCCACUUCCCUAUAUCACACUUGUAAACCCAGGAAAAAAUAAAUAAAUAACAAAAAUUCAAAAAAUUUUGAAUAUAAAUUUUCGGGUGAAAUAGUUUGAAACAUUAUAAUAAACUCAGUACUGUUGAGGGUUGGAUUUAAUUGAAGAAAAUAAUACACUUAAAGGAAAAGGGGGGCCUAAAUGCAAAUAAGAGAAAAUAUAGAGUAUAAAUACUCUCUCCUCACCAAAAAUAUGUAGGAACCCUAAGGAGAGAAGAUAGGGAGUUUUAUACCCAUUCUUGAGAAAUCAAGAGAGAAACAUUAAAAUUUCAAGAACCCAUCCAAGAUUAAGAGCUUAUAGAUGGGAUAAAAACUUGAGAGCAAAGGAUUACCAAGAAAUUGAACAAGAAGAAAAGAAAGGAGGGAGUUGAAAAUCUUCAACUAGUUGAAGAUCAAAAUCUUAAUUUGUACCGGGUAAGGUAUUCUAAACAUGAUCUUAAAAAAAUUCAUUUUUAAAUUCGAUAAAGAAUUGAUGCCUUGAUAUUGAAUCAUAGGUUAGGGUUCUUAGACAUAAAUUGGGGAAAAGUACUUAUUGUUGAGAUUAAGUUAAUUCAUGUGUGUGGUAUGUAGUUUAUGAAAGUAUUGAGUGAAGGGGAGGGGAGACAAAUCUGGACAGACUUGUCUCCUGACUUUCUGUGAGAUUUCAGGUAGGAGGAUGAGGGAAUUAGGAUCGGGUUCCUCAUAGGAAUUGUAGAUUUGAAUGUUAGCUAACCAAGGAAACUGGUCUUGCUCAAUUUGGAGAUGUAGAACUCCAAUUAUGGGUUACCAGCUGAGACUGAGUCGUGACUGAUUAUGUAGGGCAGUAGGACUAAUUAGUUAAUGAGCAAUUUUGACUAUUUUGGAGGCAAAACUGGGUUCUUCUCCCUCAGAGAACUUGUAGCCUUGUGUCUUAGCUUUCUAACGAGAUCAAUCUCACUUAAAAUGGAGUUUUAGAACUUUAGAUAUAGUUAAAAAUCUGAUGAGUGUUCAGACAAUAACAGUUGAAAAUUGGACAAUAACAGUUCAAAGUUGGACAGUAACAGUUGAAAAUUGGACAGUAACAGUUGAAAAUUGCACAGUAACGGUUCAAAGUUGGACAGUAACAGUUGAAAUUUGGACAGUAACAAUUGAAAAUUAGACAGUAACAGUUCAAUGUCUAGACAGUAACGGUAGGCUUUCACGUGAAUACUAUAUAUACAAGAAUAUAAAAGAAUUGAGUCAUACGAACACUUGCACAUUGAGAUACUAACUCUGAAAAUAUACAUGAUAUAUGUAUGUAUGUUAUUAUGAGAAAAUGAACAUGUAUAUAAAGUAACAUAUGAGUAAUGGAUGAAUAUGGAUUCUCUAUAAUGUCGGCUUGAAGGAAUCAUAACCAAAAACUUCCUUAUGAUUCAGGAGGAGCAACCAAGAUUGGAUCUUCUGUUAGGGGAGGUCGCGAGACAGGCGAAGUAGGUGCGUGAUUCUCCUCCUAUUUGCACUUAUACAAUUUAGAAUUCUUAUGGUGAAUGCAAUUACAAUAAAUGUCGUGUUCAAUGUAAAUAAAAAUCUAGCGUAAAUACAAGAUUAGCUUCGGCAAAUGGCAUCCGUGAUAGGAUUGCUGGGAUAUGAAUUACAAGAUUAGCUGCGGCUAAUGGCAUCCAUGAUAGGAUUGCCGGGAGAUGAAUUACAAGAUUAGCUUCGGCUAAUGGCAUCCGUGAUAGGAUUUCCAGGAUAUGAAUUACAAGAUUAGCUUCGGCUAAUGACAUCCGUGAUAGGAUUGCCGGGAGAUGAUUUACAAGAUUAGCUUCGGCUAAUGACAUCCGUGAUAGGAUUGUUGGGAUAUGAAUUACAAGAUUAGAUUUGGCAAGGUCACCCAGUUCAUGCAAGUAAAUAAGAAUAUUCAAAUCAUGGAUAUACAAAUGAGUGUGAAUUAGGUUUAAAAGACUUACAAGCAAAUUAUAAGUUCUUUGUUAGAAUUCUUAUGGGUCCGAUAGAAAGUUAAUACUUCAUUCGUAUUCAUUACAUGAGCAUAUAUAUUCUUUAUCAACAUAAUGAUAUGUUUAAUUAUGUAACAGGUCCAUCAAAUAUCCAGGAAGAUCAUUAGUUUAGGACUCUACUUUGCGAAGCUUAUGUAAAUAUUUAACUUAAACAAAAGGGAAUUAACGUGUUUAUGUAGUAUAUUUUUGUGUAAACCUUGAUGUAUUUAUAAAAGUUCAAUUUUGCAUGUGGUAUUUUAGUUAUCUUGUAAUUAACCCUUUUAAAAUAUUUAAGAACACUUAUUAUGUUGUAAAUACUUUCUUUGCAUGUUAGUAUUCUUUUCCUUUCAAAUUUUACGAUAUGAUGUUUGGACUAUGUUCAUAUUGAACUUACUCAUAGGAUAUAUAUAUAUAUAUAUAUAUUGUGUGGAUUGUAUGAGGUUUGAUAUAAGGUCCGGAAUUAUGGGACCUUAUGAUGAUGGGUUGAUUGAGUAAAUUGAUAGUAGUCGAUAACUUGGGAUAUCCUAAAUACAAACAAAACUCUGCUGAAUUUUUGGAAAAAAAAAUUUACCCUCAGAUAAAGAGGAUAUGUUAGGAUCUUUUAACAUUGAUCGAGUCUUACAGUUCAGACCGUUACAGUUGGUAUCAGAGCCCUGGUAUAGGUUAUGGGAAGAAAUCAAAAGAGGUUGUUGAUGUUCAUUAAUUUAUUGCAGGAUGGUACAUACCUGUCAAGAGAUUAGAACAGAUCUAUCCUCUGCAGGGAGGGGGAAUAGAGAUAUAGACUCUUCCAAAGGGCAAGAAGAGAGCCCUUUGGAAGAUACUGCUUCACAUGCACUGGUAGUAUCGACUCAAGUAGGGCAUGAAGAAUCGACGGGGCCUUAAAUUAGACAGGCACCAAGGCAAACUGGGGAUGUUCAGUUGACCAUGUUAGCUCCACGGGGACGAGUAGAGGAGCCCCCUCAGACUACACCUGCAGGGCCAUCUGUUUCUUAUGUUGAUCCGAUGCUCCUGGCCCAGCUAGUCAAAGCAGUAAUGGAAGGUAUGGCUAAUGCUGCCACUCCUAUGCCAGCACCCCCAUUUGCACCCAUCAUACCAACCGUUUCAGAAGCAACUACAACUACUAAUGACGUGGUACAACUAGUUCGUUUAGUGAAAAGUAUGAGAGAAAUGGGUUGUGAACCCUACUCUAGUGAACAGAAUGCUGAAGUGGUGGGAAGGUGGAUUAGAAAGGUGGAGAAAACCAUGAUUCAAAUUAAGAUACCAUAUGAUCUGCGGGUAGACUAUGCUACUUAAUUACUAUCAGACGGUGCUAUGACUUGGUGGGAGACAGUUCAGUUGAGGAGGGCUACAGAAACCCUAUCCUAGGAUGAUUUCAAGAUAGAGUUUGAGAAUCAAUAUUACUCCAAAUAUCAUCGGAGGAUGAAGGAACAGGAAUUCCUAGCCUUGAGACAGGAGGGAAUGUCAGCACUUGAGUAUGAGAGACAAUUUCAUGACCUCUCACUAUUCGCACUACAUUAUAUCCCGUCAGAACAACACAUGAUAGAAAAGUUAAGGGAUGGCUUCAGACAAGAAUUGAAGCAGGGGUUGAUUGCUUUGCGAUUCAGGACAGUAAGGGAACUGAUUGAAGCAGCACAGGCCUUGGAGGCGUGUAUGGUGACACGAUCAAAGAGUUGAUGUCUUAUCCCAAGUGCAGGAGUAUCAAAGUAAUAAAUAACCCGGCAAGACCGGAGUCGAACCACAGGGAGGUCAACUAUAUAAAUUACAAAUAAAGAGAAAGAUUUGAAGAGAAUAAUAACAGAAAAGAAGUUGAAGAGAGUUUUGGGAUAUGAUAUUGAUAUAAGGAUUAAACAAUAAUAAAACAGUUGUCAAGGUUAGAGGAUCCACUAAUGGUAUUUCAAAUAAAUAUAAUAUAAACUCUUUUUAUUACUCAAUUGGAAACCACACACAAAGGAGGUUCCAAUCGGAUGAUUUAUCGUUAUUAACUCAUUAUAAAUUAUUAACAUGAUCAUAUUAAUCAUCUUAUCUAAGUAACACCAUACUUAUAAAUAUCAUCAGGCAUUUAUGUUGCUAGCUUAUGUUAACAACAAAUCAAGUUCCUAUCAUAACAACGAUGUCAGCCGAAAACUAUGAAGGAUCAAACAUUUGAUGUACCAAGUGUUAUACAACAGAAAUCUAGAUUAACCAUUUAAAAAGCAAGGUAUUAAGAAUUAGUAAGAUAAAAAGAUAAAACAUGUUAAUAACAAUCUUUCUUGAAUAUAAACAUUAAAGUCCAUGUUGAGUUUAUAUUAUACCUAUUCUAACACCACUAGUGAAACAUUUUUACCUUGACAUAAUUAACUUAGCUAAACAUAAUGAAGAAGAAAAACAUAAAUAAACAAUAUAAGAACAUAAAUAUGAUAUAAGUUAACUAAGUAUAGGAAAGGAAAUGAAAAAGCAUAAACAAGAGAUUAAUAUAGCAUGAAAGAAAACUUGAACAUUACAAAAAGAGAAAGCAAGAAGAUGAUUUUGAUCUGAAAAAUAAUAUGACUAAAUACAUGGCAAAUGCCUCCUUUUAUAAGCUAAGAUUCAGAACUAUUGAUUGGUUGACUAAGAAAAUAGUUGGUGGCCAACCAUUGAUUUGGUGGCUGGUUUUUGACAUUGUUGGCUGAUUUUUGAUAUUGUUGGCUGGCCAAAACGUCAUUUCUAACAUCAUAAUUUGAGCCCUUUGUUUCAUGAAAGCUGUGGGCAAUUAUCUUAGCUUUCCAACAAAAAAAACCAGAGCUCAUUUGGACUUCUAGAACUCAAGAUAUGAGCUGAAAACCGAACAGUGUCUGAGCUGCAGGACAGGUUCCGACUUCUCCGUUGUUGCUAAACUUUGAACUUGAAAACGGCAGAAUUGAGUCUUGGACUCUGCAUGAAAGUUUUAGGUCUAUGUCUUAGAUUUCCAUCCAUAUAAAGUAGACCUAAAUCCGAGUUCUACAACUCCAGUUAUGAUCCAAUAACCGAAUGGUGUUUCAGUUUGGAAUUGAACUAUCAUCUCUUCUCUUAGCCUAGUCCUCUUUUUGUCUCUUCACUUUCAAUAGUUAAUCACAUCAAUCAAUCCUUUGAAUUGUGAGAUAUACCUGCAUUCAAAAUAAGCAUUUAUCAUAAAUUAAAGAUAUACUAUAUUAUCAGACUUGUUAUUAUAAAACAUGCUUUAGUUAAGGAAUUUAAUGAUACUUUAGUGCAAUAUGAUGAUAUAAAGCAUUAAUAAAAAUGCACUUUGAAUUACUAAUCAUAUGGAAGAAUGCCAACAGAGUCAUGGGGGUGCAGGAAAACGAAAGGAUAUGGAAUUUUUAGGCAGGCCACCGCUUCCAAAGAAAGGUAGAGGCGAACAGUUCCUUCAAUUCAAAAAGAAAAGAGGGACGUCAACUAGCUUCCGACAGGAUAUCGGUGGGAAGUCGGGAAGUGGUCAGACCCGCUCCAGGGCUAUAGCUGCAAGGGGGCAUAACAAUCAGAAGGAAAUUGUCUACCCUCGAUGUGCUUAGUGUGAACAAAGACACCCCGGGAGUUGUAUGGUUUCUCCUGGACAAUGCUAUAUAUGUCGAGGAGAAGGUCAUAAGUGGAAACCCUGUUAAUACUUGGGAAGAGGAUGUCAUCAUUGUGGUGAGAAAGGUUACUUUAAAAGGGAAUGCCCCAAGUUAAACACUAAACAGCCUUAGAGACAUGGGGAGCAAAGUCAGAGUCAUCAGCAAUCCAUCAUAGUAAACAGACCGGGAAGGUCGACUCAGUCAGGAGCUAACUCAAAUAGGGGACGACCCAGAGUACAAAAUGAAAAGGGAUCAAGGAAGGGUUUUCCAUAUGACCCAGGAGGAUGUCAGAGCAGCAUCAGAUAUGGUGGCAGGUAUGCUGCAAAUGAAUGACUAUCAAAUACAUGUUUUGUUUGAUUCUGGUGCCACUCACUCUUUCAUAGCAAAUAAAAAUGUAACCAAAUUGAGUAAGGAAACGAAAAGGGUAGAGAAAGGAUUUAUUAUUGGGACACCUUUGGGUGAAAUUGUGAAAACAAAUAUUGUAUUUGAAGGGGUGGGAAUUAACAUUAAUGGGUGUGAACUAAAAGCAGAUUUAAUACCCCUAGAAUUAAGUGAUUUUGAUAUAAUUCUAGGUAUGAAUUGGUUGGGCAAAAAUAAGGCUCGUCUAGAUUGCUUUACAAAAACAGUAACCUUUCAAGGGGCUAAGGGUGAAACAAUAGUCUUUAAGGGGGAGAGAAUUUACAACUUUACAAAUAUGAUCUCGGGUAUGGUUGCGAGAAAACUACUAAAGAAAGGUUGUACAACAUACCUUGCCUAUGUGAUAAAUUCGGAAAAGGGUAAAAUAAGAUUGUCUGACAUUCCAAUUGUGAGGGAAUUUCCGGACGUAUUUCCGGAAGAAUUGCUAGGACUACCCCCAGAAAGAGAAGUUGAAGUCACCAUAGAUAUAUUUCCUGGAGUGUCUCCUAUAGCCCAACCACCGUAUAGAAUGGCCCCAAAAGAAUUGGAUGAGUUGAAAAUUCAAUUGCAGGAGCUUUUAGACAAAGGGUUCAUACAACCAAGCAACUCGCCUUGGGGGCACCUGUAUUAUUUGUGAAGAAGAAAGAAGGAACGUUGCGGCUUUGCAUAGAUUACCGUCAGCUGAAUAAAGUGACGGUAAAGAAUAGAUAUCCACUUCCACGGAUAGAUGAUUUGUUCGAUAAGUUAAAGGGUGCCAAAGUAUUCUCAAAUAUUGAUUUAAGAUCAGGAUACUACCAAAUGUGAAUCAAAGGGCAAGAUGUGCCGAAAACUGCCUUCAGAACUCGCUACGAACACUUUGAGUUCUUGGUGCUACCCUUUGGAUUAACUAAUGCUCCAACACUUUUUAUGUAUUUAAUGAACCAAGUAUUCCAACCAUACCUUGAUAAGUUUGUUGUCGUAUUCAUCGAUGACAUCUUGGUUUACUCCAAAUCCUAUGAGGAGCAUGAACAGCACCUGAGACAGAUACUAUAGACUCUGAGGAGCCAUCAGUUGUAUGCCAAGUUGGAUAAAUGUGACUUCUGGUUAAAAGAAGUUACCUUUUUGGGGCAUGUAGUGUCUUCAAAAGGCAUUUUUGUGGACCCUCAGAAGGUGGAAGCAUUUUUGAGAUAGGAAAGGCCUACUACGGUAACUGAAAUUUGUAGUUUUCUCAGAUUGGCAGGGUAUUAUAGAAGAUGUAUCGAAAGGUUUUCAACGAUAGCAACUCCAUUGACACGACUCACCAGGAAGAAAAUAAGAUGGGAAUGGUCAAAGGAGUGCGAUGAGAGCUUUCAAGAAUUGAAGAGAAGGCUUACUACUGCCCCCGUACUAAUCCUUCCAUCCGGAACAGAAGGCUUUGUAGUCUACAGUGAUUCCUUAAGAAAAGGACUGGGUUGUGUUCUAAUGCAUCAUGGAAAAGUAGUUGCCUAUGCAUCGAGACAACUGAAGACUCAUGAAGUCAACUACCCAGUUCAUGACUUAGAAUUGGCAGCAGUAGUUUUUGCUUUACGAGUAUGGAGGCACUACUUAUACAGAUCCCGGGUCCAAAUUUUCACCGAUCAUAAGAGCCUUAAAUAUCUGAUGUCAUAGAAGGACUUGAAUAUGCGACAACGGAGAUGGGUAGAAUUAAUUAAAGACUACGAUUGUGUUAUAGAUUAUCAUCUAGGAAAAGCGAAUGUAGUCGCGGAUGCUCUCAACCAUAAAGACAAGGUGAUUAGGGGUAGACCAGCGACUUGGAAUGAGGAAACCAUGAUUGACCUAAAGAGAUUGGGGGCAGUACUAGGUGUGAGCCCAGAAGGAUCCUUAAUGGCUCAACUAAGGGUGAAGUCAGGAUAUCGAGAGCAAAUAUUAGAGGCUCAACAACAUGAUGAUGAGGUGUCAAAAGUGAGAAUCAAACUGGAAUCGGCGGGUGAAACUCUUUUUUGAAUGGGUGAUGAUGGAAUAGUGAUGUUGGGGUGACGUAUGUAUGUACCUGACAGCAAAGCCCUUAAACAAAAGUUACUACGAGAAGCUCACGAGUCUAAGUUCACUGUACAUCCAGGUAGUACUAAGAUGUACCAGGAUAUGAAGCAGUACUACUGGUGGCCAAAUAUGAGAAAAGAAGUGGUUGGUUACAUGGCAAAGUGUAGUAUUUGCCAACAAGUAAAAAUAGAACACCGAAAACCGGCAGGGCUGUUACAACCAUUACCAAUCCCUGAGUGGAAGUGGGAGAUGAUCACAAUGGACUUUGUGUCGAGACUACCCAGAGGAAAGAGGGGAAAUGAUGCAAUCUGGGUCAUUGUGGAUCGACUAACAAAGUCUGCUCUUUUCCUACUAGUAAAGAUGACAGAUCCAGUUGACAAGUUGGCUAAGAUUUAUGUGAACGAAGUUGUAAGGCUUCAUGGAGUCCCAAUAUCAAUUGUUUCAGACCAAGACCUAAGAUUUACUUCAUGUCUCUGGCCGAGCAUACAACGUGUCUUGGGAACAAAUUUGAGUAUCAGUACUGCCUUUCAUCCGCAAACUGAUGGCCAAUCUGAGAGAAUUAUUCAGAUCUUAGAGGAUUUACUAAGGGCAUGUGCUUUGGAAUUUGGUGGAAACUGGGAGGAGCACCUAUCACCAAUAGAAUUCACGUAUAACAACAGUUAUCAGGCAACAAUUGGAAUGGCCCCAUUUGAAGCUCUUUAUGGUAGAAAGUGUAGGACACCCUUGUGUUGGGAAGAAGUUGGGGACAGAAAGCUGUAUGGGGCAGAAUUAGUACAAAUCACUACUGAAAAAGUGAGAAUUAUUAAGGAUUGAAUGAAGGUGGUUCAGGAUAGACAGAAGAAGUAUGCAGAUAUUCGAAGAAGACCACUUGAAUUUUUUCCUAGAGAUAAAGUAUUUCUGAAGGUAGCUCUAUGGAAGCACAUGCUGAGAUUCGGCAUGAAGGGGAAGUUAGCUCCGAGGUUCAUUGGACCAUUUGAAAUCUGAAAACAUAUCAAACCUGUAGCAUAUGAAAUAAACUUGCCCUCAUAGUUGGCCAAGGUUCACAAUGUAUUCCAUGUUUCUUUGCUGCAAAAAGCCGAUAUAGACCCUUUGAGAGUGUUACCCCAAGUGCCAGUGGAGAUAAAAGAAGACUUAACACUUGAGGUAAGACCGAUAAAGAUACUUGAAUGGGGCGAGAAAGAACUUCGUAAUAAGAAAGUUCCCAUCCUCAGAGUCUUAUGGCGAAGCUCACAAAACGAGGAAGAAACAUGGGAGAAAGAAUCAGAAGUGAGACGAAAAUUCCGCGACUUGUUAAUAAACUCAGGUACCUCACUCAAAUUUCAAGGAUGAAAUUUCUAUUAUGGGAGGAGAAUGUAAACCCCGGAAAAAAAUAAAUAAAUAAAUAACAGAAAUUCAAAAAAUUUUGAAUAUAAAUUUCCGGGUGAAAUAGUUGGAAACAUUAUAAUAAACCCGGUACUGUUGAGGGUUAGAUUUAAUUGAAGAGAAUAAUACACUUAAAGGAAAAGGGGGGCCUAAAUGCAAAUAAGGAAAAAUAUAGAGUAUAAAUACUCUCUCCUCACCAAAAAUCCGUAGGAACCCUAAGGAGAGAAGAUAGGGAGUUUUAUACCCAUUCUUGAGAAAUCAAGAGAGAAACACUAAAAUUUCAAGAACCCAUCCAAGAUUAAGAGCUUAUAGAUGGGAUAAAUACUUGAGAGCAAAGGAUUACCAAGAAAUUGAACAAGAAGAAAAGAAAGGAGGGAGUUGAAAAUCUUCAACUGGUUGAAAAUCAAUAUCUUAAUUUGUACCGGGUACGGUAUUCUAAACAUGAUCUUAAAGAAAUUCAUUUUUAAAUUCGAUAAAUAAUUGAUGCCUUGAUAUUGAAUCAUAGGUUAGGGUUCUUAGACAUAAAUUGGGGAAAUGUACUUAUUGUUGAGAUUAAGUUAAUUCGUGUGUGUGGUAUGUAGUUUAUGAAAGUAUUGUGUGAAGGGGAGGGGAGACAAAUCUGGACAGACUUGUCUCCUGACUUUCUGUGAGAUUUCAGGUAGGAGGAUGAGGGAAUUAGGAUCGGGUUCCUCAUAGGAAUUGUAGAUUUGAAUGUUAGCUAACCAAGGAAACUGGUCUUGCUCAAUUUGGAGAUGUAGAACUCCAAUUAUGGGUUACCAGCUGAGACUGAGUCGUGACUGAUUAUGUAGGGCAGUAGGACUAAUUAGUUAAUGAGCAAUUUUGACUAUUUUGGAGGCAAAACUGGGUUCUCCUCCCUCAGAGAACUUGUAGCCUUGUGUCUUAGCUUUCUAACGAGAUCAAUCUCACUUAAAAUGGAGUUUUAGAACUUUAGAUAUAGUUAAAAAUAUGAUGAGUGUUCAGACAAUAACAGUUCAAAGUUGGACAAUAACAGUUCAAAAUUGGACAGUAACAGUUGAAAAUUGCACAGUAACAAUUCAAAGUUGGAUAGUAACAGUUGAAAAUUAGAUUGUAACGGUUGGACAGUAAAAGUUCAAAGUUGGACAGUAACAGUUCAAAGUUGGACAGUAACUAUGAAACCCUAGAAAAUUUAUAAUUUAAAUAUGCGGAUGUAUAACCUCCCACGUAAACGUAAGACUGAAAGUGAUAUAUAAUGGAGGGGAUGACCUCCAUAAAAUGAAUUUUAUUUUAGAAUUCAUAAAAUAGAGAAACUGGUAACAUGUUUGAAUGGAUAAAAUAAUGAGAGAAAUAACAAAAUGUUUCUAAGAAAUAAGUGAGUAAUAAAGAAUACAUUAUAAUAAAGGAUAAUUCAAUGAAAAUGGCAGGACUGAAGGUGCAAGCAUCAAUUAAAAAUCAGUGACGUUACUUUGGAACGAUAAUAAUACCUGAUAAAUAAAUAAAGGUAGAAAUUUUAAAAUGAAUAUAUUCCAAAAUAAUAAAAUGACCUUAAAGGUUUAGAAGGAUGAUUGAUAUUAUUUUAUGUGAAGAUUGAACAAGAAAAUUUGGAUCAUUGACGAAAAGUUAUGAACUGACCAAUUUUACAUUAAAAAGCAGAGCUCUCAAUCCAAUCGUCGGAUCGGGAUGAAAUUUUGCAUGAAGUCUAUUAAUAUGUUUUCCUACCUUUGUGAAAGAUCUCAUCCCAAUGGAAGUUUGGUAAAGACUAGCGAUUUAAGCAGAAACAAACCGGAUGGGGUGAGAGACAAUAGAGAAUUCGGUUACAGAGAGGUGCAAGAUUUGGAGGAACCAAUAAUGCUUCGAUGGCCAUAUCUCUAGAAGCCACCGUUGGAUCAUGUUGAUUUUUGGAUAUAUUGUUCUUCUCACAAUCCUACACUAACUGACCGGAAGUUUCCUGGAAAACAUCAGGGAUUUGGAGGCACAUAAUCCGUUGAACAGAAAUCAUCAUCGAAAGUUUCCUGGAAAACAAAAGGAAAUAUACCUGCAGGGAAGUUUUGGUCACCGGCUGAUUUCUCUCUUUUCCACCGUUGGAUCAUGCCUAUUUUUGGAUAUGUGGUGCACCUCUAUGUUGCCUUCAUUCUGGACGGGGGAGAUCGCAAACUUACUCUCCGGCAGGUUUAGUUCAUGUUGAACAGUAGCUCGUCCAUUUUCAGGUUAGUUUGGUUUUAUUCAGAUCUAUGGAGAUCCAACCGUUGGAUCAUUCUAAUUUUGAGAUAUAAUGUACACAACACGAUGAUAUAUAUUAUGACCGUUGGGUUCAAGGAAAUAAUUAGAGGUGGAUGAGUUGUUGCUAUUUGAAUCUAUUGCUAGUCUUAGUAAAACAUUUAGGAAGCUUGAUUUAAUUACAUGUUUUGAUGAAAUUAGAAUUGUGUGGGUGUAGGGUUUAUGUAAGAUGUAAUGGUAAAAUAUGUUCUUGUUAUUAGUGUUGUUAUAGAUAAAUUGUGUUGUAAAAUGUGUUAGGGAAGUUUUGAAAUUUGGAUGAAGGGACAUUGAGUUUGUUGAUUUAAUGGAUAUAUGUUUUUAGGCAUUAAAAAAGGAUUGGGUCUAGUGGUAAUUGAAAGAAAACUUGAAGAAAAAUUUAUCCUCCAUUUAAUGCAAAGAUUCGGCCUAGACAUAUAAAUGAGAGGAUGUGCUUAAUUGUUUUAAUUGCUAUGGAAUUUGAGUUGAAUGAGGUUAGACUAGAUAUGAAAUAAAUGGGUAAAGGUUUAUCCGGAAUAAUUAAAAAGGGCCUCACCAUGAAGGAAGGCAUUCGGCCAAAUGAAGAAGAAAUAAAGGAGAUAAGACUUUGUUUCAUUUUCUAUGUAAAUUAGGUAUGGAUGCAUAUAUCUGGUAAAGAAGAUUAGUUAGGAAGUCAGAAGAAAGAAUAUUAAAAAGAACCAAAUUCUCAUCAUAAUAUGGAAUUCCGCCAAAAAUAGAAAUAUUGAUCUGAGCAAUUGACCAAUGACANNNNNNNNNNNNNNNNNNNNNNNNNNNNNNNNNNNNNNNNNNNNNNNNNNNNNNNNNNNNNNNNNNNNNNNNNNNNNNNNNNNNNNNNNNNNNNNNNNNNNNNNNNNNNNNNNNNNNNNNNNNNNNNNNNNNNNNNNNNNNNNNNNNNNNNNNNNNNNNNNNNNNNNNNNNNNNNNNNNNNNNNNNNNNNNNNNNNNNNNNNNNNNNNNNNNNNNNNNNNNNNNNNNNNNNNNNNNNNNNNNNNNNNNNNNNNNNNNNNNNNNNNNNNNNNNNNNNNNNNNNNNNNNNNNNNNNNNNNNNNNNNNNNNNNNNNNNNNNNNNNNNNNNNNNNNNNNNNNNNNNNNNNNNNNNNNNNNNNNNNNNNNNNNNNNNNNNNNNNNNNNNNNNNNNNNNNNNNNNNNNNNNNNNNNNNNNNNNNNNNNNNNNNNNNNNNNNNNNNNNNNNNNNNNNNNNNNNNNNNNNNNNNNNNNNNNNNNNNNNNNNNNNNNNNNNNNNNNNNNNNNNNNNNNNNNNNNNNNNNNNNNNNNNNNNNNNNNNNNNNNNNNNNNNNNNNNNNNNNNNNNNNNNNNNNNNNNNNNNNNNNNNNNNNNNNNNNNNNNNNNNNNNNNNNNNNNNNNNNNNNNNNNNNNNNNNNNNNNNNNNNNNNNNNNNNNNNNNNNNNNNNNNNNNNNNNNNNNNNNNNNNNNNNNNNNNNNNNNNNNNNNNNNNNNNNNNNNNNNNNNNNNNNNNNNNNNNNNNNNNNNNNNNNNNNNNNNNNNNNNNNNNNNNNNNNNNNNNNNNNNNNNNNNNNNNNNNNNNNNNNNNNNNNNNNNNNNNNNNNNNNNNNNNNNNNNNNNNNNNNNNNNNNNNNNNNNNNNNNNNNNNNNNNNNNNNNNNNNNNNNNNNNNNNNNNNNNNNNNNNNNNNNNNNNNNNNNNNNNNNNNNNNNNNNNNNNNNNNNNNNNNNNNNNNNNNNNNNNNNNNNNNNNNNNNNNNNNNNNNNNNNNNNNNNNNNNNNNNNNNNNNNNNNNNNNNNNNNNNNNNNNNNNNNNNNNNNNNNNNNNNNNNNNNNNNNNNNNNNNNNNNNNNNNNNNNNNNNNNNNNNNNNNNNNNNNNNNNNNNNNNNNNNNNNNNNNNNNNNNNNNNNNNNNNNNNNNNNNNNNNNNNNNNNNNNNNNNNNNNNNNNNNNNNNNNNNNNNNNNNNNNNNNNNNNNNNNNNNNNNNNNNNNNNNNNNNNNNUGGUACGUCAAACAAGUAUAGUAUAAACUCUUAUUAUUCAAUUGCCAAACCACACACAAAGAAGGUUCCAAUCAGAUUAUAAAUUGUUCACAUGAUUACAUUAGUUAUCUUAUUCGAAUAAUGCUAAUACUUGUAAAUGUUGUCAAGCAUUCAUGAUUAUAACUUAUGUUAACAACAAAUCAAGUUCCUUUCAUAGCUCAGGUGUCGGUUAUACCAUACAGUAUGGGCUAUGAAAGUCCCAAGUAUUUGUUGUACCAAGUGUUAUACAACAUAAAUCUAGAUUAGUCAUUCAACAAGCAAAGUAUUAAAAAUGAACAAGAUAACAAAUAUAAAACAUGUUAGUAUUCAACAUUAAAGUCCAUGUUAAGUUUAUAUUAUACUUAUCCUUACACCAUUAGUGUUACCCUUUCACCUUGACAUAAUAAACUUAGCUAAACAUAAUGAAAGAGAGAAACAUAAAUAAACAAGGAAAGGAAAUGAAAAGCAUAAGCAAGAGAUUAAUAUAAGCAAAACUUAAGCAUUACAAAGAGAGAAAGCAAGAUCAUGAUCUUGAUCUGAACACCAAGAUGCCUCAAUACAUGGUAAAUGCCUCCUUUUAUAGGCCAAAAUUUGGAACUAUUGAUUUGUUGACUAAUUGAUGAGUGGGUUGCCACAUCUUGACUUGAUGACAAUUCUUAUCUUUUUGUCUGCCAAAAACAUCAUUGAUAACGUCAUAAUUUGAACAGACUUAAAUCAUUAAAGUUCUAGUAAAUUGUCUCAGCUUUCCAGGAAAACAAAGAUGAGGUCAUUUGGACUUCUAGAACUCGAGAUAUGGGCUAAACACUGAGCAGUGUCUGGGCUGCAGAACAGAUUCAGACUUCUCCGUUGUUGCUACAAUUUGGACUUGAAAACAGCCUUUUUAAAUCUUGGACUCCCAUGAAAGUUUUAGGCCUAUAUCUUAGCUUUCCAUCCAUAUAGAGCAGACCUAAAUCCAAGAUCUACAGCUCCAGAUAUGCCCCAAUGACCGAACAGUGUUCCAGUUUGGAUUGAACCAGCAUCUCUCUUCUAAGUUUGACCCUUUCUUUGUUCUUUCAAUUUCAGUACUUAAACUCAUCAAUUAAUCCUUUUAUUUAUGUGAUAGGCCUGCAUUUUAGAUGAACGUUUACCAUAAAUUAAAGGUAUCUUAUAGUAUCAGACUUGUUAUUAUAAAACAUCUUAUAGUUAAGGAGUUAUUGAUACUUCAAGUGCAAAAUGAUGAUAUAUAACCUUGAUAAAAAUGCAUUUUUAAGUACUAAUCACACCCCCCAACCAGCUUAUUACUAGUCCCUAGUAAUCAAAGCGUUAAAAUAGAAAAACAAUUUGUAAAUUCCACAAAGCAAGGCAUUCAUCAUUCAACUUCCCUUAAUCUAUCGAGAUAAACAAACUCUCAUUAAGUUUAUAUAUCUGCUCAAUACCUCUUAAACAAGAUAUUAAUAAACCUUCCUUUUUAUGUGCUCAUUGUACGAAAACAUAGAUGAUGGGGCUUUUGUUGGAGGAAAACAAUAUUAUGUUCUAAUGUUUAAGGUUAACUUCCUUGGGUUGGGAUUAUUAUUAUUAUUAUUAUUUUUCUCUCUUUUUUUUAAUAUAUAUACAUAUAACUUAAAACACAAUGUAUCUUUAACCCAUGUAACGAGCUUUCGGCUAAUGGCUCCCAGACCAGUUGGUCUUAGGGCAUUAGGUGUUGAGACACCCCUACGAGCUUAGUAACUCGGGUUUCAGAUACUGAUACGUAGAUAGUGCAAUGUUUGAUUCCCUUAAGCUUUUCUCCUUAACCCAUGUAACAAGCUUUGGGCCAAUAGCUCCCAAGUCAGUUGACUUUAGGGUAUUAGGUGUUAAGACACCCCUUUGGGCUUAAUUGCUUAGGUUAGGGAGGCUAAGAAACCAAACUUAUCUACGUUUUUAUUAUCAUCAUUUUUUUUUGUUUUUUUUUAAAAUUAUAUACCAUCCCUUUCCCUUAGUUGUUACCUUUAACAAAAGAACAUAAAUAAUGUAAUAAUCCAAUGUGCAACCCACAAUCAUAUGUUAAAGUGUGUGUGUGUGAAAAUGAAGGUUUAAGAAUACUUGUUAAAUGAGUAUAUGAGCAGAAUUAAGUGAUAACAAUGCGAGAGUUUGUAAACCUGAAUAUUUCAAGAAGUUUUUUGAUAGACCUUGGUAAUGAUACUUACUAAGAUGCGUCUCUAGAGUCAAUAAAAUUUCCUCCUUACUCUGCCAUCCUAAUAAGAAUACUUUACUAAGAUGCGUCUCAAGAGUUAAUAAGACUGACUCCUUACUCAGCCAUCCUAAUAACAAUUGUGUCAAAUGGUUUUAAUAAUAGCAAAAACAGUUAGUAAGUUAGUUUUUUUUUAAGGAUUGUAGUUGGUCAAUCAAUUGUUCAGCAGUAGCAGCAGAGAUUAUGAUUUGUCAUGCUGAAGAUGUUAGAAAAUUCUGUUCCACAACAUGAUCAAGAAAAGACAACAAAUUAUCAUAAAAACCAUUGACAUUUAGCAAAUCUAUAGGUUUAUGGUGAAUGUGCAGUUGGGCCCAAGAGGAAAUAUGAAAGAUCUCUUCCAAUGUGCCUCGACCACCUGAUAAUCGAACCUUCGCUUCAAUCAGCCAGCGAAUAUCUUCAGGAAUUCCAUGAUUCAUUAACAAUCUCAAUCUUGCACACCUUGCACGGUAAAUUUUUGUAAUCACAUUCCGAGGCAGAGUGGGAAAAUACUUUUUCAAUUUUUCAAGAGUGGUGUCCAUUUUCAAAUGAGAAUUGGAGAAGAGAUUCAAAGAACUGAGAAAGAGCAAAGAAUUGCACAAAUAUGUACACCGAUAUCAGUUAUUAUGGGAAACUGAAAGAACCGACUUAAGUCACGGAGUAACGUUAUCCGCCAUUUGACCGGGGUGAGAGAAACUAGCAAAACAAAACACAAAACAAUGUGAGAAAAAAACAAAAUAAUCAACCUUUAUCUACAGGAUCACUCAAACCAAUGGAUUCAUUUUCACUAGGAAAAUUAUCAAAGUAAGCUUUCAAAUGAUGUUCAUUUACCUUAAAAACAUUGUUAUUCUUUGGAUUCUCGAUAUCACAGGCCCCAUAUGGAUACACAUGUUUCACAAUAAGAGGACCACUCCAUCUUGAUCUUAGUUUUUCAGGAGAUAAAUUGAGUCGAGAAUUAUAAAGCAAAACUUUUUGACCAAUAUCAACUUUUUGACAACUUUCACAAGUUUUGCAGAAUGCAUAUGUGUCCUUGAACAUGGUGGGCCAAUAAAAUCCAUUUUGAAAGAUUUUCGCAAUGAUCUUUUUUGAUGAGAAAUGACUCCCACAUGCUUCAGAAUGACAAAAUUUAAUGACACUACUUACCUCAUUGUCCACAAUGCAUCUUUGAAAUAUUUGAUCAGGACAAUAUUUGAAUAAGUUAGGGUCAUCCCAAUAAAAGUUUCUCACUUCGUUCAAAAACUUUCCUUUAUCUUCGGUACUCCAAUGAGUUGGCAAAUCUCCUGAGGCAAGGAAAUUGAUAUUUUUAGCAAACCAAGGCAUUGAACCAAGAGAAAGUAAGGAUUUGUCAGGAAAGUAAUCAUCGAUUGGUGUGAUGUCAGAUGUCGAAUCUGUUGUCACUCUUGACAAAAGAUCCGCAUCAACAUUUUUUAUGCCUUUUUCAUCCGUGAUUUCUUCCUGAGAAUAAGUCAUUUGCAAAUCUUCAAAUUCAUCAAACUCAGUAUUACUCAAAGUAGAUUCAAAUUGAUCAUAAACCAAUUCUUCAAUAAAAUCUACUUCUUAUAAAUCAUUAUCAUCUCCAGGUUGCUUGCAAAUGUUGAAAAUAUUCAUCUCCAAUGUCAUGUUUCCAAAAGAUAGCUUCAUCAGUCAAUUCCUACAAUUAAUCAAUGCAUUAGAAGUUGCAAGAAAUGGACGCCCUAAAAUAACAGGAAAUGAAUUACAUGUUUCAACAGGUUGUGUGUCCAAGACAAUAAAAUCCACAAGAUAAAUGAAUUUAUCAACUUGUACUAACACAUCUUCAACUAUUCCUCUAGGCACUUUUACAAAUCUAUCGGCAAGUAAAAGAGUUACAGAAGUUGGUUUUAACUCACCUAGAUUGAGACUUUGAAAAACUGAAUAUGGAAGUAAAUUCACACUAGCUCCAAGAUCAAGUAAGGCUUUUUCAAUUUUAUGUUCUCUAAUAAAGCAAGAAAUUGUAGGGCAACCAGGGUCUUUAUAUUUCAAAGCAUUAUUAUUCUGAAGAAUGUCACUUGUUCGGCCAAAAAGGCUUUCUUUUUCACAUUCAGUUUUCUCUUCACAGUGCACAGAUCUUUCAAAAAUUUUGCAUAAGAAGGAACUUGUUUAAUAGCAUCCAGCAAAGGUAUAUUGAUCCUUACCUGUUUGAAAGUUUCAAAGAUUUUAGAGUUGUGAUUGACUUUCCUUUGUUUGGCCAUGGCAUGAGGAAAUGGAAGUGCUGGCGGGGAAUCAGUCUUUUCUUUGUAAUGAUCAGAUUCAACCCCUUCCUUACCCUUAGAGAUUGACUCAUCAUCAUUCUCAUAAGGUUCAAGAAUGGGUUUUUCAAUAACCUUACCACUACGAAGAGUGAUGACUGAUUUGACUUGAUUCAUGUGUUGACUUCCAGAACUACUUGCAUUUGCAUGAUACUGCCCCUUGGGAUUUUGUUGUGGUUGACAUGGAAACUUACCUUUCUCUUGGAAACUAAGAGCAGAUGUGAAUUUUGCAAGAGUAUCUUUAAAAUCUAUCAUGCUUUGAGCAAGUUGAUUGUUAAUUGCCUCUUGCUUUUCCAUAAAUGCAUGCAAUGUUUCCUCAAGAUUUCUUCUAGGAGGGGGAGCAUAAGGAGGUGCAUAUCCAUGAGAAUUUUGGAAAUUAUGGUGUGCUUGAAACGGUGGUUGUGAAGUUUGUGCAUUAUUGUUCUCACUCUUCCAACUGAAAUUUGGGUGAUUUCUCCAACCAGGGUUAUAUGUUUGCGAAUAUGGGUUAUGAUUGGGCAUUUGAAAACUAUUUAAAGCAUGGGCUUGUUCAUGGAGACAUUCCUUAAUAGAAGGCAAAGUUGGACAGUCAUUGGUUGGGUGUUCAUUGGUUUCACAGAUUUGACACGCAAUGUCUUGAACAAAUUUUAAUUGACCACUCUUUUUCAAUUGUAGUGCUUCGACUUUUUUAGCUAAAGAUGCAAACUUGGCUUGGAGGUCAUGAUCUUCCCUAAGGUUGUACAUACCCCCACUAGAUGUAUGAGGUUGGGUUUUACUUGGUGCCUCAUAAGUACCUGUGGUGUCCCAAUUUUGUGCAUUUUCAGCUAGCAAGUCUAAGUACUCCAUUGCUUCAUUAGGGUCUUUAUCUUCAAAAGUUCCAUUACACAUCAAUUCAACCAUUUGCCUAUCUCUAGGUGUUAAUCCUUCAUAAAAAUGUGAAACUAAUCUCCAUGUUUCAAAACCAUGAUGGGGGCAAGUAUUAAGCAAGUCUCGAUACCUAUCCCAACAUUGGUAAAAUGUUUCUCCUGGUUUUUGAGAGAAAGUAAUGAUUUGUCUUUUGAAAGAGUUUGUUCUGUGAGAUGGAAAAAACUUCUUUAAAAAUUGUUGUUGCAUUUCAUCCCAAGCACGAAUGGAUCUAGGUCUCAAAUUUUGUAGCCAUGUUUUAGCUUUAUCUUUUAAUGAAAAAGGAAAAAGCUUUAAUCUAAUGGUGUUCAUGCUACAAUUUGAGUCAUUAUACGUAUUGCAGACCUCCUCAAAUUCCCUUAAAUGCAAGUAUGGAUUUUCUAAAUCUAAGCCAUGAAAAGAUGGUAAAAGUUGAAUAAUGCUUGUCUUAAAAUUAAAAUGAGAUGCAUCAAGAGGAAAAACUAUGCAUGAGGGUGCACUUGUUCUUAUGGGAUUCAUGUGGUCUCUAAGUGUUCUAACACGGUUAUUCUCAUUAUUUUCAUUAUGAAGCGAUUUGUUAUCUUCUUCGGCCAUAUUUUCUGAAAAUGAUGAGGAUACCCUACAAAGUCUACCACUUAAUGUACGUGACCACACUCACAUGCACGUGCAGGAAGAGAAUAAAAGAAAGAAAAGAAAAACAAUAGAAAAAGAAACAAAACAAAAGAAAUGAAGUUAGAUAUAAGAAAAGUGAAAAGAGAAAACAAAAUAAAUAACUCGACCAAAAACUUGACACGACCAAAAGAUUGAUGUCUUCUCCCAAGUGCAGGAGUGUCGAAGUAAUAAAUAACUCGGCAAGACAGGGAGGUUAAUUGUAUAAAUUAUAGAUAACAAUAAUACAACAAUAACAAUAACAACAACAAUAACAACAACAAUAAUAAUAGAGAUAAUAAUAAUAGUGAAGAAGAAGAGGAAGAAGUUGAUGAAAACUUUGAGAUGGAAGAUUAACGUAAAGAUUAAACAAUGAUAACAACAAAUGUCAAGGUUAGAGGAUCCACUAAUGGUACGUCAAACAAGUAUAGUAUAAACUCUUAUUAUUCAAUUGGAAACCACACACAAAGAAGGUUCCAAUCAGAUUAUAAAUUGUUAACAUGAUUACAUUAGUUAUCUUAUUCGAAUAAUGCUAAUACUUGUAAAUGUUGUCAAGCAUUCAUGAUUAUAACUUAUGUUAACAACAAAUCAAGUUCCUUUCAUAGCUCAGGUGUCGGUUAUACCAUACAGUAUGGGCUAUGAAAGUCCCAAGUAUUUGUUGUACCAAGUGUUAUACAACAUAAAUCUAGAUUAGCCAUUCAACAAGCAAAGUAUUAAAAAUGAACAAGAUAACAAAUAUAAAACAUGUUAGUAUUCAACAUUAAAGUCCAUGUUGAGUUUAUAUUAUACUUAUCCUUACACCAUUAGUGUUACCUUUUCACCUUGACAUAAUAAACUUAGCUAAACAUAAUGAAAGAGAGAAACAUAAAUAAACAAGGAAAGGAAAUGAAAAGCAUAAGCAAGAGAUUAAUAUAAGCAAAACUUAAGCAUUACAAAGAGAGAAAGCAAGAUCAUGAUCUUGAUCUGAACACCAAGAUGCCUCAAUACAUGGUAAAUGCCUCCUUUUAUAGGCCAAAAUUUGGAACUAUUGAUUUGUUGACUAAUUGAUGAGUGGGUUGCCACAUCUUGACUUGAUGACAAUUCUUAUCUUCUUGUCUGCCAAAAACAUCAUUGAUAACGUCAUAAUUUGAACCGACUUAAAUCAUUAAAGUUCUAGUAAAUUGUCUCAGCUUUCCAGGAAAACAAAGAUGAGGUCAUUUGGACUUCUAGAACUCGAGAUAUGGGCUAAACACUGAGCAGUGUCUGGGCUGCAGAACAGAUUCAGACUUCUCCGUUGUUGCUACAAUUUGGACUUGAAAACAGCCUUUUUAAAUCUUGGACUCCCAUGAAAGUUUUAGGCCUAUAUCUUAGCUUUCCAUCCAUAUAGAGCAGACCUAAAUCCAAGAUCUACAGCUCCUGAUAUGCCCCAAUGACCGAACAGUGUUCCAGUUUGGAUUGAACCAGCAUCUCUCUUCUAAGUUUGACCCUUUCUUUGUUCUUUCAAUUUCAGUACUUAAACUCAUCAAUUAAUCCUUUUAUUUAUGUGAUAGGCCUGCAUUUCAGAUGAACGUUUACCAUAAAUUAAAGGUAUCUUAUAGUAUCAGACUUGUUAUUAUUAAACAUGUUUUAGUUAAGGAGUUAUUGAUACUUCAAGUGCAAAAUGAUGAUAUAUAACCUUGAUAAAAAAUGCACUUUUAAGUACUAAUCAUGAAGUUACUAAGUUUGUACAUGAUGGGUUGAGUAGACAAAAAUAAAAUAAAAUAAGAUUGUUAGGUCAUGUUUAAAGAUAUUUAGUCUGGAAAGACAAGUCAUGAAAGGAAAGGAAAUAAAUAAAUAAAUAUGUGAAUGCAUGUGUCAUGCGAUUUUAAAUUUAAAUGAAUUUUAGAAUGGAAUUUUCAAUUAUGGUGGAGCCACAUUUGAUAUGUAUCUUUAAUGAUACUGGAGAGAUUGCAGAAUCUGUUCAGUAGCAUGGGACUUUUACGCGAGUUCAAGCAUUAGGUAGGUGUCUUAUACCUCAAACUUUUGUUUUUACAAUACUUGUUAGAGUUAAAUAAAUGGUAUUUUCUAUAAAUAUACUUGUGCUUGUGUAAUUGUGAAUGUUUAUGUCGAGGAAAAUAUAGUGGACUAGCUAGUUUGAAUAGAGUUAGUGGUGCUACUGUACUGACUGUUGAGUUAGAUGUAUAAUAACAAAAAUGAAAUGUACCGACUUUAGGGUGAUAAAUUAAUGGUACAUUAUGAUUAAAUUAUUGAUGCUCGAUUUAUAUAUGUAUACUGAUGAUGUGUAUGUGUUUAAAUAAUUUAUAUGAAGGAAGCAGGUGUAUCCCACCUUGUCUCUUUUAAGUUGUGUAAACUUAUUGGUAAAUUUCAGAAUUUAUUGUUUUAUUGCUUCGAUGAUAUUGACAUGAGUAAGAGUACCUUAUGUGCAACGGUAUACCUCUAUUAGUUAGGAUAAUGUUUGAACGAAUAGGAGUGACUUGCGUGUGUUGUUAUGUAUUGAAUUAAUUAUGUUAUUAUGGUCGUAGUGUCGAUAACUAAGUUUGUGUGGGAAUGAUGCUUAGCAACAGUUGUUAUAAUGCAUAUGAUGUAAGAAAAAAAAAGAAGAAGAAGAAGAAAAGAAAGAAAGGGGAUCGAUACGAAUGGAAAUUUCAAGUGACAUUGAUUAGCUAUCCGGGUUUGGAUAGCUAAUGGUAUCAAUGAGGUUUCAUUGGUAUCGGCAUUUAGGGUGACAUUGAUUAGUUAUCCGGGUUUGGAUUGCUAAUGGUAUCAAUGAGGUUUCAUUGGUGCCGGCAUUUCUUAAAUUGAUUAGUUAUCCCGAGCAAUUGGGUGACUAAUGAUGUUAGUAAUGAUUACUAAAAUCGGCAUGGUUACUCUUGGUUCAGUGAAAAAGAUAAGUUUAUUAACUAUUUUGGGUCGAGAAUAGUUAAUGAUAUCAAUUGGUCAUAUUGGUAUCGGCAACCAUUUCUGGUGUGAUUAGCUACUCCAGGUAAGGAGGCUGAUAAUGUAAAGGGUUCUUGACAUCGGCAACUUUGAUGAUAAAUCAUAUAUGAAUAGGAUUUGAUACUCCAGAUAAGAAUAGUUAAUGAUACUAAUCGGUUGUGUUAAUAUCGGUACGUGAAUGUAAGUUAUUAGUCUAUCCCAAUAUUAAAAGACUAAUGAUACUAAUGAGAUUUAUUAGUGUCGGCGAUUACUUUCUAGAAAAUAAAAGGGAAAAUAUUGAUUAGUUAUUCCAAAGGAAUGAGAUAAGCUAAUGAUACCAAGAGAGAAAUGUCUUGGUAUAAAGAGAGAAUUGAUUUAUAAGGAGAUGGUGUUCGAAAAUCAUUGAGUUGUGUUGAGAUUUCCAAGAUGAAAUUAUUCUCAACAAAUGGGAAAGGAUAUUAGAUGGAUAUUGGUAAUAGAUUGAAAAUGCAUGUUGUAAAAGAGGUUUAUACCUAAUUUUAUGUCUCAAAAGAAAUUCUAUGAAGAUUAUUACCUAUCAUUGUUAUUGUUUGUUACUACCUUUUUAUAUUUAUGUGUACACGUUAAUUUCUAUUUUCAGGUCCAUCAGGGUCGCGUCCGGAAUGAUAUUGGUUUAGUUACCUUUUGCUUUUGACCAUGUAAUUAUUUGUAAAUUAAGAGUCUUAUAUCCUAAAACUUGAAAUAUAAUAUUAAUCCGUAAAUUUGAAUGUAUGACUUUAAUCUAAUGUUUGUAACUUUAAGUACCUAUUUAACCAUGCAUGUUUAGAGUUGAAAACAAAUCUUUCACUUGAAUUACAUUAUAUGACGUUAUUGAAUAACAUGUGUUAUGUUGAUGAUGAUGAGUUGGGUUGAGAUCUAGGAUGAUUGGAUUAGGAUGUGAACUAAAAUUGGAAGUAUAAUAUGAUUUUGUCGAUAACUUGGGACCUCCUAGUAUAGGGGAGACUCUGCCAAAAUUUUGGUAGACAUUUGGUGGAACCGGUAUAUUAAAAAAAAAAUUACUUGAAAAUUUCCAAUGUAUCGUGAAAAAAGGAUGUUGGAAAUCAAGGUUGUUAUAGUAACAGUUGAAAAUUGGACAGUAACAGUUCAAUGUCUAGACAGUAACGGUAGGCUUUCACGUGAAUACUAUAUAUGCAAGAAUAUAAAAGAAUUGAGUCAUACGAACACUUGCACAUUGAGAUACUAACUCUGAAAAUAUACAUGAUAUAUGUAUGUAUGUUAUUAUGAGGAAAUGAACAUAUAUAGAAAGUAACAUAUGAGUAAUGGAUGAAUAUGGAUUCUCUAUAAUGUCGACUUGAAGGAAUCAUAACCAAAAACUUCCUUAUGAUUCAGGAGGAGCAACCAGGAUUGGAUUUUCUAAUAGGGGAGGUCGCGAGACAAGUGAAGCAGGUGCAUGAUUCUCCUCCUAUUUGGACUUAUACAAUUUAGAAUUCUUAUGGUGAAUGCAAUUACAAUAAAUGUCGUGUUUAAUGUAAAUAAAAAUCUAGCGUAAAUAUAAGAUUAGGAGAUGAUUUACAAGAUUAGCUUUGGCUAAUGGCAUCCGUGAUAGGAUUGCCGGGAGAUGAAUUACAAGAUUAGCUUCGGCUAAUGGCAUCCGUGAUAGGAUUGCAGGGAUAUGAAUUACAAGAUUAGACUUGGCAAGGUCACCCAGUUCAUGCAAGUAAAUAAGAGUAUUCAAAUCAUGGAUAUACAAAUGAGUGUUAAUUAGGUUUAAAAGACUUACAAGCAAAAUAUAAGUUCUUUGUUAGAAUUCUUAUGGGUCCGAUAGAAAGUUAAUACUUCAUUCGUAUUCAUUACAUGAGCAUCUAUAUUCUUUAUCAACAUAAUGAUAUGUUUAAUUAUGUAACAGGUCCAUCAAAUAUCCAGGAAGAUCAUUAGUUUAGGACUCUACUUUGCGAAGCUUAUGUAAAUAUUUAACUUAAACAAAAGGGAAUUAACGUGUUUAUGUAGUAUAUUUUUGUGUAAACCUUGAUGUAUUUAUAAAAGUUCAAUUUUGCAUGUGUUAUUUUAGUUAUCUUGUAAUUAACCCUUUUGAAAUAUUUAAGAACACUUAUUAUGUUGUAAAUACUUUCUUUGCAUGUUAGUAUUCCUUUCCUUUUAAAUUUUACGAUAUGAUGUUUGGACUAUGUUCAUAUUGAACUUACUCAUAGGAUAUAUAUAUAUAUAUAUAUAUAUAUAUAUAUAUAUAUAUAUAUAUAUAUAUAUAUGGUGUGGAAUUAUGAGGUAUGAUAUAAGAUCCGAAAUUAUGGGACCUAAUGAUGAUGGGUUGAUUGAGUAAAUUGAUAGUAGUUGAUAACUUGGGAUGUCACUCUGCCGAAUUUUUGGAAAAAAAAAAAUUUACCCUCAGAUAAAGAGGAUAUGUUAGGAUCUUUUAACAUUGAUCAAGUCGUACAGUUCGGACCGUUACAACACUCAAUGAACAUGAUUUACCCAUAAAGGAAAAAGAGACAUUCCUUACUUCAAGUUUGCUUUACUUAUGAUGUAGGCUAAGGACAACAACAACUGCAAGUUAAAGAGGGAUAAUCAUUAGAUUGUGUGUUGGGACAAAAUAAAUAAUUUUUUUAAUAUCCGUGAUCAGUACCGGUGAAUAUGAUAGAAUGGAAGACUCCCCUUCAUUAUCUAAAAAUAAAUAAAUAAAAUCUAGAUUAUCCUUCUAUUGUGUAUCAAAUUUAUGCUUUUUAUUGGUCAGUGAUUUUAAAUCCGGUUUGGUGGUCGACCCGACCCAAGGGGUUCUAGUCACGAGUUUUGAUCGGGUCACCUGAGUCAACUCCAAUUUUUUUAUAAAUCAAAACGAUAUCGUUUUUUAUUAAAAAAAAUCAACAGGUUGCAACCGGGUUUUUUAAUCCAUUUCAAGGGCAAUAGCAUUUAGAUCCAUUUCAAUAGCAUUGAUUCCAUCAGGGGCUCCGGUGUAUAGUGAGGACCUUGCUGUUAGAAACUAUGGAGCCCACUAUUUAUUAAUCCAUUUCUAUUUACUACUUAUUACUAUUUAUUUUUAUUUACUAUAUUUUUGUUUGUGAUACCCGGUACCAAUACAAUUUGAGAUUCCUUCAAUUUUUAAGGUGCAUGCAAGUCUAAUGGCUUCAUGUACAAAAUCAAUUCAAGGGUGUGUAUCCUUAACUAUCAGGCUAACCUUUACAAGCUUGGCAAUCGAUAAUUAAUUUUUAAUGAAUUCAAUUUUUUUUUAAAUAAGGAAAAGGACAUUGGUGAAUAAAUUGUUUCCUUCCUAUUAUAAUUGUUAGACCUUACCAAAGGGCUAAUUUAGAAAAAGAUUGUAACUUAUAGGUCACUAGGGCCGAGGUCAACUUGUGACUAAGUAGAUCAAUUUAAAUUAAUUAUUUUUAUUAAAAUAAUAAUGUUUUGUUUUUUUUCUUGAUAUUAAUUUGGCUAAUUUUUAUCAAAUCAAAUCACUAAGAACUUAACCAAAUCAAAUUUCAUCAAAUCAAUAAUAUUUUAUGUAGUUGAAUUAAAAAUUCAAUUCAAUUCUAGCUCUGAACCCUGAUUUUUUUUUUGUUCAAUCUAGCAUACAGGUUUAUCAAAUAUGCUUCGCGCUUGCAGCUGUGGUUUGCUGCGGGCAUUUGAUAAUUGGAUUACUGUAAAGAUUAUUGUUGUCAUUUCCAACUUCAUGCAUGUUGCUAGCACUAGAAGUUGACCCAACCACCCUUUCUACCAUGCUCUCAUUAGGACCAAAUAGUUCUCCGUGUGCAUACCAACACAGGUAAUCUUCCAUGAACCAUUUGGUUAGAAGAUGCAUCGUUACAACAUUUUGAUGCAGAAACGUUUUAUUUUUACACUUCCUGCAUGGACACCUAAUACCGCCAUCAGUAAAAUUCGUCGGAAUAGAUGUUGCGAAAUUAAUAAAACCCAGAACCCCGUUAUAAUAAUCCAUCCUCCGCAAUCCUUGGGGUGAGUCCCGAUACAUCCAUGAACGAUCAUCCAUGACUUCUAUCGAACCUCUAUAAAAUUAUGACGACAACAUGUAUUAAUUAACUAUGUUACGUAAAUAAAUUUGCAAAAAUAUUGGUUUGCCCCAACAUUAUCCAACAAACUAAAAAAACACUUAUGUUAAAUAUUCAUUAUCAAUUAUCAAUUAUCAAGGUCCAUACAAAUUUAUAUAUAUAUAAAUUUAUGAAAUCACAACUUCGCAAUAGAAUUGAUAAAAAUUAAAACAGACCCGUUAAACAAGCUAUUAUUUAUUUCAUCACAACAUAUCUAAUUCGGUGUAAUUCAAACAAAGUUUCAAUAAUUUACAAAUAAAUACAAUUUGACAAAAUCUAAAACAAACUAUAACAACUAUAAAAUUCUACAUUCAUACUACAAGUUUCUUUGACAAAUAACAAUCAAACAAGUACAUACGUUAACAAAAAUAUACAUAUACUAAAAAAAAAUGACAUUUAAAUGUUAAAACUAAAAGGAUAAAUUUACUUACAAAAAAUGAUAAAAUCCACAAUAAACUGCUCGGAGAACGGAUGUUGUGACCACGUACAAAAGUAUAAGAAACUUGAGUGCUUGUGUUGAGAAGAUGGGGGAGUUGGGAUGGGUGGUUGGCUGCAGUUUGGGAGGGCAGAGUUGGGAUGGGGAAAAAGAAGGGGAAGAAGAAGGAGAAAUAGGGCAGAGAGUGUCGGCAGAGUGGAUAAUAUAUUGGCUUUUACCGAUGGAAUCACCGACUGAACGUUUCCGUUGGUGAGUCGGCCAGUGAAUGUGCCACAUCACUGUAUGGCGAUCCCGGUUUGAAUCCCUCGGUAAUUCCAUCGGUAAAAUCAUCUGAAAAAAAUCCACGUCAUCACACCGUUGCAACUUUUCAAAAAACUAUAUAAUCCGUCAGUGAUACCGUCGGUAUAUAGCGACGGUAUCGCCAACGGAAAUUGUCUGUCGGUAUAUACCGACAGAAGUAGAGACGGAAUUAUUUUCGUCGGUAAUUUUUACCAAUGAAAAAAGUCUGUCGGUAAUUCCGUUGGUUUUCGCCGAUUUUUUGGUAGUGAAAUCUUAUUUAAAUUAAAAAGCCAAAAAUGAACUCAUCUACUCUUUGCAAGAAUGGACUAAAAUCCGCAUAAUUAAAUAGUACUGUUACUGUAAACUACUAGGAAAUUCAUGGGUAGAGCCAAAAUGUUAACAAUAGCAUUGAUUCGACCAAGUAAGGGGCUCACUAUUUAUUAAUCCAUUUCUAUUAAGGAAAUAACCAUAGAAAUUAUGGAGCCCACUAUUUAUUAAUCCAUUUCUAUUUACUACUUAUUACUAUUUAUUUUUAUUUAUUAUAUUUGUGUUUGUGAUACCCAGUACCAAUAAAAUUUGAGAUUCCUUCAAUUUUUUAGGUGCAUGGUCUAGUCUAAUGGCUUCAUGUACAAAAUCAAUUCAAGGGUGUGUAUCCUUGACUAUCAGGCUAACCUUUACAGGCUUAGCUAGCAAUCGAUAAUUAUUUUUUAAUGAAUUCAUUUUUUUAUUUAAAAUAAGGAAAAGGACAUUGUUACACCUUAACUAUUAUAAUUGUUACACCUUACCAAAGGGUUAAUUUAGAAAAAGAUUAUAACUUAUAGGUCACCAGGGCCGAGGUCAACUUGUGACUAAGUAGAUCAAUUUAAAUUAAUUAUUUUUAUUAAAAUGAUAAUGUUUUGUUUUUUUUCUUGAUAUUAAUUUGGCUAAUUUUUAUUAAAUCAAAUCACUAAAAACUUAACCAAAUCAAAUUUCAUAUUUCAUCAAAUCAAUAAUAUUUUAUGUAGUUGAAUUAAAAAUUCAAUUCAAUUCUAGCUCUAAACCCUGAGUUUUUUUUUUUUUUUGUUCAAUUUAGCAUACAGGCUUAACAAAUAUGCUUCGCACUUGCAGCUGUGGUUUGCUGCGGGCAUUUGAUAAUUGGGAGAGGCUUUAGUUUCGUACCUGUUGUUCUGCUUCAUGUACACUCGGACCUCUUAUUUUAUUUUAUAUUGGUUGGAUCCAAACUUAAUCCAACACAAAAUUAACAUAUUUAUUAUUUAUUUAAGAUAAAUGAUAUAGGUUUAACAUAUUAGCGAACACUUAAUAUGAUUAAAUUUAAUUUUAAUUAAUUAACAUCUCACCGUAAUAAAUUUUACCAUUUGCAACCAAAAAACAGUUGACACCUUAUUAAUAUAAUCAAUAUAGUAGAAAAAUUAUAGUGAUUUAAAACAAUUCAUUAAAAUGUUCGUAAAUGUUUUUAUUUUGUGACAAGGAUUUUCAUGUUAUCUGUUAUGUAUUGUUACUGUUAUAAUCCAUUUCUAGAUUAUUUCUCAAAUUCCAUAAUUAGAUUUUUAAUAGGUCAAUUUGAUUUAAUCAUUGGCCAAAUUAAAUUUUAAUUAUGUUUAAAAUUUUAUUUGGGUCCUAUUGAAGGAUUUAAUUAGAUGCAAUGACUUAACUUUACUUUAAAUGGGUCAAAUUAAAUUUAUAAGGGUAAAAUUGCAAGAAAAUCAAAGUUUUUGGGGUCAAUUAAGGGCUAAAUUAAAAAAAUUCACAGCCAAGAACUAUUUUGCAAAAGACGCUAAACUAUAGAAACUCAAUUGAUUGAAAUUAGAGAUGGAAAUGAAAGAAUUGAAAGUUUAAGAAUCAAUUGAGGGUUAAAUUGCAUAAAUCCAAGACCAAGGAUCAAAAUGAAAUAGGUGUUGAAAUUUGAGGCUGACAUUCAAGUUCGGCAGAGGCAAAAUUGCUUAAAAUUGAAAGUUUAAGGUCAAUUAGGGAUGCAAUUGAAAGAAAUUAAAAGUCGGAGGACCAAACUGAACUUUGGCCAAAUCCCUAAAAUAAAACCUUAAGAGCCAAAACAACGUUGUUUCAUUUAAAUGCAUUUAAAUGAAACAACGUAAAUGAAACAACGUUGUUUUGACAAAACAGUACCAAAAAAAAAAGGCAAACCAGACAACGCAUCAUCUAGACUGUUCAUCUUCUUCAUCAUUAGCCUCCUAGAAAGCUUCUCAAAUGGCCACUUUCUCAAGGCAUUUAAUGUCUUUUCUCUCCAUCAAAUUUGAUAAAAUUUGCACGCAAACGGUGGCCUAACAUCUGGUGUUGUCCUUUAUGGCUGAUUGACGCCACAGCGGUUAUGGCACCGCCUUAAAGUGGCCAACCCGACUAGCCCUUCUGUAGUAACUUGUCAAACCAUGAUUGCAACUUUAAGUCAAUGGUUGAGAUCUUUCAGAGUUGAAUUAGGGGCUAAGAUUUAGCAACUUUAAAUCAAUUAUUGCAAAGUCAAUGCUUUUAUUUUGUGACGACGAUUUUUGUGUUAUCUAUUAUGUGUUGUCAUUGUCAUAAUCUGUUUCUAGAUUAUGUUUCAAAUCUAUCUUCUUUCUUUUCAAAAUAAAAAAGAUCAAAAAAUAAUAAUAGCCAGAAAACUAGCAUUUUGGCAAAAGCAAGUUGGGAAAAUUUCAAAUGUAGAAUUGCAAUUUUGGAUGGAAUUGGGAGCCUAAUUAUAUCUUAUUUAUCCAAAACUAGAGAAACAAUACAAAUUCAAUGUCAAGUUAAAUGAUUAUUGAAUGAAUCUUUAUAAAAAUUAAGUCUAAGGACAUAAUUAGAUUUUAAAUAGGCUAAUUUGAUUUAAUCAUGGGCCAAAUUAAAUUUUAUUUAUGUUUAAGAAUUUAUUUAGGUCCAAUUGAAGGAUUUAAUUAGAUGCAAGGACUUAAUUUUACUUUAAAUUGAUCAAAUUAAUUUUAUUAGGUGACUUAAUUAGUGAAAAAUUAAGUUUGGGAGCCCAAUUUGAGCUUAAUUGAGAAGAUUGAUAUUUUAGGAUGUCGUACAUGGACGUGCAACAUCGGGGGGUCAUUUGGAGUCGUCACCUAGUUAUUUAGUUCAAGGUCGCUAAAAAACCUAGGUAUAUUGGUCUUGUUAGAGAUUCGAGAGUAAAUGACUAGUUGUGGCUAAAAAAGGUAUUAACACCCCUAACGCAACCUACCCAGGUAAGUUACUUUGUGAUUAGAUGUGGUUUAGAGAUUUUAAUGGUUUUUUAAUAUAUCUAUAGUUUAGGAUUGCGUUUUGCAUGUAUGAAUAAAUUUGAUGUUUAAUAAUUUAUUAUGGACUCUUGUACCCAGAUCAAUUCUUAGAAAAAAAAGUUCUUCGUAAUUUAUGUAUUGUGGUAAAAAUUACUCUCAAUAAAAAUUAAUGAUUAUUUAGAAUAACUUUGAGGAUUUUCUGGUCAACUCCAAUAUUUCAAAUAUCAGCCUCACUUAUAGGUAUAGCGUUUUAUAUCAAGAUUUUUAACCAUUAAUUCUCAUGAAUUAAAAAAUAGUGGUCUAUUAAAAUAUUGAUCAAAUUCACAUGAAUUUAAUAAACUAGUUAUUAAAUUCUAAAAUGCAUAUUCAUAUAUAAUAUUUUAAUUUGUUUUUAAAUAAAAAAUAUUUUUAAAAAGUAUGUGCCACAAUACCAAAUUAUAGUAUAAAUUAAAAGAGAAAGUAGUUUUCUCUUCAUCACUAUUCACUUAUAUUCAUUUCACUAUGGAUAUUAAUAGUGAAUUUUUUGAAAAUUUCCAAUGUGGUAUUCAAUUAUUUUCUUCACAAUUGAGCUCUUUUAAAUUCAAAUUAGAGUCUAAUUGCAUAUUUUUUCAAGGAUGAGGAUUGAAUUGAAAGACAUAGGACUAAAGUGAAAAACUCGACUAAAAUAAGUGGUGGCUUUGCAAUUUGUUUGCAAAGUUCAUUUUAGUCCCUAUAUUUUUUCAUCAUUUUAUUUUGAUACCAAACUUUAUUUUCCUCUGUUUUUAGUUUUUUUUUGUGUAGGAGAGAGAGAGAGAGGAUCACUGAAUUUCAUUUUAGAGAGAGAAAGUUGUUGUUGGGGAUUUUGGCCACCAAAACGGUUGAUUUUUGUGUCAAAUUAUUAUGUCUUAAUUUAACAAGAUUCCUUGGAUAUUUUCUAGGUGUUUUGGAUCAAAAUGAGUUGAAAACAAGUUUUUUGAUAAAAAAAAAAUCAAGCCUCCUUUUUCUAGCCAUACUAGUAAUCGAAAUCCGGGGACGCAUUGACGACACAUCGUUUGUUGAGGAAAACGCCGUGUCAUUUUUUUUCAAAGCAUUGGGGUGACGACGUGUCAUCCGCCCUAUUAACUUAAAAAAAGUUAAAGGCUUGUGCGUGUGUGCCGACUUUGCAAGUCAGUGCGCGAGCCUUUGAUGGGUGGGCCAAACACUCUAAGCUUGACUCUCCAAGCUCAGCAAUGUCUGACUUCAUUCAUUUCCUUUUAUUAUUAUUAUUAUUAUUAUUAUUAUUACCUAUAUAUAUAUAUAUAUAAGAAAAUAAUUAAGAAAAUAAUUUUAAAAUGAUGUUUUCAUUAAUACUCGUUCUCUAUGUUAAUAUGAUUUAUUUGUAAUGUUUUAUAUAUAUUUCAGAUAUAUUAAGUAUUAUUUUUUUAUGUGUGUGUCGAUUUCUCUUAUAUAUUGAUUUUAGUAAACAAAUUCAUUAAAUAUAACCAGAGAAAUGACUCAUGUUGCAAUAUUAAAUAUCUUGAUCUAUAUUUGUCCCUCAAUUUUUCCACUUGCUUUUUUAAUUAUCGAUAAUGACUUUGUUUUUUUUAUUUAUUCACACAAUAAAAAAACACUUUGAGAAAUUAUUAGGCUUUUCUAUUAUUUAUUUGAAGGGAAUAACUUUUUUAUACUUAUACAAUAUUGUAAGGUUUUAUAGUUUUAAUAUAUAAAUGGUUGUAAUAGCUUUUUGGCAUGUGAGACUUGGAUAAAUGAAAAUCAAAUAUUUUGGGUGUCUAUCUUAUAGUUAUGAUAUUUUUAGUAUUUGAGGGUUUUGACUUGGAAUAAAUCUUGUUAUUAUUCGUUUUCGUUUAUAUCAAUUUGGUUAGUGUCUUAGGACCAAAAGAAAAGAAUCAAAAUGAAAAAAACACAUUUGAUUUAAAAUAACUUAGAUAGAGAUAUAAAAUAAAUAUAUUUCUAAGAUAUUUUUUGAAUGAGUUUCUAUCAUUACAAAACAAAAUGUGCAUGAAAAUAUGUUUCAUCUAUCUCCACCAUCUCUAUUUUUAAAAAAAGAUAUACUCUAACCAUCUAGGUGGUGGCCUAGUGGUAAGAGCUUGGGACCAAGAGGUUUGCUCCCUCUGUGAUCUCAGGUUCGAGCCCUGUGGUUGCUCAUAUGAUGGCCACUGGAGGCUUAUAUGGUCGUUAACUUCAGGGCCCGUGGGAUUAGUCAAGGUGCGCGCAAGCUGGCCCGGACACCCACGUUAAACUAAAAAAAAAAAGAUAUACUCUCUUCCCAUUUUCUCUCCCUGCUGAAUUUUGGAAACCACCCACACAACAAUAGCCCUCACAACCACCAACAUGAUUUUUUUUAAUCUUAUUUAGCCUUUCUUCAAUUAUUUGUAAUUAUGUUGGGUGUGUUUAGUUUUUUAAAAAAUUAGUAUAAUUCAUCUGUAAUUUUUUAUAUAUAUUUCACAUAAAUUAAGUAUUUAUUUUUUUAUAAUAUUUUGAAUAUGUUUAUCCUUGAAUUUUUUUUCUUUUUAUGUUAUUCAAUAAAUUUGAUGUGUGUGUUGAUUUCUAUUAUAUAAUGAUUUUAGUAAACAAAGUCACUAAAUAUAGCAAGGUAAAUGACCUAUGUUACAAUAUUAAAUAUCUUGAUCUAUAUUUAUCUCUUAAUUUUCCACUUGCCUUUUUAAUUAUGGGUAAUGACUUUGUCUUUAUUUAUUUAUUUACACAAUGGUUCGUGCUUUGUUUAAUUCGAUACGUGCCUAAUUUUUUCGAUUUACAUUUAUGAUUUUUUUAAUGUAAAAAGAACGCGUUAAGAAAUUCUUAUUCUUAUGAUUUUAAUUUAAUCCUUAUUCUUAUGAUUUCUUUCUUUUUUCCUUAACCCUUUUAUAACAAAAAUAUUGUUUGUAAUUUCACCCUUCAAUUCAAUGUGAUGGUGUAUUGUUUUUGUUUUUUUAUUUUAUUUUGAUCCUCAUUGAUCGCUUCUUUAUAUAUAUAUUCUUGUUUGUUAUUAUUGCCUUAUAUAUAUAUGAUUCAAAUAAAAUCAACUUAUUUAAGUCGGUCCGGACUAUAAAGUUAUUUAAUGUUUUUUUUUUUAAAGAAACACGCUUGUAAUAUAGUGCGGAAACCAGCAGGUGAGACUUGAGUAAAUGAAAAUGAAAUAUUUUGAAUGUCUUUCUCAUAGUUAUAUUAUUUUUAAUAUUUGAGGGUUUUAAUUUGGAAUAAAUCUUGUUAUCAUUCGCUUUUGUCUUGUCAAUUUGGUUAGUGUCUUAGAAAAACAUAGGAUUCAAAAAGAGAAAAACAUAUUUGAUUUAAUAUAACAUAGAUAGAGAUAUAAAAUAAAUAUAUUUCUAAAAUAUUUAUGGAAUGAUUUUCUAUCAUAUCAAAAUAAAAUGGGCAUGAAGAUUUCUUCUAUCUCCACUAUCUCUAUUUUUAAAAAAAGAUAUGCUCUAUUUUCCCAUUUCCCAUGAAAAUGGGCUGAAUUUUGGCGACCACCCACACAACGAUAGCCUACACAAUCACCAGCCAUGCCACUUUUCAAGACCCCAUCUCUCAAUCUCAAAACCAGAAACAACCCCCUUCUCCAUUAAACCGAAUCUCAUAACUCCAGGAAAGUGAAGGACCAAACCAUACUGUUAAAAAUCUUAAAGGGUUUUAAAUUAUCUCUUUUACUUUCCCUCAAUUUUCUAGACAAGAAAAAGGAGCUAAACUUAUUCCCCACCAAAAUGUCAAGAAUUUCAGUAGAACGAAAGAAGAGAUUAUUACUUGACCAAAAAACAACUAGUCAGCACCCAAAGAAACCGAGUGAAUGAGAGAAAAAGACUAAUAGCUAGGAAACAAUCAACAAAUCCAAGAACUUUCUAUACGGUUUCCAAGAAAAUGAAAAGAAACGAGCAAGACAACCCUCUUUCUCCUCUUUCAGUGUUCAAAAAAACAAAGAAACGUAAAAGAGGACUUUUCAAAGUCAGCUAAGUAUAUGGCUUAUUAUAUUCAUAGAGAGAGGCGGAAUUAAUUUUAUAAGCCAUGUAAAAUAUAUCUUUUUUCUUGGCAACCAAACACAACCAGAAGCCCAAAUGAAAACAAUUUUGACGAAUUCCCACCAAACAAUUGAACUGCUGUUGUAACUAAGAUUUUCAGUUAUACGUAAUUUUUGUGGUCCAAAGGACAAAUAAUUUUCUUUUCUUUUAUUUUAUCAGCUUAAUUUCACUUGUGGACUUGAUGGGCAACCAGACUUGCAAAUUGAGGUUCAAUCUCGUAUGCACAAUUAAAUCUCGUAUGCGUAAAUUGCAAGCAACAAAUUUUAAAGUGAAUUUGGUUACUGAAACUGGUUUGACAACGACUCAAAACAAUCUGAAAGUGCAAAAGAAAGGAAACAAAUUCAAGAAAAAACAAAAUGCUAAUAAGAAGCAUAGAGUUUGUUUCCAUUGUGGAAAUAAAGAACAUUAGAUAAAAUAGUGCGGAUUCAAGAAUUUCAACAAGAAAGGUGGUUCUUUCAAAGUAAAUAUGGUUGAACAAGAUGAAGGCAGGGAGUUAGUUGUCAUGGUUUCAAACAUUCAAAUUUGAAUGAUUACCGAAUUAAAUAUGGCAACUAAGUUAUAAAGACUUCAGAUUGGUGGCUGGAUUCUGGUGCAACAGUUCUUGUUUGCAACAACAAAGCAUGGUUCAAGACUUAUGAAGAAUUGAAAAAACCUGAAGAGGUCUUGAUGGGCAACCAUAAUUCUGCCAAAGUUUUGGGAAAAGGAACUAUUGAGUUGUACUUUACUUCUGGACAAAAAUUAUCUUUACUCAAUGUGUUUCAUGUUCCUGAAAUUACAAAAAAACCUUGUAUGCAGUUUUGGGAAAAGGAACUAUUGAGUUGUACUUUACUUCUGGACAAAAAAUGUCUUUACUCAAUGUGUUUCAUGUUCCUGAAAUUACAAAAAACCUUGUAUCUGCUAGUCUCUUGAGCAAGAAAGGGUUCAAGAUUGUUUUGGAGUUUGAUAAGGUUAUUGUAACUAAGAGUGGGAUGUUUGUGGGAAAGAGUUAUUCUUGUGAUGGCAUGUUUAAGUUCAGUAUUAAUGAAAUCAAUGUUAUUUCUGCUUAUAUGGUUGAAUCUACUUCUCUUCUUUGGCAUGCUAGAUUAGAACAUCUAAAUUAUAGAUAUUUUAAAUAUAUGUGUAAGCAUGGUUAUAUUUCAUAUCAAUAUAAUAAUAAAAACAAAUAUGAAGUAUGUAUUCAAGAAAAGAUGAAAAAGAAGUCUUUUUCUAAAGUAGAAAGGAAUUCUCAAUUACUUGAGUUGGUCCAUUCUGAUAUAUGUGAAAUAAAUGGUAUGUUAACAAGGGGUGAGAAAAGAUAUUUCAUAACUUUCAUUGAUGGUUAUUCUCGUUUUACCUAUGUUUACUUUUAAGAACUAAAGAUGAAGCCUUUGGAAAAUUCAAGAAAAUGGUAGAAAAUCAAAAGGAAAGGAAAAUUAAAGUUCUUAAAAGUGAUAGAGGUGGAGAAUACUUUUCUAAGGAUUUUUCUACAUUUUGUGAGGAAAACGGAAUAAUCCAUCAAAUGAUAGCACCCUAUACACCACAACAUAAUAUGGACUUGCUGAAAGGAAAAAUAGGAUCUUAGUGGAUAUGGUCAAUGCCAUGCUUUUGAAUGCUACAUUACCAAAUAAUUUAUGGGGUGAAGCCUUACUUACUACAUGUCACAUUCAUAAUAGAGUACUAUCUAAAAGAUUAAAUGUUUCUUCCUAUGAAGCAUGGAACAGUAGAAAACCAAAUCUGAAUUAUUUUAAAGUAAGGGGGUGUGUAGCUUUUUAUAAAAGUUCUAAUCCUUAAAGAACAAAAUUAGGACCCAGAAGUCUUAGGAGUGUUUUUGUUGGUUAUGCACAAAAUUUAAAGGCUUAUAGACUUUUGGAUUUAGAAACUAAUGUGAUUGUUGAAUCUAUACAUGUUGAAUUUAUCGAAUAUAAAUUCAUAAGUGAUUCAAAUGUGCAAGAACCAAAUCUAAAAGUAAUAACUCCUAGCUCAACGUUAAGUGAAAAAUGUAAAAACCUAGAAGUAAUAGGUUCAAGUGAACCUAAAAGAAGUCAAAUAGUUAGAAAGGAAAAACACAUAGAUACAAAUUUUAUUUCUACUGAUUCAAUUGUAUUUUUAGUGGAAGGUGAUAGAAAUACAAUAUUAAAAAAAAAACACCUAUGAUCCUAACUAUAGAAGAUGAUCCAAAGACAUUCGGUCAAGCUAUGACUUUUAAGGAUGUUGCUUUUUGAAAAGAAGCGGUAAAUGAUGAAAUGGAUUCAAUAUUGUCUAACAAUACUUGGGUCCUAAUAGAUUUACCUCCAGGUUAUAAGCUAAUAGGAUGUAAGUAGGUGUUUAGAAGAAAAUACAAUACUGAUGAUUCUAUACAAACCUUCAAGGCAAGAUUGGUUGCCAAAGGUUUUACUCAAAAUGAGGGUGUUGAUUAUUUUGGCACUUAUUCUCCAGUGGCAAGAAUUACAUCAAUUAGAGUUUUAUUUGCAUUAGCAUCAAUUUAUAAAUUGUAUGUUCAUCAAAUGGAUGUAAAGACAACUUUCCUAAAUGGAGAUUUAAAGGAAGAAGUGUAUAUGGAGCAACCUGAGGGUUUUAUACUUCCUGGAAAUGAAGAAAAAGUCUGUAAAUUGGUAAAGUCUUUAUAUGGUUUAAAACAAGCUCCGAAAUAAUGACAUGAAAAGUUUGACAAAACAAUUUUGUUGAAUGGUUUUCAUCACAAUGGUGCUGAUAAGUGUAUGUAUUCCAAAUUUACAAAAGAUUUUGGUGUGAUUAUUUGUCUCUAUGUAGAUGACAUGUUAAUAUUUAGCACCAAUAUGAUUGGAAUAGUUGAAACCAAAAGGUAUCUCACUUCUAUCUUUAAAAUGAAAGAUCUUGGUGAAGUAGAUACAAUUUUAGGUAUCAAAGUUAAGAAACAUAGUAGUGGCUAUGCACUUAAUCAAUCACAUUAUAUUGAGAAAAUGCUCGAUAAGUUUAAGCAUCUCAAUAUAAAGGAGGCUAAUACCUCAUUUGACUCUAGCAUGAAGUUAAAUGAUUAUUGUGAUAAAGCGAUAGCGCAACUAGAAUAUGCUAGUGUCAUUGGAAGUCUUAUGUAUGCUAUACAUUGUACAAGACCAGAUAUAGCUUUUGCUAUAUGCAAGUUAUCAAGAUAUUCAAGCAAGCUGAAUACAGAUCAUUUGAAGGUUAUUGCAAGAGUCUUUGGUUACCUAAAAAUAACGAUCGAUUUAGGCUUGUUUUAUUCUGAUUUUCCAAUUGUGAUGGAAGGAUAUAGUGAUGCAAGUUGGAUGACUAGUUCAAGUGAUAAUAAGUCCACAUCAGGAUGGAUUUUCUCACUUGGAGGAGGUGCAAUAUUUUGGGCAUCUAAGAAACAAACAUGCAUCUCUCAUUCUACCAUGGAAUCAGAAUUUAUUGCUAUAGCUGCUGCAGGUAAAGAAGCAGAAUGGCUAAGAAAUAUGUUGUUUGAUAUUAAGUUGUGGCCACAACCUAUGUCAGCUAUUUCUUUAUGCUGCGAUAGUGAAACAACUAUGUCUCGAGCUUAUAGUAACAUUUACAAUGGUAAGUCAAGACAUACAAGCAUUCAACAUGGAUAUAUUCGAGAGUUGAUUACAAAUGGUGUAAUCACCAUUGUCUAUGUGAAAUCUGUGAAUAAUUUAGUGGAUCCGCUCAUAAAAGGACUAUCUAGAGACAUGGUACGAAAAACAACUAAUGGAAUGGGGUUGAAACCCGUUAUUCAAGAUACCAAUAAUAGGAACCAAACUUCGGAUUAGCAAGAAGCUUAUCUCUUAGUUUAAUGGGUAAUAACAAGUUACUGUUUUGUAUAUGUUGGACACUGAUAAUUAAUUUGAGUCCCUAUUCUAAUAGUAUUCAGUGUGUUCUAUUACGAAAAGUAGGAUGAGCAUGGGCUCUUAAUAAAAUUUAAAGUUCGUGUCUAAUGUAAUAGAGACAUGUAUAAUUCCACCUAUAUGAAUAUAAAAGUGGUGCCGCUUUUGACAAGACUUAGGGUUUUCUCUUAUAGAUAUUUAUGAAAAAAAAAAAUUAUGAUUUUAGCACAUGGCCAUAAUAGUGCUAAACAGUUGUAAACCUCUUUAAGAGUUUGGAUAGUAUUAUGUGUGUAGUAUCUUUUAUUCUACAACAAAAGUUUUGGUUUAAUCUACAAACACCAAUAACUUUAGUAGGAUUUAAGUUCUAACACUAAUUGAAGGUUUAAAUUGCAAAAUACCUUCUUGUAAGUAUAAUUCUAUCGAGUGAAAAGACCUUCAUUACAAACUAGUGGGGGAUUGUUGGUGUAGUUUAUAAAUGAAUAAAGAAAAGAUGUUUAUCACACAUUGGAAAGAAACACUCCCUCCUAAUGUUUCUAAGUGUGGGUUACUAUUGUGUAGUAAAUUAAGCCAUGGUGGACAAACUCUUCUAUUUGGCUUCCUAAUGUUAUUAUAUGGAUAUUUAUAAUAUCAAAAGAUAGCAUUUGGAACUUGGAAUUAAUAUGAACAAUUAUACUGUUUCAUGAAUAGUCAUAUUGUUUGAUGAUCAACCAUUGUGUUUCAUCAAUAGUCAUAUUGUUUUAUUCAUCAACAAUCAUAUUAUUUGAUGAACAAUCAUAUUGUUUCAUCGUUAUAUUUGAAGUCUAUAAAAGCAUAUUACUAUACAGAAAAGAAAUACAAUAAAAAAAACAUACAUUCUUUAAUUGGUCUUGAUCAACACCUCUUCUAAUUUCUUCAAUCUUCCAAUCACAUUCUCAGGAAUCCUACUUAGCCUUUCACAACCUGUCACAUCCAACAACCUUAACUCCUUGAGCUCUCCUAUUUCAUCAGGUAAUUCUUCAUUGGAGAGGCACCGCUUAAGACUAAGAAUCUUAAGUCUCUGCAGCUUUCUCAACCAAAUGAGGUCCUUGCAUUCACACAUGAUCAACACCAACGAUUGAAGUUUCGUUGAGAGUUCAAGUGAUUGCAAUGACAAACAACCUCCCUUCAGAGACAAAACUUCAAUUUCUUUCAUCCCUUCAAAGAACCUCUCUGGAACAUUCAUACCAUAAUCCACUUCUAACAAUAGAACUUUGAGCUGUGGACAUUCCAAUCCUUCAGGAAGUUCGGUUAAUUUAUUGCCCAUUAACGAAAUUGUUGUACAAGCUUCAAAGCUUUUGAUACUCAUUGGCCAUUCCUUCAACCCAAUGCCAGCCUUUAUUAUGAAUCCAUAUUCUUGUGAUGACGCUAUCCGAAUAGCAACAUCACGAACCAAGUCAUGCAUUUUCACAUGUUCAUCUGUUUCAGUGUCCAACAGCAUGCAACAAUCUUUGAGUUUUUUUAUUUCCACAUAAACUCGUUUCCUUGCAUCUCCAAUGGACUCCACAUCUUGAUGUAACUCAUACCCAACUGCGUAUCUCGUCAAGUCCUCAAUUGGAAUGUGGUAAUCUUCUGGAAAUAAACAACAUAGCAAGAAACAUAACUUGGUUUCCUUGCUUUUCAAAUAAUCAUAGCUCAACUUAAGACAUGCAUAUGCAGUUCUUUGUUCAUCAAUGUGUUCCAUGUCCGGAAAAUGAGAGUUUUUUAGCUGUCCAAUUGCUACUUCCCACUCAACUGCAGAUUUAUCUCUUAGAGCCAUUCCCACUGUCACAAGUGCUAUAGGCAAGCCUUGGCAUUCUCUCGCAACCUCCCUUGCCACUGUGUUCAAGGUAGAUUCCCCAACACGUAAACCUGCAUUGAUUCUGAAUAAAUCCCAUGCUUCUUUUUCAGGUAAGGGACUUAACAGCACUUUUUUCCGGCAUUCCGUAUAAGAACAUAUGCCUUGAAGACGUGUUGUUAGAAGAAUUUUACAACCCCUGUGAUCAUCACCAAAUGGGAUCCCUAUCUCUUGGAAGUCAAUAACUUUCCAAACAUCAUCCAGGAUAAUAAGCAUCCUCUCCACUUUCUUCAGUCUCUGCCAUAAUCGAUCUGCUCUCCCAUCUUUACUACUUCCUCUAAUAUCCAGACCUAACUUAUCUGCCAUUUGGUUCUGGAGGUCUGUGACAUUUGGAUUCUGCGACACCGUAGCCAUCAAAACUUCAUCAAAAAGCUGCGACUCUCUGGCUAUCGUGCCUACUUUUCGCACAAGGGUGGUUUUACCCACCCCUCCCAUGCCGCACAGUCCGAUCAUAUUGACUUUGUCAUCUUUGAGAGCUUCCAUAAUAUGUUCGAAAGCUUCUUCUGACGAUUUUGAGGGGGUGAAUUUCUUUGAUUGAAGAAAUUCUAUGGGCUGAGGAUGAGUUCUGUGGGACACUUUUGUAGACUUUUUUUCUAAAAGUUCUCUGAAAGUCUCCGACUUCUUGGCCAGUGCCUUGCUAAACUUGAAUUGUCGCAUGCAGUUUGGACACCAAGUGAAGCAUUUGCCAUUUUUUCCUAUUUCAUUUUCCAAGGGCUUCGCACCUUCAAUUUCGUUUUCUGCAUCUCCCAGCCACUUUUUGACAUCUUCGUAAAUUUCUUCAGCAUUCCUUUCAGCAUCUUUGACAUCGUCUUGCAGACGUUCUUUUUCCGAAACCAGCUUCUCCUUUUGUUGUUUGAAUUCUUUAACAAAAUCGUUGAAACAGAACAUGUAACGGAACUGCCUUCCUACUGGUUCCACCAUGAGUUCUGCUAUCUUAGAUAUAAUGGAUCCACCCACACUUUCGAUAGCCAUUUUCCACCAGUCUGGAAUCAGAGAAAUAAGGAUACCAAACGUGAGAGUGAGUCGUAGUAGAGGCAUAGAGAGAAUGAGAAAAGGAAUUUUAUUAACUUAAUUUGGGAAAAUAUGUGCGAAAAGCUCUGGCAAUCAAUGAAAUAGCGGGAGGAAGAAAAGGAGAAGGCCUCUAGCUCUGUACGGAAUCCAGCUUCAAAAGCAACAAGGCAAGGUUCAAACUGACACUUGUGAGUUGAAGUAGUAAUUCCCAUUAAAAAUGCAUCUUGAUGACAUAAUUAAGAUAAUAUAGAGACAGUGACAGAGAAAUAAAGAAACGAAUGAAAGUUUCAGGAUAAUCACUUAGACGCCUCUCUGGAUGAUACCAGCUCGCUUCCAACAACAAAUAUUAUUAACCUAAGCUAUGAUCGGUCAGUUUUUUUUAGUUUUCUUUUCUUUUCUUUUCUUUUAAAAACAGAUCAACAAGGGAAAAGACUUGCAAAGAAGUAGAAUUACUGGAACGAACUCAACAAAGGAUCAAACUCAAAAAAAUAAAAGUAAUUGUGUAUGAGAAGCAUUUCUGUGUCACACACUCAAGUAAUAUGAUUGACCUAUUACAUUAUACAAAUUAAUAAUAAUAAUAAUAAUAAAAGAACUAGGUUUUUGAUGGCAUCCAGAGUGCUGUUGCUUUGAAAUAAAGAGGCUUGUGCAUGUGGUGUUAUGCUGUUCAUGUAGGCUAAGUUCUCUCUUCUUGUCUUGCUAUUCUGAUUUUAUCUUUUUCUUUGCAUGAUAUAAGAGCAGGUUCUUACCUCUUGAAGUCUGCUGAAUAAACCUAUCAGCAGAAGAUCCUGAACCGAUCCCAAAUCACAGCUUCAAUCCCCACCACAGCCAAUCUCCUCUUUCCCGUAGUCUUGCGUCCUCAAUUGGGAAAUGAUCCAAAAUCAACAACCGGUCCGGAGAUAGUUUGUGUGAAAAGAAACGGCUGAAAGAUGAAAUGUGAAGGUUAUGGUGAGAAAUUAGAUGAGAAAUUGGAUUGCAAACGGGAUGGUGCAAACUGGUGGAGCAUUAGACUUUUUAAAAGACAACAAAAAGAAGCAAUGUCUCAUCUUUUGAUCAGUUUGUUGAUGAAGAUAUCGAAAGAUUGGAGUCUCCGUUUUAGCUUAGGUUGGAAGCAAGUCUGAAAAUUAAGAUUAUUUUAAAAGAAUUUUUAUUGAUGGUUUGUGAGAUUAGUAAUGAAGUAAUUUAUGACAAUUUAAUCUUUAAAAAAUUAUUUAAAAUUAAAAAAGAUUAGAUUUUUAGGUAAUAAUUCUAGUCGGUUAGGCAAUAUAAACAGUUUUUGCAAAGAUUCUACUACUGAUGUGUCCAUAUUACAUAGGAACAGAAUGCUAGAGAAUAACUUUCUUUUUAAAAAAAAAAAGGUCGAGAAUUUUCCUUAAAGCAGACACCCAUGAAGAAGAUCUAGUUACCUUAGCCAAGCUGCUCACUUUACAAAAUUGUAUCGUAAUAGUUUGCGUCCACUAGGAAGUCGAGAAUAGGAAAAGAAAAGGGACGCUUAGCGGACCCACAAAAUCUUGAAUUAUCCCUUACUUUUUCAAUGGUAAGGAUAUCCUCGUGUCACCUUCUACAUUAAGUUUUAUAAAAUCUUGAUUUUUUUUAAAUUAAUUUUUUAAGUUUUAAUUAUGAAUUGUUUAUGCAAAGAAACACAAGAAAAGGAAAAAUUUCUCAGUGUGUUUUCUGUUACUUGUUUAGCAAUAGCUAGCAAGGUUCUGCUUAAAAAUACCAUUGAACAAGGGAUGAACCAUUCAGCAAGGGAUUCUGCGAGGAAAACAUGAAAUUGUUAAGCAUAAUAAUAUGUUAAGCAUGACAAAUUUCAUUUAAAUUAAAAAGCCAAAAAUGAACGCAUCUCCUCUUGCAAGAAUGGACUCAAAAGUUCAGCUAAUCCGCAUAAUUAAAUAGUACUGUUACUGUAAACUACUAGGAAAUUCAAGGAAAGUUAACAAUAGCAUUGAUUCGAUCAAGUAAUAAUCAUAGAAACUAAGUACCAAUAAAAUUUGAGAUUCCUGCAAGUUUUUAGGUGCAUGGUCUAGUCUAAUGGCUUCAUGUACAAAAUCAAUUCAAGGGUGUGUAUCCUUGACUAUCAGGCUAACCUUUACAGGCUGAGCUAGCAAUCGAUAAUUAAUUUUUAAUGAAUUCAAUUUUUAUUUAAAAUAAGGAAAAGGACAUUGGUGAAUAAAUUGUUUCCUUCCUAUUAUAAUUGUUAGACCUUACCAAAGGGCUAAUUUAGAAAAAAGAUUUUAACUUAUAGGUCACCAGGGCCGAGGUCAACUUGUAAUUAAGUAGAUCAAUUUAAAUUAAUUAUUUUUAUUAAAAUGAUAAUGUUUUGUGUUUUUUCUUGAUAUUAAUUUGGCUAAUUUUUAUCAAAUCAAAUCACUAAAAACUUAACCAAAACAAAUUUCGUCAAAUCAAUAAUAUUUUAUGUAGUUGAAUUAAAAAUUCAAUUCAAUUCUAGCUCUGAACCCUGAUUAAGCAUACAGGUUUAGAAAAUAUGCAUCUCACUUGCAGCUGUGGUUUGCUGCGGGCAUUUGGUAAUUGGGAGAGGCUUUAGUUUCGUACUUGUUGAUCUGCUUCAUGUACACUUGGACCUCUUAUUUUAUUUUAUAUUGGUUGGAUCCAAACUUAAUCCAAUACAAAAUUAACAUAUUUAUUAUUUAUUUUAUUAUUUAUUUAAGAUAAAUGAUAUCGCUUUAACAUAUUAGCGUACACUUAAUAUGAUUUAAUUUAAUUUAAUUAAUUAACAUCUCACCGCAAUAAAUUUGACCAUUUGCAACCAUAAACAGUUGACACCUUACUAAUAUAAUCAAUAUAGCUGAAAAAUUAUAGUGAUUUAAAACAAUUCAUUAAAAUGUUUGUAAAUGUUUUUAUUUUGUGACGAUGAUUCUCGUGUUAUCUUUUAUGUAUUGUCGCUAUCGUACGUGAACGCCCGACAUGAGGGUCAUUUGAAGUCGUCAUCUAGUUGUUUAGUUCAAGGUCACUAAAAAACCUAGAAAUACUAGUCCUGUUAGAGAUUUGAGAGUAAAGAACUAGUUGUAGUUAAAGAUUGUAUUAACACUCCUAGCGCACCCUACCCAAGUAAAUUACUUUUGUGUUUAAACGUGGUUUAGAGAUUUUGAUGGUUUUCUAAUAUAUCUAUAGUUUAGGAUUGAGACUUGCUUGUAUGAAUAAAUUUGGUGUUUAAUAAUUUAUCAUGGAUUCUUGUACCCAGAUAAAUUCUUAGAAAAAAAAGUUCUUCAUAAUUUGUGUAUUACGGUAAAAAUUACUCUCAAUAAAAAUUCAUGAAUAUUUAGAAUAACUUUGAGGAUUUUUUGGUCAACUCCAAUAUUUCAAAUAUCAGCCUCACUUAUAGGUAUAGUGUUUUAUAUCAAGAUUUUUAACCAUUAAUUAAAAAAUAGUGGUCUAUUAAAAUAUUGACCAAAUUCACAUGAAUUUAAUUAACUAGUUAUUAAAUUCUAAAAUACAUAUUCAUAUAUAAUAUUUUAAUUUGUUUUUAAAUAAAGAAUAUUUUUAAAAAGUAUGUGUCACGAUACCAAAUUAUAGUAUAAAUUAAAAGAAAAAGGAGUUUUUUCUUUAUCACUAUUCACUUAUAUUCAUUUUACUAUGGAUAUUAAUAGUGAAUUUUUUGAAAAUUUCCAAUUUGGUACUCAAUUAUUUUUUUUCACAAUUGAGCUCUUUUAAAUCCAAAUUAGAGCCCAAUUUUAAACAAAUCAAGAAGAGAAAAGACUUGUAAAAAAAGUAGAAUUACUGAAAGAAACUCAACAAAGAAUCAAACUCAUACAAUUAAAAAUAAUUGUCUAUGAUGACCAUCUCUGUAUCACACAUUCAGGUAAUAUGAUUGACCUAUAACAUAAAUAAAGCCCUGCAAACAAUUAAAUCAUGCUUCAAAAGCAACAAGACAAGGUAUAAAGUACACCAACAAAAAUAGUUUACUAACUGACACUUGUGAGUUAAAGCAGUAAUUCCCAUUCAAAAUAUUGCAUUUUGAUGACAUAAUUAAGAUCAUUUAGAGACAGUGACAAUCAAAUAAAAAAAAAAAAAUGUGUAAAAGUACUCACGCAAAGAAAGAAACGAAUGAAAGGUUCAGGGUAAUCACUUAAGACUCCUCCAUGGAUGAUAGCAGCUCGCUUCCAACAACAAAUAUAAUUAACCUAAGCUGUGAUGGGUCAAAGUUCUUUUUAGUUUUCUUAUUAAAAAAAAAAAAAAAAACAGAUCAACAAGAGAAAAGACUUGUAAAAAAAUAGAAUUACUGAAAGAAACUCAACAAAGAAUCAAACUCAAGCAAUUAAAAAUAAUAGUCUAUGAUGACCAUCUCCUAUCACACAUUCAGGUAAUAUGAUUGACCUACAACAAUAUUAAAAAAACAAAAAAAAAGCUAAUAGAUGGUCGCCAAGUGUUCAACUUUAUCUAGCCUUAGGAAAGGAUAUAAAGUGGGAGAGAUAGACGUCAAAAGGCUUAAAAAAAAGAAAAAAGGAAAGGCAGAAACGGAAGAAGACAUUGAAAGAAAUAAAAAAACGAUAGUGGCAUUAAAAAACGAUAAGUUAUUUAACGUCUUUUUAGGGGGGGAAGAGACAUCUGUUUAUUUAAAGAAAGAAAAUAUAUAUAUAUAUAUAAAUACUCUCUCUUCCAAUUUCCUCUCCCAGCUGAAUUUUGGCGACCGCCCACACAACGAUAGCCUACACAACCACCUUUCAAGACCCCAUCUCUCAAUCUCAAAACCAAAAACAACCCUUUCUCCAUUUAUCCGAACCUCAUAACUCCAGGAAAGUGAAGGACUAAACCAUAGUGGCAAAAAUCUUAAAGGGUUCUAAAUUAUCUCUGUUACUUUCCCUUAAUUUUCUAGACAAGUAAAAGGAGCUAAACUUAUUCCCGACCAAAACGUCAAGAAUUUCAGUAGAACAAAAGAAGAGAUCAUUACUUGACCAAAAACAACUAGUCAGCACCCAAAGAAACCGAGUGAAUGAGAGAAAAUUAAAGACUAAUAGCUAGAAAACAAUCAACAGAUCCAAGAAUUUUCUGUAUGGUUUCCAAGAAAAUGAAACGAAAUGAGCAGCACAACCCUCUUUAUCCUCCAAGAAAAGAAAGAAAAAGAAAGGAAAGAAACAAAGAAAGUCAAACUUGGCUCCUCUUUUAGUGUUAAAAAAAAAAAAACAAAGAAGUUCGAGGAAGUGGGCUGCCUUUUUUCUGCUGUUCAUGUGGUGUUCAGCUGUUCACGCAGACUAAGAACUCCUACCAUCGUAAAAUCAUAUAAUUAAAACACAACAAUAAAAAAGUAAUAAGCAGCUAAUUAUGUGCCAAAAUCAGAGAAAUAAGGAUACAAACGUGAGAGUAAGUCAUUGCAAGUAAAAGAGGCGCAGAGAGGAUGGGAAUAGGAAUUUCAUUACCUCAACUUGAGAAAAUAUGUGCGACAAGCACGGGUACUGAUUCCUCAAUGAAAUCGAGAAGGCCUUUAGCUCUGUAUGGAAUCCAGCUUCAAAAGCAACAAGGCAAGGUAUAAGCAUUUUGAUGACAUAAUUAAGAUACUAUGCGUCGUAAUAUAGAGACGGUGACAAAGAAUUAAAGAAAAAUAAUGUGUACAAGUACUCACCAAGCAAAGAAAGAAACGAAUGAAAGGUUCGGGAUAAUCACUUAGACGCCUCCAUGGAUGAUACCAGCUCGCUUCCAACAACAAAUAUAAUUAACCUAAGCUAUGAUCGGUCAAAGUGUUUUUUAGUUUUCUUCUUUAAAAAAAAAAAAAAAAAACAGAUCAUCAAGGGAAAAGACUUGCAAAGAAGUAGAAUUAAUGGAACGAACACAACAAAGGAUCAAACUCAGGCAAUUAAAAGUAAUUCUCUAUGAGUACCAUCUGUGUCACACACUGACUCAAGUGAGGAGAGAAAAGAAAGAGAAAGAAAGGAAAGGGACAAGGAAGGCAGAAAGUAAGGUCACGUAGGGCCAGUCUUGUAUAAAGUUUGAAAAGUAGCAUGAAAGAAGAGGAUAAUAGAGUAGUUGUCAGAAUCAAAACACGUAUAAACAGAGGACAAAAACAGGGAGGGAGGCUGUUUGUUUUUUUAAUUGUGUCUGAGUGCUUUUUAUAAUUAUAUUUAAUUUAAAAAAUAUUAAAUUAAUGUGGUUAAAAAUAUUUAAUUAUAACUCAAUUGCAUUUUUUUUUUAAGGAAAUAGGUUGAAUUGAGAAACAGAGAAACUCGGCAAAAAUAUGUGGUUAAAAUCAAUCCAUUUUUUUUAAAAAAAAAACUCCUUAGUUGUUAAGGAAAGAUUGGUAGUGGGAACAAAUCACCAAAGUCAGCAGCAAGGAAGUUCCAGGAAGUGGGCAGCCUUUCUUCUGCUGUUCAUGUGGUGUUCUGCUGUUCAUGCAGACUAAGAACUCCUACCAUUUUUAAAAUAAUAUAUUUAAAAUACAAUAAUAAAAAUGUAAUACGCAGCUAAUUAAUGUAUUAAGCAGCUAAUUAAUGCUGUUGUUCUUUCUUCUUGUUAUUCUAUUUUGAUUUUACUGUAUUUUAAAAAAAUUUAUGAUUGUGAAAACUAGCCAAACCAUUAGAUCCAAGCAAUCUGAGAGGGUAUUCAAGAGUGUAGUUGUCGUUGUUUUUCAAAGUAUUUUUCACUUGGAAAUGCAUCAAAAUAAUAUUUUUUUUAUUUUUAAAAUUUUUUUUUUGACAUCCUUGUAUCAAAAUAAUAUAAAAAAACCAAAAAAAUAUUAAUUUGAAGUAAACACAAAAAUAAAAAAAAUUAGAAACUAGUGUAGCUGCGCCCAAUGUUGUCCCGAGAUACUUUUUAUAAUCUAACUUUUUUAAUAUAUUUUUUAUUUAAUUAUGCAAUAUAUUCAUAGAAAACACUAAAAUUAAAAUUAUAGACAAAAAAAUAUAUAUUUCAUCAAAAUUUUCUAGUCUGAUUAAUGUAUUUUUCUUAAAAAAAAAAGUUUUGACAAUAUAAAAAGUAAUAACUAGGAAAAAGUAUCCUAAGAAACUGUAAUGAUUAGAACUAAAAAAAUAUUUUUUUUUUGUUGGAAACACAAUUUUUUAAUUCAUGCAUUUUUUUUAUUUUUUAAAAAUUUACUUUUUAUGAGUAACAUUAUUUUACUAAAAUGUCCCUAAUACAUAAUUAUUCAUAAAUUAAUGAAAAUAUCAUAAUAAAAAUGCCUAAUCUUCUUGAAAACAAUUAAAUAAUUGAACAAUCAUUUAAAUAUUAUUUUAAUAAAUUGAUUGAAAGAUUUAUUUUAUUAAAAAUAAAGAAUAAAAAUGAAUUGAUAUCUAAGAUAAAGGUCAUACAAGCCUUCAAAGAUAAUAUAUGUACGUGUAUAAUACAAAUUAAUAAAUUCUAAGUAGUAAUAUUUAAUGCAAGUUUAAGAAUAAGAGUUUGCUUUGUGUUUUGUUGUGAGAUUAACCAUAUCAAAUUAUAUAUUUAAUAAUAAAUAAUUGUGCUGUGUUAUGAGUAAAAUCAAUAAAUUAUUUGGUAUUCUGCUGUCUUGUUGUUUGAAUUAAAAGUAUUAAUAAGAAUAUAAAUUAAAUUAAAUAUCGAAAAAACUAAAUGAAUUCCUUAAUAAAUAAAUAAAUUCUUUCUUUAGAAAGCAUGGAAAUACCAUGACAUUGGCUUUUUGGAGAAUACUACGAUUUUUACAGCCAAAAAAGUUAUCGAUAGCUGUGUAAAUCAUUGAAAUUGCCACAAAAGCAACCCAAAUUAGUUAUGAAUUGGAUUCGAUGGAAGGAAGAGGGGAAGAGGGGAAAUGGGUAACGGCUAAUUAUAAGUUCAUUAAAAAAAAUCUGGAACGCAACAGAUGGAAAAAACUCGAAACAACUCGUCUAGAAUUUAGGCAAGAAGAAUGAGCCAAGAUUUUAAGUGCAAUGAAAUUUGUCUCACUUUGUUCUUUUUUUUUUUAAUGAUACAAGAUAUACUGACUGUUUUAAGUGAAACAGAAUGGAAUCGACAACUUUAAAGGGAGCAGAGACCACAUAUGUAUAGCUCGAAUUCGAUAGCCUUUCUCCUGUACUGACAUGUGAUUUACAUGCACCAACAUUUCUUUCUUCUUUAUUUUGUAAUAUUCUACAUUGGCGAGUAAGGAUUUGGUAGCUGACCUUAUUAAAAGUGUUGGUUGAUGACUUGUCAGACACGUUUUGAGACCAUGCGUGAUAACAAAAAACAAAACCAUGAGGGUGGUAAGGCCCAAAACGAACAAUAUCUGACAGAUUGGACCGGACUGUGACAUUUGGUAUUAGAGCUGACCUCACUAGCUAUUCAGUUGUGCUGACAGGGUCAUUGAGCUCCUUAACAGGGGUGAAUUGUAAUAUCUCACAUUGGUGGGUGAGGAUUUGGUAACUAGCCUUACUAGUAAUGCUGGUUGCUGACUUGUUAGAUGCGUUUUGGGGUUAUGCGUUGUCGAUACACGACGUCGGGCGACGGCUCCCGCUUUUUUUGUUUAUUUAACAAAAAGGGUUUUUUUUUCUCGAUUGGGGGAAACAAAGAUUUUAUUGGAGUCGCCAUCUAGUAAUUUGAGGGAACUAGAAAUCCCAAAUUAGACACUGGUCCCAGAGAUUCGGGUACGGGGUUAGUUAUGAUUAAGGGAAGGUAGACACCACCCUUAAAACAUCCUUUCAAAAGAAAGGUUACCCUUACUUGUGUGUUUUUAUUUGAUUCAAAUGCGAUUAUAUUUUGGGCUUAUUUGUAAAUUUUUGUAAAUGAUUAACGUCGGUCCCUAAAAAUAGGAGACACGUUAAAAAUGACAUCAGUCCCUAAAAAUUGGAGACUCGUCUGAGUUACCAAAAGAAAUAAUGGAUAUAAUCCAUUAUAUUUUGGGUUUAUUGGUAAUUUGUUUUUUUAAAUGGUUAACGUCGGUCCCUAAAAAUAGGAGACACGUUAAAAUGACAUCAGUCCCUAAAAAUUAGGAGACUUGUCUAAAAUAUGACGUUUCAACCCUAAAAAGGAGAAUUACGUCUGGGUUACCAAAAACAAUAAUGGACAUAAGCCAUAUUUGGUAUUUACAUUUUUUUGACAUCGGUCCUUUUAAAAAAAAGAGACGUGUCGGCUUUGGUUUUUGUAUUGUUUACAACAUGCAAGAAAAUUUACAAGCAUUUAUAUAUAAAAAAUAUCAAAAAUACCAGUAGAAACUCCGAAAAAUUACCUGAGUGCCACUGUAUAGGUAAAAGACUGAAAUACCCUCAGGUUUCUCCAAAAUUUACAAAAAUGCCACUGGCGGCGCGUGUAGCACACGCGCGGCUACUGUUGGCGGCGGGGAGAUUUUCCGGCGCGAUUUCUGGCCAACCGAUGGUCGAUCCUGGUAGAUCUGAUGUCGAGGAUUCUUAUGGUGGUGGUCUUGACGGCCGUUGAUGGCUGAUGAGCGAGAAUCGACGACUUGAAGCUUCGGUGGCAGCCGACGAUCGCGGCCCGUUUCCGGCCAAAUAGAGCGGCGAAAACGCUGAAAUCGGCCGGGGUUUUGCUUUAUAUGAGGAAGGCGACCUUUCUGUGGUGGUUUUCAAGCUUGCAGUGGCCGGAUAUGGGAGAUCGGAGGAGAGAGAGGGAGUCGCCGGCGAGAGGAGAGAGGUGCUCUGGGUUAUGCUAUGGUGAGAACGCAAACACGGUACACCAGUGCUGUUGAUGCUUGUGAUCCGUAGGAUCUCUGAUGGAAAUAUCGUGCGGCUGUGAUUGGCCCGAUCUGCAGGUUGAUCGGACGGUCCGGAUGAGCGGAGCUUUGAUCUGGUGUGGCGCGGUGCACCAAAUCUCGGUACACCGGAUGACGUGGCGCAACGGGAUCAAAUCUUGGAAUAUUUCAAAGGCUGAGAUGUGUUUGGGUUUUAAUCUAGUGUGGUAAGCCCUAUUGUAUCCUAUUAAAUCAACGGUUCAGAUCUAAACACUAUUAGAUCUAACGGUUAGGAUAUAUUUGGUAUUUUUCAUAUUGUUUUUAAUAAAAAUCAAUAUCCUACCCUCGUGAAGAAAUAGUAAAAAAAACCUGAAUAGUAAACUCUUCUUUUUUUUCUUCUCCUUUUUUUUCUCUUUUUUUUUCCUCUGGCGCACUGUUGGCUAUUUAUAGCAGGGGACAGCAAGCAUCGGCUUUAAAUUAAAAAAUGUAUCCAUCCAACUGCUCGUCUACAAUGUAACUGCCCCGCCUAAUAUGACAAUUCUGUAUUAUUAAUUUUGUUUUAUUAUAUAUAAUAAUAUAUAUUUAUAUAGGUAAAAUUAAAACUUAAAUCAGUAUUAGAAAAAGCCUGAUUCAACUGCUAAAAAUCAAUUUUAAUUACCGAAAAUUAUGUUGAAACAUAAAAAAAAACUUUCAACGGAUAUAAACCCGGUGGACCGGGUUUUGACCAAAAAAUAACAGGUUUGACCCAAAACGGCAUGAAACUCAUUUUUUAUCCUGGUCGACAUGGUUUGACCCGUAUUGACCCGGUGAACUCGGUUUUGGUCAAAAAUGACGGUUUUGACCCGAAACGGCCCGAAACUCAUUUUUUACCCUGGUCGACAUGGUUUGACCCGUAUUGACCUGGUGAACUCGGUUUUGGUCAAAAAUAACGGUUUUGACCCGAAACGGCCCGAAACUCAUUUUUUACCCUGGUCGACAUGGUUUGACCCGUAUUGACUUGGUGGACUCGGUUUUGACGGAAAGAUGCGGUUGACUCGAGAAAAAUAUUUUUUUGAAUUUUCCUUUUUCUUAAUUUUUUUGGAUUUUUAUAAAUAAUAAUAGAAAUAAAAUAACAUUUGAGAAAAUCUUGGUGGAUCCAAAAUUGGGUUACAACAGUUGCCCCCUCUUUACAAUGCUUACGGUGCAAAGGCAUUGGAAAAUUCAUUUUCUUUUGACUUUGCAUAGUAAGUUUUGUAAAGAAAAACGAUGAAAGUGUUGAAAAAUGCACAGAUUUUUUCAGUUGGUCUAAUUCUUAUGGGCGACCUGCCCAAAUGAAAAACAUGAAAGUGUUUUCAAUAUUGAUCUGGUGAAAUACAUGAAAGUGAUUUCAGAUUAAUGUUGUGAAAUACAUGAAAGUGAUUUCAACAUUGUUUUUUUUUUUUUUUGUGAAAUACAUGAAAGUGAUUUCAACAUUUGCAUUGUGAAAUACAUGAAAGUGAUUUCAACAAUGGUUUUGUGAAAUACAUGAAAGUGAUUUCAACAUUUGUUUUCUGAAACACAUGAAAGUGAUUUCAGAUUAGCAUUGUGAAAUACAUGAAAGUGAUUUCAACAAUGGUUUUGUGAAAUACAUGAAAGUGAUUUCAACAUUUGUUUUCUGAAACACAUGAAAGUGAUUUCAGAUUAGCAUUGUGAAAUACAUGAAAGUGAUUUCAACAAUGUUUUUGUGAAAUACAUGAAAGUGAUUUCAACAAUGUUUUUGUGAAAUACAUGAAAGUGAUUUCAACAAUGAGCUUCAGGGUUGAUGAAACAUUCUAAAGGAAGUCAUACCUGUAUGGUUGAGAUCUGAUUUGUAAAUCGAUCUCAGAGAUGAUGAAAUCUUCUCAAGAAAGUCUUGUAUGUACGGUUGGGAUUUGAUUUGUAAUUGGAUCCCAAAGAUGAGGAAAGCUUUUCAAGAAAGUCUUGUAUGUACGGUUGGGAUUCGAUUUGUGGAUCCCAAAAAAUGAGGAAAGCUUCUCAAGGAAGUCUUGUAUGUACGGUUGGGAUUUGAUUUGUGGAUCCCAAAAAAAUGAGGAAAACUUCUCAAGGAAGUCUUGUAUGUACGGUUGGGAUUUGAUUUGUGGAUCCCAAAAAAAUGAGGAAAACUUCUCAAGGAAGUCUUGUAUGUACGGCUGAGAUUUCUGCCGUUCAAAGUGAUGGUAGAAGUAAAUUUCUUAUAAAUCACGCAGUAUUUGGCAAAAGACAUCAUCAACUUCUUGCAUUUUCAAUACUCUCAAAGUUCUCAACUUUUGAAGCUUUAACCAUGUCUUCCUCUUCUUCCAAUGCUAACCCAAACCCUGUUCCUGCAGUAGAGCCUGCAGUUUGGCGUACUACCUUUGAAGUGAAUGGUCGUCCAGUUACAAUAGAGGAUACUGUAAUGGACAAUGAAGAUAUUGCUGUAGCUGUGGCUAGAGACAUGAUCCUUCCUCGUGAUGAAAUAAUGUUGGCAGCCAGGACCGAUAUUGAAGCAGUGAAUCAGUCACUUGCUCUCAGUAUCAGAGCUACCUCGUCUUUGGUGAACGUUGCAGAGCGUCUUCAUGCCAGAAGACUUGAGUUGAAUACUCAGGUUCUUGAUCUCCAUCAUCAGAUUGAGAAUUUAAGGAAUAGACUUCGUGAUGAGAGACGUCACAGAAACAACUUGGAGAGGAGAAACCAAGAGUUAAAUACACGUGUUGACUUUUGGAGGGACUAUGUUAACACACGACACCUCGAGUUCGAGGAAGAGAUGGAGCGCAUGCAUAAGCAAUUCGAGGAAUUCUGAGGCAUGAUUAACCAUCAAGAUGAAAAUAUCCCUGAUCGUCCUCGCACUGUUUAACAUUUGUACUUGUAAACCCCUUUUCUAUGAAUAAAAAUCCAUCUUUCUUGUCUUCAUUUAUGAAUUUUGCUUUUGUGGAAUUGCCAUAUUUGAUGUGAUUUACAAGAACUUCAAGUCAUGUGAGUCUCGUUGGAUCCCAGUGGGAACUUUGUUUCGUGAAAUAUCUGCAAAACAAAUAUGCAAUGAAAUAUAGGUUCCCCCCUCUUUGAUGCUUCAUCGUCAUGGGGUGGCUUUGUUUGCAUUCCAAAGCCUUCUUUGUUCUUUCGAUGCAUUGUUUGCAUUCCAAAGCCUUCUUUGUUCUUUCGAUGCAUUGGCUCAUUCAUGUGCUAGCCAUCCACUCAGCUGUAAAUGCAGUGCCCAUCUUGGGCUGUCCGUGAUGAUUACUACUCUCGCUGUUUAUCAAGCUUGACAAUGCCCCCAAGUGUAGUGUUGCUUGAUUUAUCAUGAAGAAGCUUAACAAAUCGUUCAUCUCCUGGAUUCUUUCAAGAAUUGUUCUCUGAUUGAUUGUGCGCAUCGUGCCAACACCCAUCAAGAUUGUCAAUCAGUUAUGAACUCGACUUCAGUUGAAACAUGCCCUUCAAGUAUAUGCGGUCAUCCACUUUCAUGGAACUAUCAUGUCAUUCAGACAUGCAUUUCAUACUUUGCAGUAAAAAACUCAUCUUUGUAUGCUCAGCUUCUUUCUCAAUAAGUUCUUCUCAGCUCAUCUAACCAGAUUGUGAAAAGAAAUGCCUCAACCUCAUCAAUGAUGUCGCUUUUAUCACCCAUACUCAUGUGGUGCAGUGCACAUUGACUUCAAAUCAGAUGGUCUCACGGUCAGUCUAGGUGGGUGCGGUGCAUUCUUCCAACAUUCAUGCAAAAGCGAUCAUGUGAUAACAUCUUUCAAUAGUCAUAGCCAUAUUGGAGAUGAUAAACCAAGAUGAAGAUAUGAAGAUGUCCUUCAGGUACAUCUUUGCUCUCAAUUGUUGUCGGGGUUUACUGGAUCAUAAACUGUUCUUGAACAUCAUUGCCCUUAAUUGAUCUGAAUGUGCUCAUUCACUGAUUAUCUUUCUUUGAACCAUAUUGUCCUCGGUUUAUUGAUUCAUCAUUUGAUCGUCUCUAUCCCCCAGCUGAUUUAAACACUGUUUGUUUUCCUUCUCGGAGGUCCAUUGUAUUGCCCCCAGGAGUGUCGAGGAGAAUUGAUGUCAUUUCUGUCAGGAAUUUGCAAACUUGGUUGAUGUUUUUCUUUUGAAAAUCUUUCUUAUUUUGGAAUCAAAUCUCACAUUUCAAAGGUCAUGUCUAUUCAAGUCUAAUUGUUGAAAUGAAAUCAGAGAGAUGUCAAUUUUUGAAAGUAUUUUUGGAAAUCAAGCUUUAUUGGUCAAAGAUCCAACACACGCUAUUCAAUGUAGUCCUUUGAUUGUCUUGUAUUUUGAGAGAAAAGAAAUUGACUCAUUGUAAGAUUAAAAUGGCUUUUCCAUGGUUCUUUGUAUCCAUUUUAAACUCUAAUUUUGGGUAUAUCUUUUGAUUGUCUGUAAUGAGGUGACCUGUCUGAAUUUCAAGAAAAACAAGGUACCCGAGUCAAAACUUGAGGCUUUAUCAGGAAAGAUUGUUUCUUUUUCUUAGCAACAAUUUUAUCAGCAUGCAUAAUAAUCAGUAGCUUGAUUCAUGAAGUCACGACCUGUAUGAACAACUCUUCAAGUUUUGAGAUCGUCAUUUAUCGGUUCAGAUUGCUUACUUGAUUAAAAAGGACUUUCUAAAGCACGUAAUGUAGGCUAUGGUUCAUGGCUAUGAAAGAAAGGAAUUUCACAAGCUCAAAAGGUGUUUGAGGGUUUCAAGAACCUAGGAUCACCAUCAAUUACUCAUCAAUCUCUUUUCCUCACGUUGUCUUUGUAGAGACAGUGACAUAUAACCUUGUUAAUCUCAAAAAUCAAAAUUUGUUUAACAUAGGUCAUAACGCAAAUCCAACUUUUCUUUGAUGAAUAGCCAAUCUAAUCUUUUGAAGAUCGUAAAGGCUUUAUCAUAGACACACCAAAAGACAUCACACUUGAUUUUUUUUCGGGUUAACUUUUGGCAUUUGUUGUGUCUUUAUCAAUCUUUGGCUUUCUUCUUCUAGCCAUUUCUCAAUCAUUGAACUUUUGUUCUAAGCCUUCCCUUUAUCCAUCGACUCUAACAUUGUCUUCGUCUUUUCUAGGAAAAGAUUCUCAUUGCCCCCAGUGUGGGUGUGAUCCUAGUCAGGGUUUUUUAUGAAAGAAAUAUUCUAUCAGCUCAAAAUGGGACUGCAAGGGAUAUAUAUUUCAAGAAUUGUGAAAGGAUGAAACAAAAAUGGCCUUUUCUCAUUUCAAGCAAGGUCGGUUAGAACCAAUAAAUUUUAACCUCAUCCAAUGUAAUGAUUUAGACUUGUACGAAUCAUAAUUCAUGAGUCCAUAACUACUGAAUCCACUACGUAUCAUUAUGCAUACUGCUAAAACUUAGCUACAUGGUGUAUGGUUCAAUUUCAUGUAUGAGCUCAAAAGUUUCUUGGUCACCUCAUGUCAUUUCAGUAAGCAUUGAGUCAUUGAAGCAACAUAAUUUGAAUCUUCAGGAUUGACUAAUCUUAAACGCAUGUUGGAGCUUGAUCAAAAUAUUUUGUAAAUAACCUUUGAAAGAAACAUCUCAUGCGUUCAGAACAACAAAGGGACAAAGAAAAGACAUGUUUUGUUAAAAGAUGAGAUGUGAUCCCAAAAUAAAAUGCAGAAUGACAAAACUCAUAACAAAAAGGAUCGACAGUUUAACACUCUUCUUGGAUCAGCUUUUCUGGCGAUAUCUGUGUUUUGCCAAGCAUUUCGAUCACUUGUCAAUUUGAGGAUGUUGAGGUGACAAUAUGGCCGAUGACGUCAUUUUGCACAAACUCAACUUGAUUCUUGAAAUUCUUGCAACUGUUCAACUGAAUGGCACAAAAUCCCCCAAUGAUAUUCAUGUAUCUUUUACUAAGGGAUGAGGGCUCAAAGGCGCACUCAAAGGGAGUUGAGGGCUCAAAGGCGAACUCAAAAUGGAGGUGAGGGCUCAAAGGCGCACUCAAAAGGAGAUGAGGGCUCAAAGGCGUACUCAAAAGGAGUUGAGGGCUCAAAGGCGCACUCAAAAUGGAGGUAGGGUUAGAAAACGCACUACCUAAGGGAUGAGGGCUCAAAGGCGUACUCAAAAGGAGUUGAGGGCUCAAAGGCGCACUCAAAAGGAGGUAGGGUUAGAAAACACACUACCAAAAGGAUGAGGGCUCAAAGGCACACUCAAAAUGGAGGUGAGGGCUUAAAGGCGCACUCAAAAGGAGUUGAGGGCUCAAAGGCGCACUCAAAAGGAGUUGAAUUGGCAGAGUCAGGGCAAUAAGUCCGGAGUCUAAUAGAUGAUGGUGGACAAACUCGAGUGGUCGAGGUAUGUCAAUCUUAGCAAAGACAUUUGAGCAAUUGAUGUUACAGUGAGACCUGGUUGGACCACAUAAUUAAGGCUUCCCAUCGUUAGAGGCAUCCUUUGAUUCAUCUCUCAUUAUUGUUCUAGAAUUCUUGGUAGAAUCUUCAAUCAUUCCCCUCUUCAUAGCUUGUUCAAAUCUUUCAACAAUCCUCACAACAUCAUAUCAAUCUUUCCAAUGUUGUUGUGGUUGUUUGUGGAUUGGUAGAAACUUUCCAACAGCCAGGCAAUCUUGGUAGCGCAUAGAAACAUGCAGCACCACCACUGCCGACGUGUGGAAUCAUGCGUUGUCUCAACUGGAAGAGAAACUGAUGAAUCUGAAAACCCUUUUGUCUCCUCUUUGAUUCCUCACUGGCAGUGCAACAAACAAACACCUAUAGUGGGAAUUCUGCUCUGUUAAAGUUUCAAUGUCUGCUCUUGUUUUUCUCAGAGCAGCAUCCGAUACUGCUGGAUCGGAAUGGUGUUCACAAGAGAUGUCUGGAAAGAAAGCCAAUGCACCAGGAACAGAAAGCUAGCAACUGUUAUGUGCCCUUGGAAUAUGUGAAGGCUUUGAAUGACUAUCAGUGCAGUUGAACGAGAACAAGGGUUGUCGUCAUUAAUUGUGACUGAAGGCAUUACUGUCAUUGUUCAUUGUUCAUGAUGAAAAAGGAGAGGUGCAACUUCAAUGGAACUUAUUCAAACAGAUUUAUGAGUCUGUACAGACGUUCCCUUUCCACUCUUGAAGCUCAACACUUAUUCAAACAGAUUUAUGAGUCGAGUAGACCUCAGCAGGUGGGGGAACUUAUGUUUCAACCGUGUGCAUGCUUGAUAAAUGAAUGAAAUGCACAAAUGGAUGCAAAAUGCCAUAUGUUUUAUGCAUGCUUGUUAUUUGUUUCAAGGUUUCCUUAUGACGAGGAAUAGACCAGAUCAGAUUCUCUUAAGAAAGUUCUCACUGAGGACUCCAAACCUACAGGAACUUGAACCGAUUUAGGGGAGAAAUUUGAUGCCAUAAAUCAGAAUAAACAUUUCUCAUAACAAAAAGAUGAUGAAAUUGUCUUUUAUUAAUUCAUAAUAUUAAAAGUGCAACAAGUCAAUCUUUCCAAAGCCUUGGACCGUCGUAUGCUGAGAUCUCAUUAAUUCCAUCUCUGAUCAACCCAAAAAACUGAUGGAAUUCAUUUCUGGUCAUUGGCUCACCAUCUGCUAUUUGUUGGGCUAGGCCUCGUAAUCCUAAAGCAUAAUUCUUGGCAUCAUCUGCUUGUACAUGAUAGCGCAUAGCUUCAGAAGCCCAACAUUCUGCUUCUUUUUCUGCCUUUUCUUUUUCUGAUGAUAAAGUUUGCUCAAUAAAAAGCAAAUGGUCUAAAUGCUCAUCUAAAUUGGCAAUUAUUACAUCUUGCUUUUGAUGUUGCUCCUGAAGUGAUUUAUUUGUCUCUUCCAACUUUAAUACCAUUUCCUCAGCUUUCGAUGCUCUUCUAACCCAUCUCUUCAUGUUGACAUCUUGCUUCGUCUUAUCUUCUGACAAAAGUACAUAUUUUUCUUGUAAUUGCUGGAAAUCAAGUUGUUGAUGUUGUAGCUGAGCUGACAAGUCAUCAUUUUCCUGUUUUAUGAUAACCAAAGCUUUUUCUCGAGUGGCUAGAUUAGAUUCUAACUUUCUUUUUUUAGCCCCUAACUCUUCCACUUCAGCAUUCAAACUUAGGUUAUAAGAUUCUUGUUGGGCGCGAACUUCUUCGUGUAUGUCUUCAGCAGACUGAAUCAAAGACCUGGGUGGUCCUUCAAAAGGAGGAACUUUGUACCCUUUCCCUCUCUUCUUUUGCCAUAUUGGAUAUCCUUCAGUUGUUUUUCCUUCUACUCUCUUAGCAGAAGUAACCCUACCAGGAUGUUUCCAUGCCUUCUUCACUGACUCCAAGAAUUUCUUUGAGGUCUUGAAAUCUUCAUAAAAUGUUGCCAGUUUAGUAGUCCUUGGAAUAAACUGCUCAAAUCCAAACUGUCGUAAAACCAGGUUAGGACAGUAACUAAUACAGCAGCGGGCUCCAAUCAACGGGACCCAUGGGUACUCACCACAAUACGCCAGAUAAGAUUUGAAAUAAGCAUAUCGACUUCUCCAAUGAAAUUGAGAUUUACUUAGACUUAGGAACAUUGAUUCCCAUGUGGUUUUUCCUACUUCAUGCAAGUGUUUUUCAGCAAAAUUCUCCAGCUGAGAAUAAAGAUGCCACGGGGUACCAACCAAACCUGAAAUCUUCCCCUCAAUCAUAUGACUCACAGUCCAGACAAACAAUAACUGCAAGCAACAUCUUAAACGACCCCUUCCAGCUUUUCUGCAAUAAUUCAAGGAUGAGAAAGUUUCUGCCAAUAUUGCUGUAGCAGGGUUAAUUUUAAGGGUCACCACAUUUGUGAAUACAUUAACAGCUUCAAAAUCAAUCAUUCCUUCGGCAGAUGGGAAAAGAACCAAACCAUAUAUGCCUAAGGCCAAAAUUCUCAAUCGAAUUUCAUUGCUUUCAUCAUGUAAUCUCUUCUUGAAUAUGGCUUCUAGCUCAUUCCAAAACCAACCCUGGCUAUUUCCUCGUUUAGUUGCAUGUGAUUUUGCUAGUUGACAGUCUGUCUGGGUAAUCCAAGCAAAGUUAGAAAGUGCAUGCUCUAUAGGUGUGUAAAAGUACACCUUUUCUGACUUGGGACAAUUUAGCAGGGAUUCAUACUCCUCGAUAGUAGGAGUCAUAUCCACAGUAUCAAAUGUGAAGCACCGAUAUUCUGGAUCCCAAAACCCUAUCAUGGCCUGAAAACAAGCAUGUUGGACCCUAAUUUUCAGUAAAUGUGAUAGAUCCCCAUAUUGUUUCUGAAAAGUGAUUUGAUCAUGAGAGGAUAACUUUUCCCAGCAGUCUAGCAGUUGUCCUGUACCAAGUGGUCUGUCAUCUAAUUUAACAUGCUCUGGCAACUGAGACUUAAAUUCUGAUGGCAAACAAUCCCCUUCAUCAUGCUGGCUCAAUUCUGAUCUGGUCAAAAAUUCCUCAAUGGUAAUGGAUUUUUCCAUCUCACACUUCCUGUAAGGAUCGGUGGAGACUUAAUGAGCAUAUGAAAUGUAUAUGAACAUGUAUGUUCAUGCAUUGACAUUUGUUCGUGUCCUAAUGGGUAUAUCCUACUUGAUAGGAUCUAGCUCAUAAGGUUUGGCUCAGUUUAGUCUAUCCUUAAAGAUAUUCUCCGGUUCUUAGAUUGCCCGAAUUACUCGUGAAGUAAUCGGCCUCUUAACCUUAUACAACAUGAGUAGGGGAGAAAGACUCCACAGUACUAGUUGCAUAGGGUGAGUUACAAUCCAAGCAAAAGUCCAAAUGAGCAUCAGUGGACAUAAGUCACACUUGCCACUUGAAUCUCUCUUUUCUAAUCUUAAAAAGGACGAGCUCGGGUCCAGAGCUUUUAUGGGUUCACAGUGAAGUGUGUGAAUACACAAAUAAUAAUAUAUAUGUAUGUGAUGAAAUGAAAAAUUGAAAAGAAUCAUAGUAGAUAUUGCAUAAAAUAAAUAAUGCAAAUAAAAUAAGUGCCCAAAAAUAAAUAGCGAUAAGAAAGAGCAAAUGAAAAGCAAACACAAGCAGUUGGCUCAACCCUAAGUCCCCAGUGGAGUCGCCAUUCUGUCGAUACACGACGUCGGGCGACGGCUCCCGCUUUUUUGUUUAUUUAACAAAAAGGGUUUUUUCUCGAUUGGGGGAAACAAAGAUUUUAUUGGAGUCGCCAUCUAGUAAUUUGGGGGAAACAAAGAUUUUAUUGGAGUCGCCAUCUAGUAAUUUGAGGGAACUAGAAAUCCCAAAUUAGACACUGGUCCCAGAGAUUCGGGUACGGGGUUAGUUAUGAUUAAGGGAAGGUAGACACCACCCUUAAAACAUCCUUUCAAAAGAAAGGUUACCCUUACUUGUGUGUUUUUAUUUGAUUCAAAUGCGAUUAUAUUUUGGGCUUAUUUGUAAAUUUUUGUAAAUGAUUAACGUCGGUCCCUAAAAAUAGGAGACACGUUAAAAAUGACAUCAGUCCCUAAAAAUUGGAGACUCGUCUGAGUUACCAAAAGAAAUAAUGGAUAUAAUCCAUUAUAUUUUGGGUUUAUUGGUAAUUUGUUUUUUUAAAUGGUUAACGUCGGUCCCUAAAAAUAGGAGACACGUUAAAAUGACAUCAGUCCCUAAAAAUUAGGAGACUUGUCUAAAAUAUGACGUUUCAACCCUAAAAAGGAGAAUUACGUCUGGGUUACCAAAAACAAUAAUGGACAUAAGCCAUAUUUGGUAUUUACAUUUUUUUGACAUCGGUCCUUUUAAAAAAAAGAGACGUGUCGGCUUUGGUUUUUGUAUUGUUUACAAUAUGCAAGAAAAUUUACAAGCAUUUAUAUAUAAAAAAUAUCAAAAAUACCAGUAGAAACUCCGAAAAAUUACCUGAGUGCCACUGUAUAGGUAAAAGACUGAAAUACCCUCAGGUUUCUCCAAAAUUUACAAAAAUGCCACUGGCGGCGCGUGUAGCACACGCGCGGCUACUGUUGGCGGCGGGGAGAUUUUCCGGCGCGAUUUCUGGCCAACCGAUGGUCGAUCCUGGUAGAUCUGAUGUCGAGGAUUCUUAUGGUGGUGGUCUUGACGGCCGUUGAUGGCUGAUGAGCGAGAAUCGACGACUUGAAGCUUCGGUGGCAGCCGACGAUCGCGGCCCGUUUCCGGCCAAAUAGAGCGGCGAAAACGCUGAAAUCGGCCGGGGUUUUGCUUUAUAUGAGGAAGGCGACCUUUCUGUGGUGGUUUUCAAGCUUGCAGUGGCCGGAUAUGGGAGAUCGGAGGAGAGAGAGGGAGUCGCCGGCGAGAGGAGAGAGGUGCUCUGGGUUAUGCUAUGGUGAGAACGCAAACACGGUACACCAGUGCUGUUGAUGCUUGUGAUCCGUAGGAUCUCUGAUGGAAAUAUCGUGCGGCUGUGAUUGGCCCGAUCUGCAGGUUGAUCGGACGGUCCGGAUGAGCGGAGCUUUGAUCUGGUGUGGCGCGGUGCACCAAAUCUCGGUACACCGGAUGACGUGGCGCAACGGGAUCAAAUCUUGGAAUAUUUCAAAGGCUGAGAUGUGUUUGGGUUUUAAUCUAGUGUGGUAAGCCCUAUUGUAUCCUAUUAAAUCAACGGUUCAGAUCUAAACACUAUUAGAUCUAACGGUUAGGAUAUAUUUGGUAUUUUUCAUAUUGUUUUUAAUAAAAAUCAAUAUCCUACCCUCGUGAAGAAAUAGUAAAAAAAACCUGAAUAGUAAACUCUUCUUUUUUUUCUUCUCCUUUUUUUUCUCUUUUUUUUUCCUCUGGCGCACUGUUGGCUAUUUAUAGCAGGGGACAGCAAGCAUCGGCUUUAAAUUAAAAAAUGUAUCCAUCCAACUGCUCGCCUACAAUGUAACUGCCCCGCCUAAUAUGACAAUUCUGUAUUAUUAAUUUUGUUUUAUUAUAUAUAAUAAUAUAUAUUUAUAUAGGUAAAAUUAAAACUUAAAUCAGUAUUAGAAAAAGCCUGAUUCAACUGCUAAAAAUCAAUUUUAAUUACCGAAAAUUAUGUUGAAACAUAAAAAAAAAACUUUCAAUGGAUAUAAACCCGGUGGACCGGGUUUUGACCAAAAAAUAACAGGUUUGACCCAAAACGGCAUGAAACUCAUUUUUUAUCCUGGUCGACAUGGUUUGACCCGUAUUGACCCGGUGAACUCGGUUUUGGUCAAAAAUGACGGUUUUGACCCGAAACGGCCCGAAACUCAUUUUUUACCCUGGUCGACAUGGUUUGACCCGUAUUGACCUGGUGAACUCGGUUUUGGUCAAAAAUAACGGUUUUGACCCGAAACGGCCCGAAACUCAUUUUUUACCCUGGUCGACAUGGUUUGACCCGUAUUGACCUGGUGGACUCGGUUUUGACGGAAAGAUGCGGUUGACUCAAGAAAAAUAUUUUUUUGAAUUUUCCUUUUUCUUAAUUUUUUUGGAUUUUUAUAAAUAAUAAUAGAAAUAAAAUAACAUUUGAGAAAAUCUUGGUGGAUCCAAAAUUGGGUUACAACAUGCGUGGUCACCAAGAAUAAAUCUAUGAGGGCGAUAAGGCUCAAAACAGACAAUAUGUUGCAGGUUGGGUCAAGUUAUGACAUAUUCAAUAAUUACUCUUCAAUUAAAUCCUAAAUCUCAUUUCAUCUUUUCAAUUUAAUCCCUAAUUUGACACCAACUCUUCAAUUAGACCCCAAACCUCAUCCCACCUGAGGAAAGCCCUCUUCAUUCAAUUUAGCCCCUUAUUAUCUUCAAUUUAAUAUUGAAUUUUAUUCGAUCCAAGCCCAAAAAAGGCUAAGCGAAGAUAGAAUAAAGGAAGGGAAAGAAAAUGAAUAAUUGCCCAAUCGAGCUAACGUGUUCUGGUCUUUUUUCCAUGAUUCGGGGUGAACAUUUGACAUUUAUCCUUUUUUUCUAUAGUCUUUUCUCCAUGUUUGUUGUGACGCCGCACACGUGCGACAACCAGUAAAUCUAUAGUUAAUUUCAUUUUUUGAUAAAAGAUAAUACCAUCGGUAUAGAAUGGUUACCAACUGUUACUUUAAUAUGCCUUGUAGCCAAUCAGUUAGUUACACGAGGCAUUAUUAUAUUCAUGUAAAUACAUAUUUAUUAUUAAUAAAGGCUUAAUUUAACUUUAAUAUUCAUAUAAUAUUAUAUUAAUGAAUCUAGAGUAUAGAUAAAGUUUAUUAGAUAAAAAUGCUUUGCAAAUAAAAUUAUAAAGUUGUUAUAAUUAUGAGAUUUUUAAUGCAUCAAAGUAUUGCUCAUAAAAUGUUUUUGGUCGAUGUUGUCUUAAAUACUAGAUAUUUAUUAGAGCCAUAAAGACUAAUACAUAUUAUGUUUUUUCCUUUAUGAAAUGAAGCAGUUGUUCUCAUAAGUUGAGUUAUAAGGGAUACCUAAAACUAAUAUGUAUGUGCUUGCCAUAAAACAUAUACACUAAAUUGACCCGCAUGAAAAUUCCAUAUGGAGAGAUCAUAUAUGUCUAUAGAAAGACUCGCAUGACAGUUGUAUAUGUAAUCCUUAGACUUGAGAUCACUAAGUUAUCUUAUAUAGAGAUUGUUAUGCUUUCAUCUUGUUACAUGUUAUCUUAAUUGAGAUAACAAAAUGAUAAGCAUUGAGUAUAUCAUGAACUAUAUGAAGGUUUUCUUGAGUGAUUAAGAGAGGAUUUCAUCACCCUAUGUGAAUUAGAAAAAAUGUUCCAUCUGUUCUCAAAUAGUAUUGACUGAGAAAUCCUUAGCCAAGGUGGAAUGAGAUUUAAAAGGGGUUUCAAAUCUUAUUCAAAUGAUCAAUUACUAUUAUGUAGAGAAUGAACAUGAUUUAACAUGACAAACAUGCUUCAUACUUUAAUGUUAAAUGUUGCUACCCAAUUUUUGACCCAUGUUUUGAUAAAUUUUCAGAAAAAUUCAAAAAUAGCAAAAAACAUUGAAAAUCCAAAAAAAUACAUUUUUAAUACAUUUGCAUCGUUUUUAGCAUUUUUAGCAUCGUCUCAAAAGAAUUUAAAUUUUCAAAGAUGUUUGGAACGUGUUCAACUUUUAACGCAUUAUUUUUAAAAGCAUUGAUUUUCCUCAUUGAGUCGAUGUUGAUAUUGCUCGUUUUCAAAAAAUACAAAAAAAAUAAGAAAAAUCAAAAUUUACAAGAAAAAGAAGUUGAGGGACCAAAUUUUGAGGCCCAAGCUACAUUUUACCUAUAAAUAGUAGCCUUCAACACACACAAAAAAGGGGGGCAAUUUUGAAAAAAAAAAAGAGGAGAAAACCUAACCCUAAACCUAUCUACCCAAAGAGCCGCCCCCCACCCGGCUGGAUUUUUUUUGCUCUCCGAAACCAGCCGUUCAAGUCCUUUCCCUCCUCCACAUCGUCUCCAACUCCUUCUCCCUCAGCCACACACACGACAGAAACCAGAGCUCCCCUUCUCCUCUCCCAGCCGCCACUUGUACUUUCCCCUCUCUCAGCCGAUCCCUCAUCUCCUUUUCCCUACAAACCAGAACGCCGACCCCCCCCAGCCGUUCUCUCACCCUAGACAACCCCCAACAACAGCCGCCACCCUCACAGACCCGGCGACUCCUAGCUUCUCUUCAAUCGGCCACAAACCCAUGAUCGCCCUAUCAGCCACCGUGAACAGCCGCCUCCAGCAUUUCCUUUCCUCAGCACCAGCACCAGCACCGAUCUGUCCAUUCCUCCGCCUCAACACCGCCAGCAAGCUUAUCUCCACCGCGACUUCAGCGACCACGGACGACAGCCACCAGAUCAGAGGAAGGAGAAGACCGAGAACCAGCUGACUACCGCUGCCACCAACAUGAGUGAAGACCGUCAACGCAGCGACCACCACCGAAAGCUCCCCCCACAACCGCCGGCCAUCUAAAACAGAAGAAGAGGAAACAAAAACAACAUGCAGAGAGGAGCAGAUCUGAAAAUGAGAAGGGAGAGAAGCAGAUCUAGACUAAAAUGGAUUGAAAUCGACUGUUUGUUGGGUUUUUUGUUCUUUUGCAGGUGACGGUGGGUGUCACCACCGGCAGAGAAGGGAAAAGGAAAGGAAGCUGAGCCAGACCCCCCCUGUUUUCUGGCCUUUCUCGCGGCGGCGCGUGAACCCACGCUCCGCCAGUGGCGGUGGCGCCUGGGAAGACGCGUCGCCACUGUUCAUGCUGUUCCAGAAGGGCUUCCCAGCACUGUUAUGGAGUUUUGAGGGGUUAUUUUGUAAUUUUCAAAUUUUUAAUGUAAUUUUUUUGUUUAGUUUUGAAUUUUUAUUAUUUGUAGUGUUGAUGUAAAAAAAAAAAAACAAAGAAAAGAAAAGAAAAAAAAUAUAGUGAAAGUGUAUGUGUGUGUUUGUAUUUGCUUUAUGAGUGUUUUAUUUUAUUUUAUUAUGUAUGAUAAAAUUGCAAAGAUUAAAGAAGAAUUUAAUAUUUUGAUUUGCUCACGGUCCAGAAUUAUUAACUUAUACGUAAGUUGUAUUUCUAAUAUCCGAUGAAAAGACAAAAUUUUUAAAACUUCUUUAACACAUCAAAGUCACGAAGCAGCUUACCUCAGGUAGGGUGCGUUAGGGGUGCUAAUACCUUCCCUAACCACAACCAGUCCCUUACCCGCGAAUCUCUGACAAGACCAGUACAUCCGGUUUCCUAGUAGCCUUCAAUAAAUUACUAGGUGGCGACUCCAACGAACCAAUUCAAGCAAACGACAACGAAAAGAUCGCCAGCCGAUGCCGCACGGAUUUUCUGAUGUGCGACAUUAAAUAAGAACAUUAGUGAUAGAAUGAUAUUAAUUACAAUGAGAAACCAGUAAUAGAAGCCAGUAAUUGAAACCACUAAUGACUUUUCUAAUAUUUAGGGGAUCAUGACACGUUACUAAACAAUGCACAUGAUCUUCAAAUUUUCAAUUUUAAUUUAUUUAAUUAUAAUUAUAAUUAUAAUUUAUAUUUGGGUCAAUAUAUUAGGAACCUAAUAGGUCAUACACAUUAAGAAUUUAAACUGUGAUGAUUUAAUUAAGUAUAACUUGAUUAAAAUAUAUUUUAGAAAUUAAGGACUAUAAUAUAAUUAAUACAAGGAUUAUGUUUCCAGAUCUAGAAAAAUCAGGUAAGGACUUGAUUGAGUUAAUUUAUAAAAUUAUCUUAAAUUAAUAUAUGAAUAUUAUUCAAGGGGGAAAAUUAAUAUUUUGUCAAUUUAUAGGGUUUUUCAUAUUUUCUUAUAAAUAGUAAGUUAUGCCUCUUAUUUUUUAGGAGUUAUCUGUUAGAAAGAAAAACUACGUAUGUUACAGAAUAAAGAGAUAACACUUUAUACAUAACAAUCCCUCUCUUCUAAAUAGAGACUUGAGAGAUUUUUUACUAGUAGUUCAUGUGGAUUACUGUUAAAGAACGAACAAUUGAACGACUUCUAAUUUGCAAUAACUCAGUCUUUAAAAAAUUAUUCAAAACCGAAGAUAAUCAAAUCUUCAGGUGAUAAAUCCCUAAAUAACUCUAAAUUAUUUUAUUGUUUCAGCUGCGUAUAUGCUAUUCGGCAAACCCAACACCAACUUCACCACGGGUUUAACAUUUCUUUUACAUGUUGGGAAUUUGGUACUAAUGGGUGUAUUUUCUUAAGUUGAAAUAAUGUCACACAAUGCAGGUUCAAGUGGGUUCAUGAAUCAAAUAGUGGUUGUUAUUUGACACCGCAAUUGGAUGGCUUGGAGUUCGCCGGAACUUGGGCAUACCAUUUUUGAAUAAAUAACAAGGUAAAAACAUCUUUUAAUGAUAUGAAAUCAUUUAUUCAUUUAAAGGUAUCAACAUUGUCAUUUAUAGUGAAACAUUUAAUUUUACUACAUUGAGAAUACGUUGACCAAUAGAAUCCCCGCCUUCAGCCAACCCCAAAUUUGUCUAUCAUCGUGUAAUAUUGAUCAUUACAUUAUGCGCUUUCCAGCUAAUGAUAGGAUUUUAAGGACAACAUUAUUAAAUUGACAUCCAACCGACCAUUAUGGCUGUCAUAGAAUAGCAAUGGCCAUCCUUUGGCCAUCAUGCCAUAAAAGCCUCAUUUGGAGCCAAUUCCUCUCUCUCUCUUGCCACUAUUAGCUUCCAACCAUUCUUCGCGUUUCACUUUUCUUCAAAUGUUUUCACCAAAAUUGUUGCUCAUAAAGUCGAGAUCCAAGGGAUUAUUUAAGAUUUUAUGGAAAGUACGUAUUUCAAAUAUUUUAUGUUUAUUUUUCUGAAAUAUUGUUUGAAGAAAAAAAAAAUUUAAUUUUUUCAAAAUCAUUUUUAAAACACAAAAAUAAAUAGAGUUUGUUUUUUAUUUUUUAAAGUAUUGUUUUUUAAAAAUAAUUUUUGUAUUCUAAAUUAAUUUUUUUAUUUUUAUAUUAAUAUUAAAAAUAAUUUUUAAAAAAUAAAAAAAUAUUAUUUUAAUAUAUUUUUAAAUAAAAAAAUAUUUUAAAAAACAUCUACUUAAAAAAUAUUAUUUUUCAAAAAUAAUACUUUUCUCUAUAUUUUGAGUUUUAGUUUUUAAUAGCUAUGGCUUGUUUGAUUUUUUAUUUUUAUUUUUUUCAUGCUCUUGCAAAUAAGGCACGAAAAAAGUACUCGAAAUCACGGUGUAAAUAAGAAGAGAAAUAACAUGUUUGUUUUUUAUUUUUUAAAUUAAAUUUUUGUAUUUUUAUAUUAAUAUUAUAAAUAAUUUUUUAAAAAUAAAAAAAUUAUUUUAUAAUAACAUGGAGAUAAAGAUAAUCUCAAAAGCUAAUAGAUGGUCACCACGUGUUCAACUAGGAAAGGAUAGAAAGAGGGAGAGAGAAAGGUCAAAAAGGCUUUAAAAAAAAAAGAAAAGGAAAGACACGGUUGAGAUAAGAGGGACGUGGAUAUAGAAGCAGAAACGGAAGGAGACAUAAGCCCUGUUUGUUUGCUGGAAAGUAGUUUUUUUUUGGAAAGUGAAUUCCGGGAAAGUAUUUUCCGAUGUUUGGUAGUGUAAUGGAAAAUAAGUUGGAAAACACUUUCCAGUGUUUGGUUAUGUCAUGGAAAAUGAGCUGGAAAAUAACUUAUUAAUGUUUUAUUUUUCUCAAGUUUAUUAAAAUAAUGAGGAACAAAUCUUACAAAUUAAAAAGUUGAAUGAGAAUGAAAUUGAAAAAAAAUAUAAUUUCAUAAAUUAUCUCAAAUAAAAUAAAUAAUAAUCAAAAUAAUAGAGAUCAAAUCUAAAAAAUUAAAAAAAAAAUUAAAGGUGAAGAAAUUAAAAUAAUAAUAAUUAACAUUUCAUAAAUUAUUUCAAAUAAAAUAAGUAACAAUCAAAAGAAUGAGGACCAAAUUUGAUAGAUAAAAAAUUUCAAUAAAAAAUGAUAAGGAAAAAGCAAAUAACAAUUAUAAAAAUAAGGACCAAAAUUAAUAUAAAAAUUAAAUUUUAAGAGAUGGAAUUGAAAAAUAAAUAUUCAAAACAAAUUAUAUAUAGCAAUCAAAAGUUUGAGGAUCAAAUUUGAUAUAAUCAGCAAAUAAUGACAUUUCUAAAUUUUUCACAACUUCUGGAAAGUGUUUUCCGCCCAAAUUUUCCAGGAAAACACUUUCCUGAAAACCAAGCCAAAUUUUCCUUUGACUGGAAAGUGUUUUCCGUUGACCAACUUUUCUAAUGGCAAACAAACACAGGAAAGUUUGGAAAGUGGUUUCCCGGAAAUCACUUUCCGGGAAACAAACACAGCCAAAAGGGAAAACACUUUCCUGAAAACCAAACCAAAUUCGAAAAGUGUUUCCAUUGACUAGAAAGUGUUUUUCGUUGACCGAAAAGUGUUUCCGUUGACUGGAAAGUGGUUUCCGUUUACCAACUUUCCUAAUGGCAAACAAACACAGGAAAGUUUGGAAAGUAGUUUCCCGGAAAGUGAAUUCCGGAAAACAAACAUGGCCAUAGAAAGAUCAGAGGAGAGUAAGAAAAAAAAAUGAAUAUGUGAUGUCCUAUUUCUGAUAAAAAAUACUUUGUUUUGUUUUUUUUCUCUUUUAUUUGGAAUUUCUUUAGACACUUUAAUAAUAUAAUAACAAAAUUUUUUUUUUCUUUAUUUAUAUUUUGAGUUUUAGUUUUUAAUAGCCAUGCUCCUUUGAUUUUUUAAAAUCAUUUUUUUCAUACUCUUGCAAACACGGCAGAAGAGGAGGACCUGAAAUCACGACAGUGAAUAAGGAGAGAAAUAAGCAUGUUGGUUUUUUUAUUUUUUAAAGUACUUAAAAAAUAUUUUUUUUAUUUUUAUAUUGAUAUUAAAAAUAAUUUUAAAAAAAUAAAAAAAUAUUAUUUUAAUAUAUUUUUAAAUAAAAAAUAUAAAAAAAAACUACUUUAAAAACCUUAAAACCACGGCAUGAUAAAAGGAGAAAGAAAGGAAUAGGACAAAGGAAGAAAGUGAAUUGGACACAGGAAGAAAGUAAGGUCACGUAGGGGGGCCAGUAUCGUAGAUAAUAGGAGAUGAAAAUUAGUAUGAAAAAGAGGAUGAUAGAGUGGUUGUCCGAAUCAUUGUGGUUUUUAUAAUUAUAUUUAAUUUAUAGAAAUAUUAAAUUAAUAUAUUCUUAGUAUUUUAUAUGAUUUAAAAAAUAUGUGUAUAAAAAAAUAUUUUAAUAUAUUUUUAAAUAAAAAAUAUUUUUAAAAGUAUAUGUCACAGUACCAAAUUAUAUUAUAAAUUAAAAAAAUGGGGUUUUAUGUUCAUUAGUACUUACUUAGAGUCAUUUAAUUGUGGACAAAAUGGUGUAUUCUUUUGAAAAUUUUCAAUUUUAUACUUGAAUUUGUUUUCCACAAUUGAUCCUUUUUAAUUAAAAUUAGAGUUCAAUUGCAUAUUUUUUUAAAGAUAAAAGUUGAAUUAAAAAUAGAUAAAAGUUGAAUUAAAAGAAAGGGGACUAGUUAAGUGAAAAACUCAGCCAAAAUAGGUAGCGGCUCUAUAAUUUGUUGGCAAAGUUUAUUUUAGUUUUUCAUCUUUUUAAGUUAUUAAAUAAAAAGUCCCUAUAAUUUUCCAACAUUGCAUUUUGAAUUUUUUUAUUGAUACUUUUUUAUAUAUAUUUUUAAAAAUAAUUUUAAAAAUGAUGUUUUCAUUAAUACCCAUUUUCUAUGAUUUUUUUUGGCUUUAUGUAGUCUUUCUUCAAUUAUUUUUAAUUUUGCUAGAUGUGUUUAAUUUUUUAAGAGGUUAGUAUAAUUUAUCUGUAAAUAUUUUUUGUACAUUUCAAAUAGAUUAAGUAUUUAAUUUUUAUAAUAUUUUGAAUAUGUGUAGCCUUAUAUAGUUUUUUUUUAUGAUAUUAAAAAAAUAUGUGUAUUGAUUUCUAUUAUAAAUUAAUUUUAAUAAAUAAAUUUAUUAAAUAUAACCAGAUAAAUCAUUCAUGUAAUAUUAAAUACUUAAUCUAUAUUUAUCCCUCAAUUUUCUAGGCAAGCAAAAGGAGCUAAACUUAUUCCCGACUAAAACGUCAAGAAUUUCAGGAGAACAAAAGAAGAGAUUAUUACUUGACCAAAAACAAUUAGUCCGCGUCCAAAGAAACCGAGUGAAUGAGAGAAAAAAGACUAUAUAUUAGCUAGAAAACAAUCAACAGAACCAAGAACUUUCGGUAUGGUUUCCAAGAAAAAUGAAAUGAAACGAGCAGCACAACCCUCUUUCCCCUCUAAGAAAAAGAAAAAGAAGGGAAAGAAACAAAGAAGUUCGAGGAAGUGGGCAGCCUUUGUUCUGCUGUUCACACAGACUAAGAACUCCUCAAAUUGUAAAAUCAUAUAAUUAAAACACAACAAUAAAAAUGUAAUAAGCAGCUGAUUAAUGCUAUUGUUCUUUCUUCUUGUUUUGCUAUUUUGAUUUUAUCAUAUUUUCUUAAGAAAUUAUGAUUGUGAAAGCUAGCCAAACUAUUAGAUCCAAGCAAUCUAAGAUAAAAACUAGCGUACUUGCGUCCUGUUGUCGCAAGUACUUUUUAUAAUUAACUUUUUGUAAUAUUUUUUUAUUUAAUUAUACAAUAAAUUCAUAGAAAAAACUACAAGAGGAAAAUAUAUAUUUCAUCAAAAUUGUGUAAUCUGAUUCAUGUAUUUUUCUUAACAAAAAAAAAAGAUUUUGAUGAUAUAAAAAGUAAAAAAAAUAAAUAGAAAAUGAAGACAUGGAGAGUGGCGGGCGGGCAUUAUUGUGUUAUUUUUGAAUCCGACUCCCAUAUAUAAUGAAAGUAAGAACGUUCAUUCCUUUAUAAACAUUGACUUUGAUUUUUCCUUUAUAAAACCAUAAACCUGCAAGUCCUACAAAUCAACAUGAAGACUUAUCAGAUCCUAAUGAAAAGCUGUCAAAAUCCUAUCAGAAAUUAAGGAAGAUGACGUUAACUUCAAAUCUGAGGAUUAAUUGUAGCAGAUCUUAUAGCGUUCAGCUGAUUGCUUUACUUGUUUAAAUAAUUCUCUUGUAAGCCUAAUGGUUCACGUCUUCCAUCAUUGCAACCUUUUUUUCUGUGAUUGAAAAAUCUAUAAUAGGAACCUGCACUGCAUCCCUUCUAUGCUGUUGUUCUUUCUUCUUGUUUUGCUAUUUUGAUUUUAUCAUAUUUUCUAUGAUGAAAGUUGAAGAAAUUCUACUUCGAAACUAAAGACAAAGUCUCUCGGACUGCAUAUUAGUGGGUUGCUCAUUGGGAUUUCUAUAAACAACUGAUUCUAUUGCAAAGCAACACCACGAAAAACUGAAUAUUUCACACAUAGUCUAAUAAAAGUAGAUUCCAUUGUCAAUUCCUUAACAUUUUCCAAACAAAUCCAUGCUCCUCAUUUUAUACUUUCUUGAGGGUUUCUAUUCUCUUAUUACCAAUUUCAGUGAGUUUCAUAAUAAGCUGCUUAGAAAGAAGCUAUCUAACAGGAGGGUGGGGCUACUCUUAGCCAAUGAAAACAGCUUCACAUGCUAUACAGCAACGUGAAAAAAAGAUUCUCAGCCUGUUCUCUCUUUAAUGAACACCCUCUUGGAUUCUCUAGCAUUAGCCAACAAGGUAUCUGCUUGGAAUUACUAAUUCCACCGACCUGAAAAAGAACGUCCAACCUAUUUAAUAUACUUAAUAAAGUUCUAUUUUAUAAUCCUAUAUAUUUUUUAACUGAACUACUUAUUUUUCUCAAAAACCCAAAAAGUAAACGAUUUUCCAGAAAUCUAAUUCAUAAUAAAACAAAUAAUGAGACUUGAUAUUAAUGCAUUAAAUAACCAUCAAUUAUUCAUCAAACCAAUCUGAAAAAUCUAAUAUUAAAGCUAGGGACCAAUCUAGACUUUUAUUAUAUUUUUAGGGGUCAAAUUAUAAUUUUAUCAAAUUGGAGGACCAAACUAAAAAUAUCAUAAAUUCAUGACUAUACUGGAAUUCUGCCCAUAAUUCAUCCUAAAUUUUGCCCAGAAUCUCAAAUUAUGCUCCAAGGACCACUACAUAAUUUUAUCAAAUAUCUAGGGUCAAAUUGUAAUUUUAUCAAAUUGGAGGACCAAAGUGAAAAUAUCAUAAAUUCAUAACUAUACUGGAAUUCUGUCCAUAAUUUAACUUUAAUUCUAUCCAGAAUCUCGAAUUAUGCUCCAGGGACCAAUCUCUAAUUUUUCUAAAGUUCAGAAAUUAAACUGUAAUUUUCAUAAAUUGAGGGACCAAGCUGAAAUUUUAUAAUCUUCAACCUCAAACCCAGAAUUCACACAGAUAACCUAUUAAUAUAUCAAGAUUUCUAACUUAAAUUCACCAUUUAAAUAAACCAUAACUUAAAAUCAUUAUUUUUACCUAAAAUGUUUCAAAAUCAAUUAAAUAACUCAUUACCCAUAACAAUCGAUCCAUAAUUUUUCUGUAAUGUAAUUGUAAUUCCUAGCAUAAUGCAUAUUCGAGGGCAAGCACAACAAUUCAAGAGCAAAGAAACUCGAUGAAAUAGCAAAAUAAAAAGACAUGAAGGACUGAAAUAAAAUAAAACCAAAAAAGAGGGAUGAAAAAAGUAACCGCACUCUGGUUGCCAUCAAAAACAUAUAUAGUUCUUUUAGUAUUUUUUUUUUUAAAAUAAUAUUGUAAUAGGUCAAUCAUAUUACCCUGAGUGUGUGACACAGAGAUAAUCAUCAUAGAAAAUUACUUUUAAUUGCUUGUGUUUUAUCCUGAGAUGACAAACUUACCUUGUCCUACUAAUGCUUUUGCUUUCAUUGUUUCGAAAGUAAAAGAGACUUAAACAUAAUCAUUUCCUUCCUUUUACUUUCCACUUCUUUGUAAUAUUGGAUUGCAAACGGGAUGGUGCUUAGAGGGGCCACUUUUUCUUUUCCUUUCUUUUUAAAAUCUUAUGCCUUUGGGUGAGGAAAUUAGUGGAGCAUUAGACUUUUUAAAAGACAACAAAAAAAAGCGAUGUCUCAUCUUUUGAUAUGGUGGUACAAGAUACACCAUGGUAUGGUGGUCCUGCAAGAAAUGUCUUAGCUUUUGAUAUGGUGGUCUUCCAUGAUCAGUUUUCGAAAGAUUCGAGUCUCCGUUCUAGUUCGGGUUGGAAGCUAGGCCGAAAGCUAAGCUUCUUUUAAUUAUGAAUUGUUUAUGCAAAGGAAACCCAGAAGCUUGAACAAACAGAAAUGCCUUGUUGAUUUCUCUGCUACUACUCAUUAUUUCCAAUAUUAUUCCAUUAUCUUACCCGAAAGCAAUUAUACAAGAAAUUUCAUUAUCCUGCCCCAGAAGGCAAUUUAUUACAAGGACUUCCUUUAACCUCCUUGAAGGCAAUUUAUUUGAUGAAAAUUCCUUUAAUCCACCUCAAAGACAAUUUAUCUUAGGGAAUUCCAACAACCCAGGCAAUUUAUUUCUUAAUUUUAUAUUACUGUUUUCAUUAAUUUUAUUAAAGCUUAAUUUUAUAUUUUUUCUGCCCUUUUCUUUUAAAAAUGUUAUCUCCUUGGUAAGGAAUCCUUGGUUCCCAACAGCAACUGUAGCAUAGUUAAAGGUUGCGUUAAAAAAAUAUCAAAACUCCACCGAAAGUAGUGGAGCCUUAGAAUUUUUAAAAGACAAAACGGGGACAAGUGAGAGACGAAGAAAAAGACAAAAGCAAUUCCAUCUAUUGAUGUGGUGAUCCAAGAUACACCAUAACAUGGUGUUCUUCCAUGAAGUCUAAGAUGCACCGCCGUGUUGUUUCAUAUAUAUUUAUAUAUAUGAAAAUAAUAAAACUACCGUUUAAAACAACUCUGAAAACAAAAGUUUUAAUAAUUCAUAAUUUAUAAGCAAACAUCACUUAUAAGCAAAUAAUUAAUGAUGGUUAAACUAAUUCAUUGUUAGGCGGAUAUAUAUUAAGGUUGAGACCCAUCUAUCUAACACUAAUAACUAAUCACUGAUAAUAUUUAUGCAAAACUUGUAGCUUAGGAUGAACUCUCAGAGAUGUGGGCGAGGCAACUCAAAGUAGAAGGGAAGGGGUAACCUCUGAUAACAGAGAAAAUUGUAGAGUAAAUUGUAGAUGUGGACCGAAUUUUCUUAAAUUAACAACAGAAAUCUACAAUGAACAGUUCUCGAGAAGAAACUCAAGAAACGUAAUAAAGCUACAUGAUGACAUAAUAGGAACCUGCAUUGCCUUCAUUCUAUGAUGAAAGUUCAAGAAAUUUUACAUCGAAUCUCAAGACAAAGUCUCUCAGACUACAUAUUGCAAAGCAACUGAUUCUAUUGCAAAGCAACAUUACGAAAAAUUGAAUAUUUCACACUCAGUCUAAUAAAAGUAGAUUCCAUUGUCAAUUCCUCAACAUUUUCCAAACAAAUCCAUGCUCCUCAUUUUAUACUUUCUCUCUUAUUACCAACUUCAUUGAGUUUCAUAUAAGCAUAGUCAAUCACACAACUAAUAUGUGAAUUCACAAUUUCUUACCGAAAACAUUUUAUCAGUGCAAAUUAAUACAUAAUUUUACCUCUCCUCUUGGUGAAAACACAAAGACACAACCACCGAGCAGAUCUCUGGUAAUGGUCUCUACAAAUUCCCUACAGUUCCUAUUGCCAACAAACUCCUCUUGCCAUUCCCUAACUGCAUUGAGCCAGCUAAUCUGGAUGAAAGAAAAGACUUCAGCCAUUCCCUAACCUUAAAGCAGACCCAACUUUGUAGCUCAUUACCAGUUAAGUAAAAGUUAUCAAUAGCUGUGUAAAUCAUUGAAACUGCCACAAAAGCAACCCAAAUUAGUUAUGAAUUGGAUUCGAUAAGGGAAAGAGGGGAAGAGGGGAAAUGGGUAACGGAAAAUUAAAGAGAGAUGAAGAUCUGCGCAGGGCUACCUGUUUUGAGAAUUAUGGAUUUUUAUCCCUAACUCCAAAUUGCACCAAUUAUAAGUUCAUUAAAACAAAUCUGGAACAGAACAGAUGGAAAAAACUCGAAACAACUUGGCUAGAAUUUGGGCAAGAAAUUCAGAACGGCCAAGAUUUUAAGUGAGAUAAAAGUUAUCCCAUUUUGUUCUGUUUUUUUUUUUAAAUUAAUAUGAGAUAUACUAUCCAUUUCAAGCGGAACAUAAUGGAAUGAACAACCUUGCAUCGAAGACCUAAUUUUAGUGAAACUCAAGUUUAUUGUGUCAAAGAAAAUGUUCUAAAAAAAUGUUUUAAGCAUUAACAAAAUCUAGUUGGCCUAGGCAAUCCACUAUUGUUGCUGUUACCGUUGGUGCAUACUCAAUUACACCAUUGACAUAGUGCAACUGUUUUUCUUUCUUUCUUUCUUUCUUUUAAAAAAUCCAUGUUAUGUUUUUUAUUUGAAGCUUUUUUGUUAACAUCUUUCGCAAUUGGCCUUGGUAUUUUGUUUCCAUUUUCUCUAUGUUUCCUUCUUCUGUAGUUAGAAAACAUCAUGUCUUUGGGUUUGCGCUUGAUACCGCAAAAUUAAGGACACAAUAGUCAAAGAACACAAAAAAAUUUAUAAGUGAAGGGGGUUGCAGUUGUGAACCCUAAAAUUUACAAGUUUAUUUUCUUAAUAAUAAUAAUAAUAAUAAUAAAGAAGUUUGCCUUCUUAGAAAGUUUACAAAGCCUUAAAUUGGUUAGGAACCUUACCUCAACAAGGAAACAAAAAAAAAAUCCAAAAUUAUAAAGGAAAGAAGCAUAAAAUCUAAAAUAAGCAAGAAAUUUGAAAAUAACAAAGAAAAUCACAAAAAACUAACAAAACCCGGGGCAUCAGUGAGAGUUUUGAUAUUUAAAGAUCCGAUGGUCUGUAUAAAAAUUUGAGCACAAUCCAAUAAUCGAAUAAAAAAUUCUGGCUCUUUUGAGCUGUUAUUCUUGUCUAGUACAACCAAACAUUCUCUUGGGCUUAAACCUGUUCUAUUGGUUCAUAAAUGCAUUUACUAGGCCAUCAACAUUAUUUGUCUGAGGCAAAUCCUCAUCUAGUUAUGGGAGACCCACAUCUGACUGCUUAGAAUCACUAGUUAUCGUAGGAUCGACUAUAUCAAAAUUGGUUGGUUUUUUGUUUUCAAAAAGAAUUAAAAUUUGAUGGAGAUGAAAGCUAAAAACACAAUAAUUAAAGAGCACAAAAAAUUUUAUGAGCAAAAGAGGCUGCAGAUGUGAACCUUCAAAUUCACAAGUUUAUUUUCUCUAAAAUAAUAAUAAUGAAGUUUGUUUUCUUAGGAGGUUUCCAAAGCUAUAAAAAUAUCAAGAAUCCUAUCUUAACUUGGAAAUAAAAAUACAAACUCAAAAUUACAAAGGAAAGAAGCAUAAAAUCUAAAAUAAGCAAGAAAUUAAAAAAUAACAAAGAAAAUCACAAAAAACUACCAAAACUAGAGGGCUUAACAAGAUUUUUGUUAUCUAAAGAUUCGAUGGUCCGCGUAAGAAUUUUAGCAUGAUCUAACGGUCGGAUAAGAAAUUAUGACCCUUUUGAGCUAUUAUUUUCGUUUAACGCGACCAAAUCUUUUUUUGGUCCUAUACUUAUCCUAUUAUUCCAUAAAUACAUCUCUAUGACCUAUCUUUUUUUUUCCUACUAUAGAUGGAGUUUGACCAUCAUCAUCAUAUGAUUUGACUUAGUUGUAUCGGUUUUCAAUCAGAUCAACUUUAUAUAUUAUGGGUUUACAUUUACUAUUUUUAAAAAAUGCUCAUUAUCGGUUUUCGAUCACCAUAAGUCCAUUGUUCACACCUCAAGUCCGUACCUGCAGCGGAUCGCAGGCAACGAAACUAUAGACUCGAGAGUAAACAUGCUACUAUAGUUAGCUAGUAAGGGUCCAGGUCAUUUGUUGUCUGGUUUCAAAUAGUGUUUCAACUCAUUUAAUAAAUGUAUACAUGGCUCAUAGUUGGAUUACUUGUGUUUUUGUUAUUUGUUCUUCCCAGUACUUGUACCAGAAGCUGCUCUCAUAUUUGAAGGAAUGCAAACAAUUGUUAAUAUGAAACUUAUGAUGCAUAGGAAAUUGCCAUUUUUCUCAUUUUUAAUUGGAAGAAAAAUCACACGUAUGUUUUUGUUAGAAAUAACUUCUUAUUUCAAUCAGAAGUGUGUCACUAAAUUGAUUUAUAAGUAAGUUUUUAAAUCGUGGAUUAUAUCUUACAUUAUAUUUUUUUAUUUACAAAAGUUUAUUUGAGUUAUUUUUAUUAAAAAUACUUAUAAUUUAAAAUUAUUUUAAUUCUUUUUUAUCAUAAAUUAUUUAUUAAAAACAACUUAGAUUAUCGCUUGAAAUAAAAAAAGAAAAAGAAAAAUUUUUCAGCCUGUUUUCUCUUUACUGAACAACCUCUUUGAUUCUCUAGCAUCUGCUUGGAAAAACCAUUCAACAAGGGAUUCUGCUAGGAAAACAUGCAAUUGUUCUUCUAUCUGAUAUCAGUUUCAAAAUUCUAAACAAAUAAUGCAACAAGUCACAUUUAUUACAAAAAAAGUCACGUUUAUUCCAGACCUCAAGCUGCAUUGCCUAUUUCAAAACCACAAAGAGAACAUCAUACAGAACAACAAAUACCCAAGUCGUAGAGCCAUUAAUUUGAGCAUAAAGGAGAAUGAAAGUCCACGCAUUAAACAGUAGGCACACACAUGAGUAGACAUUAUGCCCUUGUUUUUGAAGAUUCAGACACUUCAAAAGAAAACUCACGCUCUUAUUUUUGGGAAGUUCUUCUAUGGUAAAUAAGACUGUUACAAUGUGAAGCCAAUUUGUAUCCCAUUGCCAGUGAAACAGUAGGAAUUACUUCCACCAAUCUAAAACAUAUUCGCAGCACCACAGCUCAAGGACAUGAAUCUCUGUGAAAUCGCCUAAGGUCGAGUUGCUCAUGUAAUAGGCAACCAACCUGCCUAAUGCAAACAGAAGUACAAAGACCAUUCAUGCAUAUCCAUUACCUGAUUAGGAUGUUUUUCAAAUUCCAAUGCCAAACUAAUCAUCCUACCCAUCAUCAUCAUCACCACCAUCUCCCUUCACCACCUUCCUUCAUCUCCUUCACCACAUACCCACCCAUUAUUUCGGGUCCACGUUCUACAACUGCUGAUUGGCGCAGAGCAACCAGUGCUUGAAUCCUCAGCUACUUCAGAUACCUGUAAUCCAAUCCAAGCAUGGCAUACACAUUUUAACUUCUAAAUCUUAUUAUUGAGCGAAACAAGAAACAAACACACAAAAAGAGAAGCAAGAAAUCAAGACAAUUCAGCAGCACCUCUGAUUGAGCUCUUAUUGAACCAUUUGGGAGCAUGAACGAAAACAGAGAGGGGACCUAAAAAGAGAGAAAUAGGGAGAGAGCAAAAGGACAGCAGGCCUGCUUUGCCUUUGUUCUCAAAACGCAAGUGAAGUGCAGGGAAACUGCAAGCGUUGGUCAGCCUAAUUAUUCGUCUCCAGCUACACACUCCAAACCAUCGAAAGAAAGAACUGAGAAAAACAGGAGAAAAGGAGGAACACGAAAAAAAACCAAGGGAACGGGCAGAUACAGAAAAAAAAAACUGGAGGGAAAAACCCAGGGGAAAGAAAAACAGAGGACUGCAGGUGGAAAAACUGGGGAAGAAAAGGGCAGAACCGCGGGAACAGAGAGAAGAGACUCAGGAAAAAAAGUAGAAGGAAAGGCAGAGGAGAGUCACAGAUCAGCUCUGCCAUUGUCUUCAUCCCUGCAAAAAAAUAAAAGAAUGACACUGAACCAAAGACUAUUGACAACCGGCAUCACCAUUGUUUACUUUCCUUCAUCUCAAAACUAGAGGAGACAGAACGCAAUCAAAGAAAGAAGCAGAGGAAAGUCACCGAGACCGUUGCUACUGCCUUCGGCGUUUCCAGAACUAGGAGAGAAAGCAAAAGAAAGCAGGAGGAAAGGUGUUAAGCAGACAACAGGCACCAUCACACUGCAGCCAUCUUCGCCGUUUCCAGAAGCAGGUACGCCCCUCAUCCCAUUUUGCAUCUUCAUUUCAAAUUGAAUUGUUACAAGAGCUGUGCGAAGGUAAUUUAAUUACCUUCGCACUGCUCAUGCACGCGUGAAGCCACUUCACGCGUGCUUUUCGUUUUGCCCAGCCGGUCACUGGCUUGGGCCAGUGACCGGGCCGGGCUGGCUGGGUCCAGUCCAUGCCAUGUGGGCUGAGCUGGGCCCAGCCCCAAAAAAAUAAAAGAAAAAAACAGAAAAAUAAAAAAAUAGAAAAAAUAGAAAAAAAUAAAAAUAAAAAAUAUGCAUGCAUGAAUAAAAAUAAUGUAAAUUUAUUGGUUUAUUUACUGACGCCAGAGUCAGUAAUAAAAAUAUCGGUUUAAAUUUAUAUUAUUUUUAUUCGUUGUAUUUUAUUUUAUUUAGCUAGAAAAAAAAUAUGUGCAUGCUGAAAAAUAAAUUUAUUUUUUCAUUGGCGCUAGAGUAGGGAAUAAAAAAUAUUGAUAUAAUUUUUUUUAUAGCUACGUAAUAUUUAUCAACACCAGAGUUGGAGAUAUUCAUAGUUGAAUAUUCACUGACGCCAGAGUUAGAAAUAUUAUAAGCAAAUUAUCAUAGUGUAAACUAAUAAAUAUUUAGCAAUUUAAAACAAAACCGGCAAUGCAGUCUGCCUCAGGCAGAACGUUUAAGGGGUGAUAAUAUCUUCCUUUUUACGUAACCAGUCCCAUACUAUAGAAUUUCUGUUGAUCAGUUAGGGUUUCUAGUGACCAUAAUACUAGGUGGCGACUCCAUAAACAAGAUAUUUUUUUCUAAAAGAACAAGAUAUCAGAAAUCUGUUUUUUUUCCACAGUCAAGUUUAUUUUGUGGAUCGUCACGAUAUCGGGUACGAUAAAAGUAGUCAAAUUGUGCAGCACGAGACCCUUCCACAAACAUCUCAUGCUUGUGUCAGGCAGGGACUUCAAUUUUAAUGUUUUCAAACUUGUUAACUCCUACAUCAGAAGACAACAAAGGCACUAAUUUGUUAGAUAUAAUUCCUAGUAUGUUUUGGUAAAUAGAUGAAUCAAUUAUCCCCAAUACUUACUUAUCAACAAAAGGAUAUAUGUAGACAUGGCAAUAGACAACUCAAUAUUAGCAAAUGGAGGUUUAUCGUCCUGUCCAAAUACUUCCAUUAUUUGGGGAAGAGCCUCAUUUUCACUCAAACUGGGAAAGCAUAAAUCUAGGUAUCAUUUCAUUACAAUAAUUAAUUUCUUACUUCUUAAGCCCUGCGUCAAGAGACAGGGAAUGAUACAGUUAGACAACUCCUUUUAAAUUUAGUGGAUGGCUAAAGGAUUUAUCUCCACUUAUCAAUUACUUCAGUUUCAGAAAUUUAAAGGAAGAAAUCAACAUGUAUUGAAGUUGACAAUUUAAAUUAAAAAGGAAAACAAAUAUUGGAGAAAUAUAAAGGACAAAUUAUCAAUUACAUGUACUUGGAGCUGUGCAGACAAAUUACCCAAUCCUUCGUGGCCAUAAAUGGUUAGACUUUUCAAAGAAGGCAAUUGGGCAGCAAAAUUCUUUGGACCAAAAAAGCUGCAAUUUGAAAGAGACAAUUUUCUUAGUCGAGGAAACUUGAUGAUGCCAUCUGUGGUGAGUGCAUCUCCUUCUCCACUGUAAAAUAUUUGCUUUAAAUUAUAAGCUUUAAAAAUCCGCAUCUCUUCCAGGUUUAGAAGGCUUGGAGACACAGAUACAGGGAAGACAUAUUCCAGUUUACCACAGUGAGAUAUGUAGAGAGUUUCCAAUUUUGGGAAGCGAGGAGACUCUAGAAAUAUUUCCCUUUCACCAUCCUCUUCUCUGAUAAUAUGCUUCAACUCACCGCAUGUUCUUAUCUCAAGUGUUUCUAGCUUUGGCAGAUUUUGAGCGAGGGACGGUGUGAAGAUAAAUGUCAGUUUGUCCAGAUACCCCAACUCCAGACGAGCAAGACUUUGGAGGCUGACAUGCCCGGUGGGCCCCUUCCAUAUGCAUUUGAGCUCGGGUAACUCUCGCAGCUCUAACAGUGUUAAAGAUGACAGCAACGGCAGCUCCUUCUCCUCACUGCUUCCUUCAUCAGCCUCACCCAAUUCAAAUACCUCUUCCAAUGAUUUGCAGUCCUCAAUUUCCACACUCCUUAGAUUUUUCAGACCUUGUAGCAAUUUUGCUGGAAACGGAGCGCGAACAUCCCCACAAUCGUACAAAUGUACAGAUUCUAAUCUUUGUAAGAAGCCGUUUUGCUGUCCAUGGGCGGCCAUGUUAUCAGAAAACAAUAUUAUAUUUUUUCACUCUCAUGAAAACAAUUUAUAUGAUGUAUAAAUAGGAGAAAAAAAUAGAAAAAACAGGAUUAUAUACUUUUUAGAGAUUACAUAUUAUUGUUUUAGUUUUUUUCUUAAUCAGAGAAAACUUGAAUAAUAAUUAGAUUUUUGUGAAAAAAAGGUUAAUACAACUACUAAUAAUUAGUUUCAUGUAAAAAAUAAAAAUAAAAAUAAAAAUAAAAAUAGUAACUAAUAUUUUUAUUUUAGUUAUAAAGUUAAUAAAUUUUUAAAGAUAUUUUAAUUGAAUUAAAUAUUUGAACACAAAAUUUAUGUUCUUAUAUAUAUAUUAAAUCAACAUGUAUUGAAAAAUACUUCCAUUAAUUGGGGGAAGAGCCUCAAUUUCACUCAAACUGGAAAGCAUAAAGAUUGAAAAAUCUGGAUAUCAUUUCAUUACAAUAAUUAAUUUCUUACUUCUUAAGCCCUCUAUCAAGAGACAGGGAAUGAUACAGUUAGACAACUCCUUUUAAAUUUAGUGGAUGGCUAAAGGAUUUAUCUCCACUUAUCAAUUACUUCAGUUUCAGAAAUUUAAAGGAAGAAAUCAACAUGUAUUGAAAUUGACAACCAGAAGCCCAAAAGAAAACAAUUUUGACGAAUACCCACCAAACAGUUGAAGUGCUGCUGUAACUGAGAUUUUUUAUUAUAUGUAUUUUUUGUGGUCCAAUGGAUAAAUAAUUUUUUUUUCUUUUAUUUUAUCAGCUUAAUUUUGCAUGUGGAAUAUUGAGUUUUCUGUUAUUUUUUCAGACACAGAAUUGAAUCCUUUAUACAUUCUUAAAACCAAAUUUGAAUUCUAAGUUCCUAAAUGAAGGAAUAAUAAAGAUUGUUGCAUGUACAAAUUCUCCUUAAAAAAAUUAACAAAUAAUAAAGUCCCCUAUGUUAAUAAGAUUUAACUAUAACUUAGCCCUGUAAUUUCUUAAAAUUAAUUAUUUAGCCCUGUAAUAAUAAAGUCCUCCAUUUACUAUAUUUUUCUCUAAAAAAUGCCUUCCUUCCUAAUGAAAUUUCCUCAAAUGCAUACUUUUGUUGUCCUUAUUCUAUUUUUCAAGAAUGAAGAAAAACCUCUAAAUAGCAUUAGGUUCCAUGAAAUUGAAUGUUUACAUUAUAAUUCUUCUAUAGAAGUCUUCAAUAUUCUAUCACUUAAAAUAUAAAGCUUCAAACCUCCAAAUUUUCAAGACCCCAUCUUUCAAUCUCAAAACCAGAAACAACCCCUUCUCCAUUUAACCGAAUCUCAUAACUCUAGGAAAGGAGAGGGAUACGACUUUUGUAAAUUGAUUUAAUAUAUUUUUGACUUUUGAUUUUAAUUUUCUUUUUAAGUAUGUUAGUUAAAAUUGCUUUUGAUUUAAUUUUUUUUUGUUAUAAAUUGGAUUCAAAACUUUGAUUUAAUAAUAAAAAAAUCUUAACUUUAGUUUGUGGAUUGUAUACUAAAUUCCUUAAUAAAAAUAGUAAUUUUGAAUCUUUUUUACAAAUAAUGCUUAUAACUUAUGGUUAUUUUAAUUUAUUUUUUUCAUAAAAAAACUUUUAAAUUAUAGUUCAAAGCUACCAGAUUAGGCAUGUAGCUUAUGAAGGGUUUGUAAGCAGCAAACAAUUAAAAUUAGAAAUCAGAGGAACAUUUAGAAUCUCUAGCAAUAGCCAGCAAUGUAUCUGCUCGAAAAAACCAUUCAACAUGAGAUUGUUCUGCUAGAAAAACAUGAGAUUGCUCUGCUAUUUGAUAUCAGUUUCAAACUUCUGAACAAAUAAUACAGCAUCAAGUCUCAGUCAUCACAUGCCCAUACAAAAACAUUUAUUCCAGAUCUCAAGCUGCAUUGCCAGGCCCGUUUCCAAAACCACAUAAGCAUAUGCAAUAGAAACAGAGCAUCAAACUGACAGAGAAAGCAUGAGAAUGAAAAUCCACACAUUAAACAAGAGUAAACAUUAUGCCUUUAUUUUUGAAAGGUUCACACACUUCAAAACAAACACGAAUGGGCAAGCAACAUUCGCCCUUACUUCUGGAGGCUUGUACGAUAAUGGGCAAGCAACAUUAUUUUUUUGAGGUUCGCACAGUAAUGACUAAACACACAACAUUACAUUACAUGGGUAAACAAGCAGAUAACCUUAUUCACACAUAUAUAGAUAAGUCGAUAUCUUCUUUUGAAAUCACACAUAGCAGAUAACCAAACGAGGGAAUAAGAAAUCACAGCAUCCGAAACUGAAGCAGACAAUACUUGAUAAUUGUUUUAGCGACAGCUUCUUUAGAUUAGGAAGCACCAUCUCCUUCUCAACGUUGACAGGUGAAACAUGAUCAUCCUGCCCAAACACUCCCAAUAAUUGAGACGCUUUUUUUACUCUAAGUAUUUGGAGCUAUGGGAGACCUGAAGCCAUGGUAACUGGGAAGAGGCUCUUCAACAUGUUACAUUCUCUAAUCUCAAUUUCACACAAAUUGGGAAAGCAUAAAGAUUGGAGAUGAUCUCCUAACAAUAUCUGGUCGUUUUCAUCAUCAUCCUUAGCAAUGAUUUGCUUGAAUUCCUCAUAGGACAAUAUCUUUAGAACUUUCAGUUGGACUAGACUGACAAUCAUGCUGCAUGUGAAUACCAGUGUCAGUCUCUUACACUCAACCACCUUCAAAGUAGUCAAUUUGCUCAGCACGAGACCCUUCCAUAUACACCUCAUGUCAGGCAGGGAUUCCAAGCAUAAUUUUUCCAAAUUUGUCAACCCUUGCAUCAAAAGAAAACAAGGAUACCAAAUUUAUAAAACAUUCUUACUUACAAAAACUUGUAGGUCUAGUGUUACCAAUCCUUGUCUUGGGCUUAUACAUGUUCCAUUGGUCCAUAAAUAUAUUUGCUAAGCUAUCAACAUAAUUUGUUUGGGACAAAUCCUCAUCUAGUUAUAAUAGACUCACACCUGACUGCUUAAAAUCACUAGUUAUUGUAGGAUUGACUACAUCAAAAUUGAUUGGUUUUUUGUUUUCAAAGAGAUUUAAACUUUUGAUGCAGACGAAAGCUAAAAACACAAUAAUCAAAGAAAACAAAAAAAAAAUAUAAGCAAAAGGGACUAUAGAUGUAAACCCUCAAAUUCACAAGUUUAUUUUCUCUAAAAUAAUAACAAUGAAGUUUGUUUUCUUAGAAUGUUUACAAAUCCUUAAAUAUGUCAGGAACCUUACCUCCACUAGGAAACAAAAACAAAAAUACAAAAUUACAAAGAAAAGAUGCAUAAAAUCCAAAACAAGCAAGAAAUAAAAAAAAUAACAAGGAAAAUCACAGAAACUAUUAAAACUAUAGGCCUAAACAAAAUUUUUGAUAUCUAAAGAUUUGAUGGUCCACGUAAAAAUUUAAGUAUGAUCCAAUAGUCGAAUAAGAAAUUGUAACUCUUUUGAGUUGUUAUUCUAGUCUGACGUAUUUUUUCUCUUUUUUUCACUAUAAAUGAAGUUUGACCAUCAUUGUCAUAUAGUUUGACUUAGUUGUAUCGGUUUUUAAUCAGAUCAACUUUAUAUAAAUCAGAUCAACUUUAUAUAUUAUGAGUUUACAUUUACUAAUUUUAAAAAAAUGCUCACAAGUCCAUUGUUCACACCUCAAAUUCGUAACUGCAGCGAUUCAUAGGCAACGAAACCAGUUAGAGACUAGAGAGUAAACAUGCUAUUAAAGUUUGCAAGUAAGGGUUUAGAUUAGAUUAUUUGUUGUCUUGUUUCAAAUAUUAGAUCAGUCUCAACUCAUUAAAUAAACUAGUGGUGCAUUGAUCCUUGCAUUAAUUGUUCAUUAACAAACAAUUGUUAAUAUGAAACUUAUGAUGUAUUAAUAACGCAUACAACAAUGAGGCAGUUAAGUUUCUUCGAUAAAAUAAAAUCAUUUAAAAAAUAAAAAUAAGCUAGUAUGUUUGUUACAUAACUAAAAAAAAAAUUGAUUUUUUUAAAUUGAUUUUUUUAAAAAUCAUUUUAAUAGACUAAUAUUAAAAAUAAAUUUUAAAAAAUAAAAAAUAUAUUAUUUUGAUAUAUUUUCAAGGAAAAAACAUUAUGAAAAGAAAUUGUUAAUGUUUGUUAAAACAUUAUUGUUAAUAUUUCUUACUAAAUAUAUAAUGACAUGUGAUUGGAAUAAUGUAUGUGAACUUGUACACAACUUAAUAAAUGAGAAAACUAAGGUAGCCGGUCACAUGUGAUUGGAAUAAUGUAUGUGAACUUGUACACAACAUUAUUGUGGGCUUAAUGGACCACAUACAAGUUUGCCCUGUAUUUUAAGUGAAGUUUUGCAGAUUUUUGAAAGUUUUUUUUUUUCAAAUUGAAUUUUUUUUUUUUUUUUUUUGUGGUUACCAUAUCAGACAAAGUAGAGGUUGAUUUCAACAAGCAUGAAAAACCAAAUUCAUUAUGAGAUAUAUAGCCUCAAGAUUAUCACAUCAUAAAGAAGAGUAGAGGUUCAAAUCCCUAAAUCUAUAAAUAAAUAAAAAAUGAACUAACCAAUUUUAUCUCGAAACAACAUUGAUCGUGGUCAACCGUGUGACUUGUUCCGCCCCCGUCCCGGGUUCGACCCUCUAUGUGCACGCCUGUCACCCCCGCGGUGCCUUACCUGCCCCUGGGCUUGCAGGAUGUCCAGUGGGCCGUGGGGAAUAGUCGUGGUGCGCGCAAGCUGGCCCGGACACCCCACGUGAAUCAAAAAAAAAAAAAAAAAAACAUUGACACUAACUUAAUGCUGAGCCUUGGUACAAAUUAAGUCAGCACUUCCAUGCCUUGUGAUCUUGACAAAAAUAUUUUUGGUCCUUUUAGUUUAGAAAUGAAACUUUUCAGUACAAAGCUUUAUUUUACCUCUAUAUAUAGUUUCUGAGUUUGAGAAAAGAAAGAAAGAUUUGUUGAAAAACUACAAAGGAGAGAUAAAAUUAGUCAAUUUAGAUUUGGGUUGAUUUUCUAAUUUUAAAUCAAUUAAAUGUUUAUUUAAAAUAUUUAUAUAUCUAACUUUUCAAUAAAGGAGCAAUUUUUCAUUACAUUCAGCACAAUAUUUAUUUCACUAACCUGUACGAAGAUGACACGAGUUAAAAUAAUUGUUUAAACACACACUAUAUAUAUUGUGCAUAUAACUGUCUUGUAUUCACAUUAUUAGAUCAGUGUAUGCACACAACAUUUGAUAUUUUUAACUGUUAUGAAUAAUCUGUAUAUUAUGUGUCGCACGUGAGCGACGUCGCGGCGAUCGUCCACCCAAAACAAAUGUAAUAAUAUGGGGGAUAUAUAUCUGGUCAAUGUAGGGAGACAAGGAAUUCGUUGUCUCUUAGCAGUGAAAAAUGGUGUGGGAGUCGCCACCUAGUAUUUUGGUCACUAGGAACCCUAACUGGUCUCAGAGAUCGGGUACGGGGACUGGUUGCGUAAAGGGAAGGUAUUAGCACCCCAAAUACGCCCUACCUAAGGUAAGCUGCAUCGUUUAAUUGUCUGAUAAAAUUUAAGGUGUUUUCAUUGUGUUUCCUAGUUGUUGGUCCGUCUAUGGUUCAAGAAAAGUCCUCCUUAAUAAGGAGGUCCUUAUCUUAUCGGGUAAAACCUAACCGUUCUAGCGUCUAUGUAAAAAAACAUAUUUUUAAUUUCAGGAAUACGUUUUACGUAUAAAUUCGUAAUCCCAUAUACUAACAGAGGACAAAAAGAUUUUUUAGAAUUUUUGGAAUAUUGGCCUAGUUCUCAUGGCUUGAAUAAACUGGUUAUUAAAGCCAAAAUGCAUGCUAAUACAUAUAUUGUUUUGAAAUUUCUUUUGUUGUGUGAAAAUAUGAUGUUAUAAUAUUUAUAUAUAUAUAUUGGAGAGACUAGGCCGUAUUUUAAAACAAAAACAUUUUUUAAAUAUGUAUUUUGUACGUUUUGACGCAAAUCGGGUAUUUUAAUACUGGGUUUGUAUCCUUGCAGUAUAAAAAUACAACCAAAUAUUAAUCUACUUUGAUAAAGCAAAUGCAGAAAAAUCAACAAUAUUUUCAAAGAUAUUUUAGAAAAUUUUUGAAAGCAAAAGACAUUUUUUAUUUUGAAAAUCUUUGAUGUUUUGAUGAAAACCGGGUAUGUUAAUACCGGAUUUGUAUCUUUACAGUAUAAAAUACCAACCAAUAUUAAUCAAAAUACAGUAAUAAAAUUACAGAAAAUCACAUAUUUUUGAAAUAAUUUUUGAAGAAUUUUUGUAAUUUUUUCAUAUAUAUAUAUAUCUAUAUAAAUAAUACAAAAUAUAAUAUAUAUAAUAUAAUAUAUAAUAUUAAAUGGGCUGGGCUGGUCCGGCCCAACCGACUGGGCCGGACUCAGCCCAAAAUUGUUGGGCCGAUCUCGGCCCAAAAUGGGUUGGGCCGAUCUCGGCCCAAAACAAAAAACACAUUAUCUUCUGGGCCAGACCCGGCCUAGAAGACAGGGCUGGGCCAGGAUCCGCCUGGCCCAAGCCAAAACGGGGCGGGGGGGGGAAUUAUUUUCCCCCCACCCCUGCAUGCAGAACGCUACUCGUUCUGCAUGCAGGGAACGAAACGAGAAAAUAAACGCUCUCCUAGAAACCGCAGAAAAGUUACCUGGCGCGGAGGCGAAAGCGGUGGCUGGCUGCGUUUCUGGCGGUUCUGUGGUGGAGGCUGGUAGCGGUGUCGCUGCUCCCUGGCGGCGACUCCAAGCAGCGGCGCUGCUGUCUCAAGCGGCGGAAAGAGGGAUUCUUCCUCUUUCCUUCUCCUCUGUUUCCUUCCCUUUUCUUCUCCUUCUUUGGUUUUCUUUCCCCCUGUUUUCCCUUCUUUCGGUUCUCUUCUCCCUCUCCCCUUUCUCUCUCUUUCGGUUUUUUCCGUUCCUCUCUCUCUCCUCUGUUUUUCGUUUUCUCCUUCUUCCCCCGUCUGUUCUCCUCCCUCUUUUUCUUCUACUGUCGUGUUGGUUGUUAUUUAUAGAGCCAAGUGAGUGGCUUUUCGCUGUGGAGCAUGGGGAGCAGCCGGCCGGUCGGCCAUUGGGCGCGACUGCCAACGCUCGGCCCCCCUCCCCGGCUUUCUGGCAGGUGCGCGGUGGGUGGUCGGCCAUUGUGUUCGGUCGGUGGGCUCCAGGCGAGAGAGAGGGGCCGGCAAAAAUUUCAAAAAAAAGCACCAUUUUUCCCUUCUUCCCCGCUGCAUGUUCGGGGGGGAAGAAGAAAGAUGAACAGUGUCGUUCAAAACGACACCGUUCUGCCCUUUUCCCUUUUUUUUUUUUUUUUGAAUGGAUGAAACGACGUCGUUUUGGAUAAAACGCGCCGUUUCAUUUAAAUCCUACAAGACGCCAAAACGCGUCAAUUUGCAAAGCAGCCCUCAAUUAUCUUUUGUCCCUUCAAUUGCAUCCCUGCCGAAUUUGAACCCCGUCCCUAUAUUUGGCCGCGUUUUUCACUUUGGUCCUUGGCCUUUGAAUUAUGCAAUUGAGCCCUUAAUUGAUCAAUAAACUUCCAAUUUCUUCAAUUAGGCCCCUGAAUCAAUUAAUUCCAGCCCCUAUACUUACGCACCUUCUUCAAUUUGGUCCUUGGUUUCGGAUUCCUUCAAUUAAGUCCCCAAUUGGCCCUUAAACUUCAAUAUUUAUGCAAUUAAGCCCCUGAUUUGACCUAAUAAAUUCCUAAAAAAUAUAUUUUGGCCCCAGAACUUAAAUUUCUUCUAAUUAAAGCCCAAAUUGACUUAAAAAUCAAUUUUUCUUGCAAUCAAAUCCCCUAUAAAUUCAUUUAAAAAUCAAAUUAAGUCCAUAAACAUCUAAAUUUGGGCUUUUCUCCUCAAAUUUGAAAUUUUCCUUGUCAACAGGGCUCUCCUCCUUCAAGAAUAUAUUAUCAAAAAUUCCAUCUUUGUUUUUUUAACCUUAUUGACCAAUUUUCCAACCAUUUUCUGAGCGCUUCUGCCUCCUGUUAUUUUUCUAACCUCCUUUGGCUAUAUAUUUUUAUAUAUAUUUUGUGGGGACCCAAAAAUGGGUUACAACAUUAUGAAUGCUUAGUCUUAACCUAAAUACAAAUAAAGUAUAUAUAGGUCAAACUGAAAGUACUAUUCUACCCUUGAUAAAUAAGACUACAUAAAUAUUAUUUAACAUCUCCCCUCAAACUCACGAUGCGGCAGCUACAAGCAUCGAGAGUUUGCCAGCCAAAAAACGAAAACGAGAGAUGGAAUGCGCCUUGGUAAAGAAAUCUGCAAUCUGCAAGGAAGAAGGAACAAAAGGCAAAGCAAUGGUGCCAUGUUUGAGAUGAUGACGAGUAAGAUGACAAUCGAUCUCAAUGUGCUUAGUGCGUUCAUGAAAAACCGAGUUAUGAGCAAUCUGAAUAGAACUCUGGUUGUCACAAUACAUAGGAGUAGGAUGAGAAAAGGAAAUUCCCAUAUCAGCAAGUAACCAACGUAACCAAACAAUCUCUUUGGUAGUAGAUGCCAUGACACGAUAUUCUGCUUCGGUGGAUGAUUGAGAAACAAUAGAUUGUUUCUUGUUCUGCCAAGAAAUAAGAGAAUCACCUAAAAAGAUAUAGAACCCGGUAACAGACUUGCGAUCUGUGGGAUCACUACCAUGAUCAGCAUUAGAGUAUACACGCAACUCCAAGGAAGAGGUGGAUGAAAGUAAAAGACUCUGAAAAACUGUACCCCGAAGAUAUCGCAAAAUACGAAGAACAGCUGCCCAGUGAACAGUAGUAGGAGAAGCAACAAACUGACUAACAACAUGAACAACAUAUGCAAUAUCUGGACGAGUAAUGGUGAGAUAUACCAAACUCCCAACAAUAGUGCGGUAUAAAGUAGGAUCUAUCAAAGGUAAAUCAUCAGAAGAAGAGUACCUUGUGUUAACCUCAAUAGGAGUAUCUACAGUCUUGUUAUCAGUAAGUCUAACCCGCUCAAGAAUAUCUGCAACAUAUUUCGACUGAGAAAGAAGGUAACCUCUAGGUGAGUAUGCUACCUCAAUACCCAGGAAAUAUUAAAGAUAACCCAAAUCCUUCAUUUCAAAUCGUCUAGCCAACUCUGUCUUCAAAACUGAAAUACCAUCAAUAUCAUCACCAGUAAUAAUCAUGUCAUCAACAUAUAAAGACAGAAUGAUACGACCUGCAUCAGUGCACUUAAUAAAAAUAGCAGAAUCAUGACUACUAGAAACAAAGCCACGAGACGAGAUCACAAUAGAAAAUUUCUCAAACCAAGCACGAGGUGCUUGUUUGAGACCAUAUAAUGCUUUCUUAAGCUUACAAACAUAUCCAGAGUCAUGUGAAAUACCAGGAGGGGGUGCCAUAUAAACUUCUUCUUGAAGAUCUCCAUUCAAGAAUGCAUUUUUAACAUCAAGCUGAGAAAUAUGCCACUGACGAAUCGAAGCUACGACAAUAAGAGUAUGAAUAGUAGUCAUUUUUGCAACCGGGGCAAAUGUCUCCUCAUAGUCCAUACCAUACUGUUGAGAGUAUCCUUUUACAACCAGCCUAGCUUUGUAUCGCUCAAUAGACCCAUCAGAAUUAGUCUUGAUCUUAUACACCCAACGACAACCAACAACACUCUUACCAGGAGGUAGAGGAACCAGAUCCCAAGUAUUUGUCUUAUGCAAAGCAGAAAGUUCCUCAUCCAUAGCUUGCUGCCAAAGCGGAUCAAGAAUUGCCUCUUUAUAGGAAGAGGGCUCAAAGAGACAAUGAAUAGAAGCUAAAAAGGAAGUAAAUGAUGAAGAAUAACAAGAAUAAGCAAAAUCUGGUAGUUUUGUGGACUUACGAAUGCGGAUGGACUGACUUGGAGGUGGAUCCACAAUCUCAGAUGAAGCUUGAGGGGAUGUAGAUGAGAAUGGAGCUUCAGGUGUGCCAGAGAGUAAAGUACCAGUACCUGCAGAGUUAUGAGUACAAAUUGAUCGAACAUAGGGAGAGGUAUCAUUACCAGAAUCCUUAGAAAAAGGAUCUAUAUAAAUAAGAUCAGAUUUUGUCAGGCUAUGAGUAGUGGAUGAAAUAGAAAAGAAAGGUAUAUGCUUAAGGAAGACAACAUGACGAGACACAUAAAGUUUCUGAGUUAUUGGAUCAAAUCAACGAUACCCCUUUUUACCUUCACCAUAACCCAGAAAGACACAAAUAACGGAUUGAGAGGAUAGCUUACUGCGUUCUACAUGAGGAAGAAGAACGAAACAAGUACAACCAAAGACUCUAAAUGAGGAAUAAUCAGGGACAUACCCAUAUAACUUUUCAAAAGGAGAUAGACCCGAACUUGACCUAUAUAUACUUUAUUUGUAUUUAGGUUAAGACUAAACAUUCAUAAUAUACAGAUUAUUCAGAAUUCUAGCCUCCUUUCUCUAUUUGAUCUCAAUUAAUUUAACAUUAACCAUUCACAUACAUUAAAUAAAACCCAUGGAAACAGGACACAAACGUCGACUGCAACUGCAACAUUAUACUAAUGAGUGUAUUUUCUGAAGUCGAAAGAGUGCUACCCAAUCUAGGUUCAAGUGGGAUGAUGAAUUGAAGAGCAGUUGUUAUUUGACACUGCAAUUAGAUGGCUCAUAUUUGAUUUAUGGAGCUAUGAUAAGGGAUUCGUGCUUGUAUCACAUAUAACAAUAUUUACAUAGUAACAAGCACUAUUAAAGAUGCUACACUAGUAAUUGCUUUAUCAAAUAUUUUAUGUUUUUUUUUUUGAAAUAUUGUUAUAGACAUAGAAUCAUCUAGAUUAUGUGACAUUCUAUAUUGAUUUUGUGAUAUUUUAAUCACUAAAAGUAUGGGUUUCAGAGAAAAAAAACCAAACAAAAAAUUGAAAAAAUUAAAAAUUUUCAAACCAACCCAAUCCAACAUAUUGAUCAGUUUUGGUCUGGUCUGGUUCAAAUAUUUUUUAGCUGAAACAAUUAAUAACCAUUUUCAAAAGGUAACUAUUGACAAGCCUUUCACCGAAACCAUGUUCAUUUAUCCUGAAUCAAUCCAAAUCAGGUUCAGGUUUGAAAGGUUCGGAUAAUCACUUAGACGUCUUCGGUUCUAAUUUUAGGCCUUGUCACUUAGUCAUCCCUUAUCCUAACUUUUUAUUUCCUAAUAAAAUCUCACGGUUUUUCAUCUAUGUUCAAAGGAAAAGUUGACCUUGCAAAUGGUGCUCUAAGGAACCAAGUCAUCCUAGAACUAAUCAUCCACCUAAUCUCAUCAACUCCUUGUUGCACAAACAGCUUGUCUCACUUAAAGGGGAUUUUAAUGAUGAACAAACACCAACUCCUUGUUGCUCAAAUACAUAUGCUCAUUUAAACACAAUUUUGCAUUACCUAGAACUGACAAGGCCUAAAAUUCCUGACAUAUAAUUUUGUUUUAAAGGAACUUCAGGAUUUCUAUAUAGGAUGCUUGACCUCAUUAAAGAAAAACUGAGGACAUCCAUAACAUAAAUUAUCUUCCUUGCCCCAAAGUCAGCACAGAAAAACCCUGUUCAAUAUAAAGGUUCUGAAUGUUUUUCCUAAAUUUCAUGAGCUGGCAUUCAACACAUCAAACUCCCAAUUUAGCAUUCUUAUGCAAACUACAACUGCAAAAGGCUUGUACAUGUAGGGGAGGUAGGAAGAGCUGCAAAGAAUUGUGGCAUCUAUUGUUAUGCUGUUCAGAGUUUCUAUCUCAUCAUCCAAUCUGCCAAAAAUAUAAGAGAUCAUGUGCAUCAUCAAAAGCCCCAGCCGCUAUAUGAACAAAGCACCUAAAAAAUUAAUCACCUAGCUAAUCUAAUUCAGGAAAAUUCGGUCAAAAUCUCCUACAAUGAAACGAGUUAUUGGAAUGCAUAGAUAGGAAAUUCAGGUAAACACACACACAUACACACACACACCUGAUCAUAAAUUUCCUAAAGAAAUUCUGAAUCGUAACAUUGGUAAACAAAGAGUGACAAUAUCAUCACAUUAAAAAUGCAUUUCACUCAAAACAAAUAACAGCUCAAGAAAAAAAAUUGCAAGAAGCCAAUAGAGAAUAAAGUAAGCAGUCCAUAAACAAGAGACAGAGAGACAUUGUUCCAAUAGAGAAAAGUAAUUAAAACCCAACAACUAAAACUGAGAAAGAAUCAAACCAGGGAGUAACUAAUCCUUUUAAAGCAUUCCAAGAAUGGCAACCAAAUGUAACAUAAUCAACCUGCAAAAACAAACACAAAAAGAAUUAGAAGAAGAAAUCCCAUUAGUUAAUAAGUUAAAACAGCAGCAGCAGCAAAAAGACUAAAAUUUUAGUUAUUUGGACUUGAGAAAAAGCACUGAACCUGUGUGAAAAUGCCAUGAAAGGGGUGCUAAGAAACCAGGAACAUAAAAACUUGUAAAAGGGUCUUUUUACAAAGCAAGAAAGAAGCUAGGAAGCAAGGAAGCAUGCCAGCCUACCCUCACGAACUCUGUUUGUUAGGCCAUGUUUGUUUCCCGGAAUUCACUUUCCGGGAAACCAUUUUCCAAACUUUCCUGUGUUUGUUUGCCAUUAGAAAAAUUGAUCAACGGAAAACACUUUCCGGUCAACGGAAAACACUUUUCAAUCAACGAAAACACUUUCCCAUCAAAGAAAAAAUUGGUUUGGUUUUUCAGGAAAGUGUUUUCCCUUUUGGCUGUGUUUGUUUUCCGGAAAGUGGUUUCCGGGAAACCACUUUCCAAACUUUCUUGUGUUUGUUUGUCAUUAGAAAAGUUGGUCAACGGAAAACACUUUUCGGAAGUUGUGAAAAAUUUAGAAAUGUCAUUAUUUGUUGAUUAUAUCAAAUUUAAUCCUCAAACUUUUGAUUGCUAUAUAUAAUUUGUUUUGAAUAUUUAUUUUUCAAUUCCAUUUCUUAAAAUUUAAUUUUUAUAUUAAUUUUGCUCCUUAUUUUUAUAAUUGUUAUUUGCUUUUUCCUUAUCAUUUUUUUAUUGAAAUUUUUUAUCUGUCAAAUUUGGUCCUCAUUCUUUUGAUUGUUACUUAGUUUAUUUGAAAUAAUUUAUGAAAUGUUAAUUAUUAUUAUUUUAAUUUCUUCACCUUUCAUUUUUUUAAAAUUUUUAGAUUUGAUUUCUAUUAUUUUGAUUAUUAUUUAUUUUAUUUGAGAUAAUUUAUGAAAUUGUAUUUUUUUUCAAUUUCAUUCUCAUUCAACUUUUUAAUUUGUAAGAUUUGUUCCUCAUUAUUUUAAUAAACUUGAGAAAAUAAAACAUUAAUAAGUUAUUUUCCAGCUCAUUUUCCAUGACAUAACCAAACACUGGAAAAUGUUUUCCAACUUAUUUUUCAUUACACUACCAAACAUCAGAAAAUACUUUCCCGGAAUUCAUUUUCCCGGAAUUCACUUUCCAAAAUGAAACUACUUUCCAGCAAACAAACGGGGCCUUAAUUGUUUUUUCUCCUUUCAAGUAAAAAAAAAAAAAAAAAACAAAGAGCACCAAGAAAAUCUAAUCAGAAAUAUUUUUUUUUUAGUCUGAAAUAUUUUAUGUUGUUGUCUUGGAGAGAUGCAGAUACCGAGGAACAGUUGUGGGGCCACCAUUGGUGAGCAGUGAUACAGUGGCAAGUACGUGAAGUAACGCAUAUUACAGUGCGCAAUGAUAGAGUGAGUCUGGGUGGACAAACUUUUGGUGGUACACGUGGUGCGUAAUGAUUUGACGGCUAUGGAGAGAAGUUACAUGAGGGAAAUAAGAUGAAAAAAGUGGCCUCUCUAGAUUUUGGAAAUGUUCUCUGAAGAAAGAAAGAAAAUAAUCUCAAGGGUGGACAAAAAUGGGGUAAUAUCAGAUUUGGAACAUAAUCUUGGUUGGUGAAGAAUAACAUAAUCUGAAGAGAAAUCUAGGGCAAGCCAGUGAGAUUUGAGCUUAGAUUUUGGACCAAUUUAUAGGUGGAUGAUACCAUCAUGGAUGAUGUCUAGCUGAUAAAUGUUUAGUUACUAGCAAUUCUAUCAUAAGUUAUCAGAUUCUGUGUGUGUGAGGCUGCCAUAAAUUUCUUUCUUCUAUGAUGGAUAAAAAACGCUAAGCAAUGAACCAUUUUGUCAACCUAGUAAAAAAGGUAUUAUGGUAUUAUAGACUUAAAUUCAUAGAUAAUUAAGUAAAUUUCUUGAGGAAAAGCAAAAUUUAACUAUAGAUAAUCAAAGUGAAAAAAAAACACCUCAAAAAAAGAUGGUAGUUUCAAGAUUAAAGCCAAAAAUUCACUUUGAUUCUCAUACUUUUCAGAUAAUGACUUUUUGGUCCCUUAAGUUUUCUCACAUUUUAUUUUUGAUCCACAACUUCAUUUUUCUAUAUUCUCAUUCCCUAAUUUGAUAGAGGAGACAAAAUGUUAUUGGAUUACAAUGUUAGAGAGAGUCUCUGUAACAGCCUCAACAUUUGUAUUCAAAACAAAGAGUAAGGACAUGAUGAUUCAAAUAAGAUUAUGGAAUUUUUUUUUGUAAUCAAUAAAAAAUUCAGCAGAGUUUUUUUUAUAUUUUUAGAUACUAAAUUAUCGACUUUUCAUCUACAAUCCUCAAUUAUCAAAUUUCUUACUCAUCCUAUCAUCCAGAACUUCCUCCUCUCAUUACAUCACAACUUCUCAAUAAUCAAAUGCACAUAUGUCUAAAUAAUUCAAUAUCCCACAUUUACAUGGAUGCAAUCCAAAGAAUUAUUCUACAAAUUAUAAUUGAAGUACAUUACAUAAUUCAAAGAUUUACAAAUAAGGACCAUUAACGAAAUUAUAAUCGAAAUAAGUAUAUAAUUAAAGAAGAAAUUCAUAAUUAAGAUUAUACUACACAAAAGAGCUUUCGAUAAACUGUUGACACAUUAUAUUACAUAACAAAAUGAUAAAUUCAUUCAUUACAAAAAGAUACCCAACAAAAUAUAAGAAAAUUAAUCUAUUGUUCAGCCCGAUAAGGGGAUGUACCUGAAAAUUGAUUUAAUACAAAAAUUUAAUUAGACAGAUGAAAAAAAGAUAUCCUGCUUUCUUUCUUUCUUCCUUUUUUUUUUAAAAAAAAAUUAGUCAAAAGAUCAUUAAAUUAACUUGCUCAUGUAGUAUUAUAUAUAUAUAUAUAUAUAUAUAUAUAUAUAUAUAUAUAUAUAUAUAUAUAUCAAUUAAAUUUCAGAAUAAUCUAUGAGUUUGAGUUUGUUUUCUUUUUCUUUUUUAAUAUCAACCAAAAAUAUAAUUAUUCAUAUCACUCAAUUAACCCGACAUUACUUUCACUAAUAGAUGAUUAAUUUUCCACCAGUCUAUUCAACAAACACUAUUGUCAUCAAUCCAAAAAUUAGUUUAACGUUUCAUCCAUUCAUCAGGUACAAAUCCCAUUAACUAGGAAAAUUAAUUCUUCAUCUUGCCUAUUUGCCAGGGCACUAAUUCCAUUAAAUCAGGAAUUAGUUCAACGAUUUACCCAUUCACUAGGGUACUAAUCCCAUUAACCAAAGACUUAAUUCCUCAUCAUGCCCAUUCACCGGGACAUUAAUCCCAUUAAUUCAGGAAUUAGUUCAACGAUUUGUCUAUUCACCAGGGUUCUAAUCCCAUUAACUAGAGAAUUAAUUCCUUAUCACGCCCAUUCACCAAGGCAUUAAUCCCAUUAGUUCAAGAAUUAAUUCAUCACAUCGCAUAUCUUAUUUUCUAAAGUAAACAAUAUAAUAAUUUCAUAUUUAUCAACCAUAAUUAAUCAAAUAAAAAUACAUAUUGACCAAUAAUAAAUUCAGGUACCGUGUAAUUACCUGAUGACUAAGCUCGAGCUGAAAUUUCCUGCUGUGGUGUCGGCCUGGCAGCCUCUCUUGAAUUGACAAGUAUAUCAUAUCAUUAUUCUACUUUCCAUAUUGAAACACUCAAUAAAUAAAAUCAUUCCAAUUAUCCUUUUAUUUGCCAAAAUAAAAUCAUUUUGUAAAUUUCCUUCCUAUUCUUUCAAUUUCCACAUUGUAACACAAUUCAUUUCAUCAUUCAAAUCAAUAUAUAUAUUCUUUAAAUUUAUUUAUUUAAUUUUUACCGUAAUUUAAAUCAAAGAAAAACAUAAAAAAAUUUCAUGAUCUAUUCACUCUUUAACAUUAAUAUCAUCUCUUUCUUACACAAUCUCAUCAUCUUAUCAAAACUCUUAAAUUUUUAUUUUUCUUAUUAUUAUUUUUCCAAAAAUCCCUUCUUCAAGAACACCUAAAAUUUUGCUUUAAUUACCAUAAUUUCUUACCUUCCCUACUCACUUCAAUAAUCUUAACACAAUUUCACAAUCAAUUGUAAUUUUCUCUAAAAUAUAUCAUGAACCCUAAUUCCUCAUUUCACAAAGUUCAAUCAAUUUAAAGCAUAAAUUCUUCGAGAAUCUUAUUUAAAAGUGUGAGGACAUCUUACCAAGCAAUAACCAAAGCUUUAACACUUUUAAAUUGAGAAAUUUUCCUUGCUUGAAUUUGUUUUUCCUCUCCUGGCCGAAUGCUUAAAAAGCAAGUUUUUUUUUUUGUUUCCUUAUAGCACACUCACUUGCACUCAUAUAUAUAUAUAUAUAACUCUUUUUUUAAAUACCUUCCACAUCCCUCAAUUUUUUCUUUCCCCCUACACAUAUAUAAUUACUUAACUUUUUAAAAAUACCUUUUAUAUUCCUUAAUAGUAAAUUUUAUGAUUUUUGGGUAAAAUUUCUUGAAUCCUAAUGCCUGUUUAUACCAAAUUUUAUCCAGGUUAUUUCAAAUUUCACUCAGUUACUCGUUAGUAUUUUCAGUUUCAUGAAAUUCAUUUCCAUAAAAAUUUUAUUCAUAUUUUCAUGUUUAUUUAUUUAUAUUUAUUUUUUAUAUAUAUUUUAACACCCGAACAAAACAUUUCAAUUCAGAUUCUCGAAUAUAUCAUCAUUCUUAUAAUUUAAUUUAUCACUUUUCCUCAUUUUUCGUAAUCUUGACUUUUAUUAAUAUCAAUAAUAUUACCCGGGGUUUUACAAUCUCAGUUGGCACUGAUUUUUGCCAUAAAAAAUGGUUGAUUUUAAUGAUUUUUUUUAAUAUCUAUAUGUUUUUUUUAUAUUUUAUAUGAAUAAACUUUAUUUUCAUGAUGUGUUUAUAAAAAUAAGAAUUAUUUGUUCUUGGUAAGAAAAAGUGACCUUUAAGAUUAAAAAGAAGGAGAAAAGUGACCUUUAAGAUUAAAAGUAUCUGCUCGAAAAAACCAUUCAACAUAAGAUUGCUCUGCUAGGAAAACAUGAUAUCAGUAUCAAACUUUUGAACAAAGAGUUCAGCAUCAAGUCUCAGUCAUCUUGAGAUUUGAAUGCCCAAACAUAUUCAGAUGCUCAUAAAAUAACAUUUUUAAUAAUGCAUUAUGCAAUAGAAACAGAACAUCAAACAAAGAGUUCAGCAUCUUACGCAUGAAAGUCCACACAUUAAACCAAAAGAAACACAAAUGGCCAAGCAAACAUACGCCCUUACUUCUGGAGGCUUGUACGAUAAUGGGCAAGCAACAUUAUUUUUUUGACUAUUAAGCAUCACCAUCACCAUCACCAUCACCAUCACCAUCUUCCUCUUCCUCUACUUCUUCUUCUGUCCACCCAUUAUCUCGGGUCCACUCUCUAUUAAUGCUUGAAUCUUCAGCUACUUCAGAUACCUGUAAACCAAUCAAGAAAAGAGAAAUUCAUAAAAAAAUUACAAAGAAAAGAGAAAAUUAGCGAAAGCCAUUCAACAUAAGAUUGCUCUGCUAGGGAAACAUGAUAUCAGUAUCAAACUUUUGAACAAAGAGUUCAGCAUCAAGUCUCAGUCAUCUGGAGAUUUGAAUGCCCAAAUAUAUUCACAUGCUCAUACAAUAACAUUUUUAAAAAUGCAUUAUGCAUUAGAAACAGAACAUCAAACUGCAGAGAAAACAUGCUGAUGCAGAAAAUACUCAAGUCGUAGAAAGGAGAAUGCAUGAAAGUCCACACAUUAAACAUUAUGCCUUUCUUUUUGAAGGUUCACACACUUCAAAAGAAACACAAAUGGGCAAGCAAUAUACGCCCUUACUUCUGGAGGCUUGUAAGAUAAUAAUGGGCAAGCAACAUUAUUUUUUUGAGGUUCGCACAGUAAUGACUAAAUACACAACAUUACAUUACUCCUGUGCUGUCAACAAUUCUUCUAACUUCUUCAGCAAACACAUAGAUAGAUAAGUCGAAAUCUUCUAUGGUAAAUAAGACUGUCACAAUGUGAAGCCAAUUUGUAUCCCGUUGCCAAUGGAACAGGAGGAAUUAUUUCCCACCAAUCUAAAACAUAUUCGCAGCACCAACCUUGAAAUCAUGUAAGAGCUAACCACCAUUCAACAUGAGAUUGUUCUGCUAGGAAAACAUGAUAUCAAACUUUUGAACAAAUAGUACACCAUCAAGUCCAAAUAUAUUCACAGCUCAAAGACAUGAGUCUCCAUCUUCUUUCCACCCCAUAUUUCUGGUCCACUCUCUAUUAAUGCUUGAAUCUUCAGCUACUUCAGGUACCUGUAAACCAAUUCAAGCAUGGCAUGCUCAUUUAACUUGUAAAUCUUAUUAUUGAGAGAAACAAGAAACAAACACACUAAAAGAGAGGCAAGAAAUCAAGUCAAAUCAGCAGCACCUCUGAUUGAGCAUUCAUUGAACCAUCUGGUGUAGUAGCAAAUUUUGUGGUCAGCUUUGGACAUUGAUGGACCUUCAACUUCUCCAAACGAGGGAAUAAGAAAUAAUCACACCAUCUGAAACUAAAACAGACAAUACUUGAUAAUUGUUCUAGCGACAACUCCUUUAGAUUAGGAAGCACUAUCUCCUUCUCAACGUUGAUAGGUGAAGCUUGACCAUCCUGCCCAGGAGACUCUGGAAUUAUUUCCCUUUCACCAUCCUCUUCUCUGAUAAUAUGCUUCAAUUGACCGCAUUUACUUAUGUAAAGUCUUUGUAGCUUUGGCAGACUUCGAGCGAGGGACGGUGUGAAGAUAAAUGUCAGUUUGUUGAGAGACUCCAAAUUCAGACGAUUAAGACUUUGGAGGCUGACAUGUCUAGAUGGCCCCUUCCAUAUACANNNN